GAAACUUUUCUAUUUUCAUUGAUAUUGUCAUGAAGUUACAUAAUUUCUUACAUAAUUGUCUCCAAUAAAUACCAAUAGGUAUACGAACGCAAUUACGCAAACAUGAUGCACGCAUCUCUUUAAUUAAUUUAAGGCGUAAAGAGACUUUCAGAGAUGCCUACAAAUUCAAUAUGGCAGCUCUCAUGAGAGAUAAAACUAGCUUCAAAUUGGAUUUCUGAGUACUCAAAUAAAGCUAAAAGCAUACUAAUGAAAUGAAAACUAAAACAAAAAAUCCUCUCACCAACGCCAUCUGACUCUUAAUACAUAGAAAGAACUUGAUGCCUUAUUCAAGAUGCCGCACAGAAGGUUGGCCUGAAUCGUCUUCAUAAGUUUGGACUCCCUGUAAACAAAGAGCAAAAACACAUUGAAGGUGCAGUUUUCACAUAAUUAAAUUGCACAAAUUAGCCUCUAUGAAGGAUACAAAAAUCCUUCAAUUCUCUCUGGAAGCAAUUAAUUUCAUUUUAUUUAUUUAUUUAUUGCCAUGUUUGUCUAACAACUAAUCUUCAACAUAACAAUAGAGCAGAGUAGUUAUAUUUUAGAAAGAUAUACCGAUAUGAUUUAACUAAAAUUUCAAUAUAAAUAAAACGUUUUUAGUCAGCACAACAAAAUCAAAUCAGAACCUCCCAAACUGUAUAGAUUCUAACUUACCAGUAUCUUUCCCAUCUUUCUCCUUUUCAUUCACUUUGGCGGACUUCUCAUUCUCUUUUUCCCUCUCUUCCUAAUCAGAUUUAAAAUAAAUUUAUAAAAACAUUAAUAAUCACUUUUUUCUUUUUCCUUUUAUAUAUAUAUCUGUCAUUAAAUCAGUAAUUUUUAGAAAAAAAAUCAACAUUUCAUAGUGAGUGAACACGUACCUUUGUUGUUGAUAUAGGUAUUGAAUGGUUGUAUUAAGGUCGCGAUCCCAAACGCAAACUCUUUCAUCAAACCUCUUCAGCUGCACUUUGCGUAAAUUGGGUGUGCUUAAUUCUCCUCCUGAGAAAAUGCUCAUAUUGGGGCAAUCUUCCACCACUAAUCUUUCCAGAGAUGGGAAUUUGAAGGCGCAAUUAUUGACAGAGCAGAAACUUGUCAGACUUUCUAAGUCCGAAAGCAGCAAUUCCUUCAAUUCGCUGAAAACAAUUUCAUAGUUUGCUGCAUAAUUGUCUCGCUCAUCAUCGUCAUCUGCCACUAUUUUUGUUAUCAUCUUGCAGUCAAAUAUCUUCAUUUGUUUUAGUCGCACCAGACUCUUUGCUGUCGAGGAUGUUAGUAUGUUUAUCAUUCCAUAGCAAAAAUCUACGGCCAAAGUUGUUAGAUUCUGAAACGAUGUCGAGGAUGGCACUAGAUUAAUCAAAUUGUCACAUCCAUAUAUAUCCAGUACUUCCAAAUUGUUCGCAUGGGAGGACUCUUGUUUCAAAAUCUGCUUCAGAUUAGGAUGGAAGUUUAUUCCCUUUAUCAUUGCAUUCACCCCAUUUUCAACCGUUUCAAAUAGUUCUUCCCCAUCAUAAUCGUAUCCUUCGAUACAGAGAACUUUGAUGGUGUGAAAUCUCUGAAGGAAAUCGUCAAGUGAUAAAAUAGCAGUUGACCCAUCAAGCCAAACAUUAAGACAUUUAAGUUUGCAAGGCAAGUCUUCUGGAAAUAGACCUAUGUGCUUUUCAUCAACACUCAAAUAUUCCAAAUUGGGAAACACCUAGGUGAUUACCAAUCAAAAAAAAAAAAAAAAAAAAAGCAAGAUGGAGUUAGAUCUUCUUUUUAACAAUUUGACAAAUUAAAGUAAAUGCAAAGCAUUCCGGUGAUGAAUAUUGAUGGCCUAUCGUGUAUGUGUGUCUCUAUGUGUGUGAGUGUGUAGCAUAUGAUCUUUCUAACAAUCACAGAAAAAACAAGGUGGAGUUGAUCUUCUUUGUGACAAUUUCACAUAUCAAAGUAAAUGCAAAGCAUUCUAAUGAUGAAUAAUAUUGAUGGCCAGAUAAAUAUAUAUAUAGCAUACGAAAAAGACGUCAAUUAUUCUCAAUUUACAUUUAAACUUCCAAAUUCUCUUAAUCGAUCGAUUUAUUUGGUUUGAAUUGAAAAUCUUACAAAUUUCUUUUUUUUUUUUUUUUUGAAAAUGGAUAUUUUAACUUUUCUUUUCUUUUUAUCAAAAGUAUAAAUGAAUAAAUAACUUGAAUUUAAAAAGUUUAAUAAUGUAGUAAGACGCUCGUAUUUAAUUAAUAUUCAUCGGAUUGGAUAUAUUCACUACUGUACAAGAAAUGAUUUUAUUAUGUAGAAAAUUUAAUAGGAUAAGAUUUCUUCAUUUGCGUUUUGUUCAUCCCUCUAUAUAUAUUUUUAAGAAUAGUAUUUAUGUUAACACGAGAUGACCAUUUUCUUCUUCAACAUCAAAAUUGAUAAUAAUUUGUAUGUAACAAUAUUAAUUGUUAAGGCAUACUAAUCUAAAAAUAGCUCCUAAAAAUUAUCUGGGAAUUAACUGUGGCUUGAAAAACUCUAGAUCUUAUUAGAAUUUUCUUUGUUUGGGUAAUCAAAUGCACACUCUCUUUCAUGUAUUAAGUAAACAUAAGAGACAUAAAAAAAAAGUAAAAAGUAGAGGAAGAAGAAAAACUCAGAUAAUUAAGAGAAAACAAUUGAACUAGAAUUAAAAAAAAUUGUUUACUAACAUUUUGUUAAACUGAUUUAUGUUUAUGAGGAUAUUAUGAAGUAUAAAUAAACUGAUUUAUACAACUAACAUUUUGUUACUAAAAGACAAAGUGAUGAGGGCGAUGAUGAUGACAAUAAAACUCUGAACUCUGAAAGUAGAAUUACUUUUAAGUACGUAAGAAUUGAACAAUAAUUACAAAAGUCUUGCACGUACCUUCUUGGUGGACUCAUGAAUAGUGCUUUUAAAUUUCACUUGGGGACGUUCCAGUAUUUUUAAUUGUUCCAAUGAUGGAAAUUCAAAAUGCAGAUCUCCUGUGCAGAAGCUUGUAAGCUGCGGAAGAUAACAAAGUUCAAGUGUUGUUAAUUGAGUGAGUUCAAUGACUUGCGUGUUACUAUUGCUGGAUUCAUCUCCUCUCUCGGCAGCAAAAAUCACUUCCAAAUUCUGGCAUCCAGUCACUUCAACGGACUGAAGUUGUUGAAGGCCUCUGCCAAUGACCAAUGGAAAUACAUUUUUCAAUUUAUCGCACCAUUCCACCCUUAUGUCCUUUACUUUGCAAAAAGACUCUGCCGCGAGUGGACCGCGACAUAUUUCCUCAAGGUUCCUUAAAUCUCUCAGAAAUAAUGACUCCAAAAGGGGGAAUGCAGUCGUCCGAGCUGUUGCUCUAUCCACUAUGUCGACAACACAUAAAAGGUUGCUAUUUUUUACGACCUCGAGACGCUUCAGCUGUGGAAAACCUUCUCCGUCUGAUCCAUAAAGAACACUCUUCAUGUCCAGCAAUCCGCCUAAACAUAGGUCUUUAAUACCCUUCAAUUGCAUGAUAUGCCCCCCGUUCAAGCAAAUGUUGGCACCACUGGCGACCAUCAGUCGGAAUAUUUCAGAUAUCUCACUCGAUACGUAAUCCCACGUCCACUGACUUCCUAUCAAUAUUCUGUACCUUUGCAGCAUUUUGACGAACGACAAGUCUCUUGGUAGAGUCUUUUCAUCUUGGAUGAGUAUUUCUAAAGAGGUCAAUUUAGAUAAAUUAUUCAACUCAUGAAGGCUGGCAUUUCUUCUUUCACCGUCGACUCCUUCAACCUUCCCCCACUCAAUGGGACUCUCACCAACAUAUAGUUCUUCUAAUCGGGAUAAGCUCGAUAAGACAUUUGAGGGAAUAACUCGCAGUCGGUAACAUCGGCGCAAAUUCAACAACCUCAAUUGAGUCAGCUGGCCUAUCUCUCCAACCAGUUCCUCCAUAUCAGAACCUCGAAGCGUAAGGAUAACUAAUUUCUUUAGGUCUCUAAUAAUAGCCAUGUCUCCUAGUUCACAAUAAUCCAGAGACAAUGUUUGAAGGUUUUGUAAGAGACCAAGAGAUGAAGGCAAUGCCAACAAAUGCAUCUUAGUGAAAUCUAAAACUCUAAGCUCUGUCAUCCCAGUAAAAAAAUUAUCUGGGAUCCUCAAGGAAGCAUGACAGCCAAUACAAAGGAAUUUAAGUUGCGGGCAUUCGAACCCUCGAGGAGGCUCACUAAUAUUACUAUUCUUUAAGGAGAUUGCGGUGCAAACCUUCAGUGCAUCCUUAUCUGGCCAGCUGGUCGGCGGAACAACCUCAUUUUCCACCGCAAAAACAUGUUGGACUCUAGAUGCAAUUGAUAUGGCUACAUCACGAACAACAUCGUGCAUAGAAAACCAUUCACUAGUAUUGCCAUCAAGCAGCAAGCAAGAGUUCUUGAGUUUAUCAACCAAUGUAUGUGCUCUAUCCCGUGCCUCUUCCAACGUGUUGAUGUUUUGAAACAGACCCAGACCCAUGCCAUAAUAGAUCACGUCUUCAACGCAAGAGAUGAACGUGUACCCUAUUAGCAAAAACGUUUUCCUGAGUUCCUCACCUUCUAAAUGAUAGUAACUCAGCUCUAAACUUGAAUAGGCGGGCCCCAAAAAAGACUUAUUUUUCAAUUGUCGUAAAGUAUCCUUCCAUUCAGACAAUCUCUUAUUUCUCAAUGCCCUCGCUACGGGUACAAUGGCAAUGGGCAAACCAGCACAUUCCUUGACUAUCUCUGUUGCUACAGAUUUCAGUUCACCAUUUUCUAUGCAAUCACCUGUCGUCUUUUUGAAAAGACUCCAAGCUUCUUUUGCAUUCAGAACAUCAACAAAAAUAUUUUUUUGACAAUCCAUCUUAGAAGACAACACAUCGUGACUUCUUGCCGUCAGCAGAACUUUACAUCCGCCGAUAUCAUCUGCCAAUGGAAUUCCAAUUACUAAGAAAUCAGAAAAAAGGAUGUUUGGAAGCUGAGAAAAUUUAAGAACUGAAAGCUUUUAGCUCACACGAUUUUAUUCAUCUAAAACUUACUUAUGAAACUAUACACAGAGAUGCUUAUAUACACAACUGAUGCUCAGCUCAAUUAGUUAACUAAUUACAAAACUAAUUCUAGCUAGCUAUAACAACUUCAACUAAUUAUCACGUGAACAAGUGAUUACAUAACCACCAGGUGCCAGCUGGCAUGCCAUGUCAUCAACUCUUAACUGUAAGCUGGAGCUGCUGCUAUCCUCUGCUUUACAGUCUAUGCUACUGAUGUGUGCUUCCUUAACAUCCCCUCUCAAGCUCAAAGGUCUACUAACGACAUUGAGCUUGGAUUUAAAAAAGCUGAAUUUAGAAAAAGAUAAGGGCUUAGUCAGAACAUCAGCUACUUGUUCUUCAGUAGGAAUGUAUCUAACCUCCAAUUCUUUUCCAAGCACUUUGUCUCUAACAUAAUGAACAUCCAACUCUAUGUGCUUAGAUUUUGAGUGAAACACAGGGUUACGAGCUAGCUCCCCUGCACUUUGGUUAUCACACCAAAGAACUGGAGUAGGUAGUUUAGCAAUGUUGAGUUCUGAAAAUAAAGACUGCAACCAAGAAAUUUCUGAGCAUGCUGCUGACAGGGCUCGAUAUUCACUUUCUGUGCUUGACUUUGCUACAAUUGCUUGCUUUUUGGAAGACCAUGAAAUCAGAUUGUUACCCAAGUAUAUACAAUAGGCUCCAAUUGAUUUUCUGUCGUCAAGAUCACAAGCCCAGUCAGCAUCUGUAUAGCCUGUUAUUCCAAUUUCCAGAGUUGCUUCCUUUCUAAGAUAGAGACCAUAGGUGAUGGUUGACUGGAGAUAUCGAAGAACUCUUUUGCAGGCUAACCAGUGCUGAACAGUAGGAGAACUGAGGUAUUGACUGAGCUUAUGAACUGAAUAAGCUAUAUCCGGCCUGGUGAGAAUUAGAUAUUGUAACCCUCCAACUAUGCUUCUGUAUUGUGUUGGAUUUUCGAACUCCUGACCCAAAGGACCCCUGACAUUUCUUUCUAGCUUCAAACCAGUACUAAGAGGAGUAUCAGACCCUUUGCAAUUCUCCAUAGAUGCUUUACUCAGCAAGUCUUUAAUAUACUUUGUUUGAGAUAGAUGCAUACCUUCAUCAAAGUAACUAACUUCAACACCUAGGAAGUAAGCAACUAAUCCCAGAUCUUUCAAGGCAAAUGUCUGACUGAGUUUAACAAUAAAAUCCUCUAGUAAAGCAGAAUCUGGUCCAGUGACUAGAAUAUCAUCCACAUAGAUCAAUACUAUGAUUAAGCCCCUUGUAUCAUGUUUAAUGAAUAGAGUUGUAUCAGCCUUUGAAUUAAGAAAUUGCCAAGUAGUUAGACAACCCUUCAAUUUUUCAUACCAGGCUCGUGGAGCUUGUUUUAGACCAUAGAGAGCUUUAUUGAGUUUGCAGAUGUACCCUUCCUUAGUUACAAAGCCUUCUGGUUGUGUCAUAUAUACGUUCUCAGAAAGAUCUCCAUUAAGGAAUGCAUUAUUUACAUCAAUUUGUCUGACUUUCCACCCUUUUAUAACUGCCAAGCUGAGUAUAACUCUAACUGUUGAAGACUUCACCACUGGACUGAAAGUUUCUGAAUAAUCUACCCCUGCUGUUUGGUGAAAUCCCUUUGCAACCAAUCUAGCUUUAUACUUGCUGACAGUUCCAUCUGUGUUAUACUUUGUUCUGAAUACCCACUUACAACCAACUAGCUUGUAUGUAGAAGACAUUGGCACAAGAGUCCAAGUGUUGUUGUGAAUAAGAGCAUCAUACUCAGUUUGCAUUGCAUCUUUCCAUUUAGGAUCUGAUAAUGCCUCAGGGACAGUGGAUGGUUCUAAGCUGUUGUGAGUUGUUAGAAAGGUCUUUGGUUUGAAAAUACCAGCUCUAGCUCUGGUUAUCAUAUGAUGGGUGGAAGUAGAAGGUUUAGGCUGAGAUGUUUGUGUUGUGCAGGGUAUUUGUGGUGCUGGUGACUGGGGUGCAGGUGAAGGCAAAGAUGUAGAGGUCUGAUUUGUGGGUGACUGAGAUUGAGGUGAAUUUGAUGAUAAAGAAUGAUUGACAGGGAAUUGAUCUGCUGCAGUAGCUUCAAGACUGUUCAGAUUGCUAUUAGGAACUGACAGAGUAAACCUUUGAAAAAGAUUAUAUUGAAAAUCAGAGGAAGUGUGUUUAGAAGAGGAAGAAAAAUUUGGAUCUGAAAUGUAAGGGAAAGUGGUUUCAUCAAACAAUACAUGACUGGCAAUAUAAAUUUUGCCUGAUGAAUGUAGACACUUAUAGCCCUUAUGUGAAGGACUAUAUCCUAAGAAGACACACUUUGAAGUAUGGAAAUGGAAUUUAUGGUUAUUGUAUUCUCUGAGAAAAGGAAAACAAGAACAUCCAAAUGUUCUUAGAAAGUUAUAGUCUGGUUGAUGAUGAAAGAUUGAUUCAUAUGGAGUUUUCAUUGCUAGAAUAGGUGUUGGUAAUCUGUUAAUGAGAUAGGCUGCUGUAUGAAAAGAAUCCCACCAGAAUUUGAUACGUAAUUUAGCUUGUGCAAGAAGAGUAAGACCUGAUUCAGUAAUGUGUCUGUGUUUCCUUUCUACCAAACCAUUUUGGUUAUGUGUAUAAGGACAAGAGUGUCUAAAUUCUAUCCCUUCUUCUUGAAGAUAUUUGCUAAAGGAUCUGAAUUCCCCUCCCCAGUCAGAUUGAAGACAUUUAAUGGGCUGUUCUAAUUGUUUUUCAACUUGAGCUUUGAAAAUUUUGAACACAUGAAGAGUUUCAUCUUUGGUUUUCAGGGGAAAUAUCCAAGUGAAUCUGGUAAAAUCAUCCACAAAGCUCACAUAAUAUUUAUAACCUUGUGUGGAAACCACUGGAGCUGGUCCCCAUAAAUCAGUAUGUAAAAUGGCUAAAGGUUGUUUUGUUUUUGUUUCAGUUGCUGGAAAGUGUAAUCUAUGCAUUUUCCCAAAUUUACAAGCAUCACAUGAAUCAAACUCUUUAUUUCCAUUGAUAGGUUUGAAAGAGGAACAAGAUUGUAUUACAUGGUUUAAGAUCUUAGAGUUAGGAUGACCUAGCCUCUGAUGUAAUACAGAAGUGCUUAAAAGACACUUAGAGUUCAUACAAGGUUCUGCUGCCACAUUUUGCAAGCAGUGAUUAUUUGACUGACUGAGAUUGACAGUUGAUAGCAUUGACAAAGGAACAAAUGACUGAAAAGAAGACUCAAUAUUUGCAACAUGACCUUGAAAGGAAGACUGAGCAGAAGUUUUAUUUGAGGACACUAAUAGCAAUCUGUACAAGCCUUUUUCAGCCUUGCCCUGCAGUAUGAUCAAAUUCUUCACCUUGUCCUUCACAAAACAAGAUUUGUCAGUAAACUCAACUGUGAUAUUGUUGUCUUUGGUUAGCUGAGAAAUGCUUAUAAGGUUCUUGGUUAUUUGUGGAACUAAAAGUAUAUUGUUUAGUUUAAUCACAGUGGAAUCAGUGCAGUUGUGCAAUCUCAGAACAGCUUUUCCAAUAUUUGUAAUAUUCAAGCCAGUACCAUUACCAAUAAUGAGUUUAGAUGUACCUGUAAAUGAUUCAGAAAUCUGCAUAUUGUUCAUGUCAUUUGUGAGAUGGUGAGUGGCACCACUGUCAAGGUACCAAUUUGUAUCAGAUGAUCCUUCCAUGUUUGCCAGAUAUGCAGAUUUCGGAUUCCUGUUUGGAGGUGGUCUAUAAGCUCCUGAAGCAAUAAAUUCUUCCAGCUUCCAGCAUACAUUAGCUGUGUGGCCUAUUUUGAGACAAACUUGACAUGUAGGCUUAGAAGGAUUCCACUGAGAUUUAGGAUUUCCAGGUGUUUUGCCAUUAUUGACAGCAUUAUUAUUAUUCCAGUUUCCUCCUCCUCCUCCUCCAUAGUUUCCUCUGUAACCAUUAUUUCCAGCACUUCCAACAGCAAAACCAGAUGAUCUAUAAUUUCCUCUGUAACCACUAUUUCCAGAAUUUCCAGCAUUAUUGUAGCCUGUAUUAUAUCCAAGACUACCAAAACCUUUUCCUCCUGAGAAGUUUCCUCUCUUAGGUCCUCUAUUUUGUGCAAAGUUAGCUUCUAAAUUGUGUUUAACAUCCAUAUUAGCAAGCAUAUGAGUUUGUUGAUCAAUCCUAGCCUCUUGAGUUAACAGCAUAGCAUAAGCCUCAUUAACAUUCAUUUUUCCAGUUCCUACUUGUCCAGUGAUGUAAGUAGCAACAGAAUUAUAAUCAGGACCUAGACCAGAGAGUACAUGUAAAAUCAAAUCAUCAUUGCUUAAUGCACUUCCUGCUGCAGCCAUGUUAUCAGCAAUAGAUUUCAUUUUAAUGAAGUAUUCAGUCAUUUUAAGAUCAUCCUUUCUAGUGGAAUUCAUCAAAUAUCUCAAAUGUAAUAACCUAGACUUUGAUUGAGAUCCAAAUUGAGUUUCAACAGCUUUCCAUACCUCCAAUGAAGUCUCAAGAUUGAACACCAAACUGAUGAUACCUUCACUCAUGGAUGAAAGAAGCCAACCGAGAAGUAUUUGAUCUUGUGCUCUCCAGGUUGCAAAUUCUGGAUUCUCCACAGAUCUAAGCUCAUCAUCAUAUCUCUGAGCAAUAUGAGAAGGAGGUGGAGUGAUUGACUCAUCGAUAAAUUUCUCAAGUCUAUUUCCUCGAAUUGAAGCAAGCACUUGAGAUCUCCAGAUCAAAUAGUUUGAUUGAUCAAGUUUAACGGGAGUAUUGAAAGUGAAAUUGACUGUUGUUGAAUGUGCAGCGGUAUUAUGAACUUGAUUUAAGGAAGAGGCAAGAUUCACAGAUGCCAUUGUGGCUCUGAUACCAACUAAGAAAUCAGAAAAAAGGAUGUUUGGAAGCUGAGAAAAUUUAAGAACUGAAAGCUUUUAGCUCACACGAUUUUAUUCAUCUAAAACUUACUUAUGAAACUAUACACAGAGAUGCUUAUAUACACAACUGAUGCUCAGCUCAAUUAGUUAACUAAUUACAAAACUAAUUCUAGCUAGCUAUAACAACUUCAACUAAUUAUCACGUGAACAAGUGAUUACAUAACCACCAGGUGCCAGCUGGCAUGCCAUGUCAUCAACUCUUAACUGUAAGCUGGAGCUGCUGCUAUCCUCUGCUUUACAGUCUAUGCUACUGAUGUGUGCUUCCUUAACAGCCUCCAAACCAAGACUCCCCCAUAUAUCAUCCAAGAUUAUAAGGAUCUUCGUCUCUUUCUUCAAUCUUUCAAGCAGCCUCCCUGCUCUUCCAGUUUCACUCUCUUCAUCUAUUUUCAGGCCCAGCUUCUCUGCAAUUUCUCUUUGUAUUCCUUUUAUUUGCGGUGUUCGGGAUACAUGUGCAGAAAUGACCUUCUCGAAUAGAUUAUAUUCCUUGGCCUGCCUGCCAACUUCUUUCACCAGCGUUGUCUUUCCAAUGCCACCCAUGCCGCACACCCCAAUCAUGUUGAAGUUACGGUUGCUGAGUGCGUCCAGUAUCUCCUUCAAAGUGGAAGUUCUCGAUUCAAAGUGCAUGAAACCCUGGGUAGAGUUAAGCCAUGUCUCCUCUGGAAUGGUACGGAAAGAAACACCGUCGAAUCUUCAUUUUUCAAGAAGUCCAGCAAUAGCAUUCGCUUCACUUUCUGCUUUCAUGCUAAGCUGGUACCGGGUCUUCAAAUUAGGACACAACCCCUUCAACCACCGGUUGUUUGAAUUCUCUUUGUCUGCAAUAAGUGUUUCGACUUCAUUGAUGGCCUUGUCCACAGUAAUCAUCCACUCCUCAACGUGAUGUUGAAUUCCGUCCCCUUUAAUUCUGGAAUCAUCAACCUUAUACCGCACACUCUCUCUAGCAUUCUUGAGCUUAUCAACUUCAUUAUUCAGCUUCUCGAAGUUGGUGUUGUAAGUGCAGUAGUAAGUAAAUGGAUGAAUAAUGGGAUCAACCAAGUACUCUGCAACUUUCGCAACUGCGGAGGUAGCAAUAUCCAUUAUCCCUUUCUUUUUUUUAUUUUUCGCUUUCAGAAUACAGGGGAAAGCAAAACUAAUCAAACUAAGCAGAACUAAUCAAUCAGCUGGGAAGAGGGAAAUAAGAAGUUCCGAUAAAUUGCUAAAAUAAGAAGUUGAAUAGAUUUAAGGGAGGAGGAGAGGAAAAGAGUGAAAAAUCUAGAGAUGAAACAAAGGGGGAUCCAUUUUCUGCUAAGACAAAUUGAAAAGCGAGUACAAUAAAUGAAAGAUUUGCAAAGAAGGUGUAGGAUCGAGGACAAGAACGAUUCAAAAAAGGGAGACAGAAAAUGAAGAAGAGAUUUCAGAGGACUCUAGAGAUUAGAGAAGAGGGAUGAUUAGGAAAAUGCAGAGGCAGACAGUUGUCAUCUCAAGUCUCAAGGGUAAUCUGAACUUUAUGAUUUUUUAUUUUUUCAAGAAAUAGAUGUACAAAUAAAAUGAAAAAAAAAAAAAAAAAAACCUGUUGUGUGGUCGUGUGGGUUCCUCGAAAUCACUUCGGCAUUUAAUCGAACGGUUGGAUGUACUCAGCAUCUACACUUGCACGAAGGUUCCUGGAAGUUGCGAGUGCUGCCGGCAUUUUCAAACUCGGAAGGUUUCAAUAAUUCUUUUUCUUUGAAAGAAAGGUUUCAAUAAUUAGCUUUGAUAAUUGUGUAAUAUACGAUAAUCUAGUGAUGAUGAUGACUUAUUUAUGUGAUUAAAAGCUAAGCUGGUGGAUUUGUAAGUAAGAACACACGAGCAACCAUUUUUGUUGAUGCGGGAUUCCGGUUCUCCUCGUUCUACGACCAGGAUCUCUGCCCGAUCAACUUCUUCACGACCAGGAGGUCUCCUCGUGAGGCUUCUUCUCCAGAGGUUCCUGCGCACACAGACAAGUCAGAGUACGCCGGUUGUUUUCCCGGCGCAAACCCUCCGACGCUCAAGUCAGAUAUGAAGGUUCGGGGAAUGCUUGCCACAGAUCUUAUGGCUUUUUCGUGGUUUUCUCUUCUUUUGAAUUUCUUUUCUAAUCUCAAAAAUGCUAACCCUUUUACCUUCGUUGGCUACCUUUUUAUAGGCUUCCCCCGAAUCCUAGUUUUCCGCUUUUUUCGAGACGGUAUGGGACUCUGACUGCUGCGUUAUGGGCAAACGUGGGAUCUUGCGUGUUACGCCACGGUUCUGGGGAAAGCGUGGCUGUCGUGGUUCUGUGAGAUCUUGCGUGUUACGCCACGGUUCUGGGGAAAGCGUGGCUGUCGUGGUUCUGUGAGAUCUUGCGUGUUACGCCACGGUUCUGGGGAAAGCGUGGCUGUCGUGCCUAGAUUCUCGGGCUGGAGAGCAUGUCUUGCCAACUGCCGUCGACCGGGUCUCCUCGCCUCUCGACCUCUAGCCGGAAUGGCCUUAUGCCUCUUACAGGAAAUUGGCCUCGCGGAUGACGUGCUCGUGGACGAGCAGGAUAUUUCUGCUCCUGUUCCCCCGCGCACCAGGCUUUUACGGAACACACCGGUUCGCAGAACUCUGCCAUCAGAUAUCUGCUCACCAUGCCUGGUCUCGUCGACGUAUUUCUCCCAAACACCGGUGACGUAUUUCUCCCAAACAAUUUUUAUCUUCUUAUUGCCACAUUCUUCUAAUCAAUUUGCUUUCACCAACAAAAAUAAUUAAUAAUUUGUAAAUAGUUGGAUCUUAAGCUCAAAUUUUGACAAUACAUGAAUGAUAAUGUAUACUUAUUUUUCAAGGGUAAACUCUAUUCAAGAGAGGAUCUCAAUUUUCUAUUAGUUUCUUCAAAUGGGCAUUUUAUCCAACAGUUGAUGAACUCGAAAACUUACACGAAGGUUCCAGGGAGUUGCAAGUGCCGCCGGCAUUUUUCAAGUAAUCAAGUGAUUAACUUUGAUGUGUAAUAAAUAACUUUGAUUAUUGAGUAAUAUAUGAUAAUCAAGUGAUUUUAAUAUGUAAACGGUAGGAUUUUGGGCUCAUAUCUUUAAAUUAAAAUCAUGAUCAUUUUAUCAUUAAACUCGAACUCUAUCUUGAUUAAUAAACAAUUGAGGAUUUUUCAGGAAUAAAUCUUCAAGAAACUAAAUAUGCUUGGCCUAAUGGAAGUUAUUAAAAUGUCAAAAUUAAACCCUUUUAAAUAUAUUAGGGAUUGUAAAGAAUUUCGGAUAGAUUUGAGUGUUACUGAUAUCAAUUGAGGAUAAUGGGGUGAUAAAUUUAUGGAGGAAACUACCAAAAUCUCUCUGUUGUUCUGCGAAAUUGACUAUUUCUUCUUUCUCGUUUUCCUUCAAAAUUUCGCUUACGUACAUGGAUAAAAUAUUUCAUUUUUCAACAGGUGAUGUAAGAUAAUUUUACCUUUUUAAUUUUCCUUGGGAAUUUUAUAUCUAAAUCAUGUUAAAGUGGACCAAAAAGACAAAACAUAGAAAGCGACAAUCCAACAACUAGGUAAAUUUAUUGGGAAACACUAUUUCUGCUAAUUGAAGAAAAUCAAGAAAUGCUGAUUCCGUCAUGCUUAGUUUCAUAAUCAUUAAUAUGCUUUUAUACGAAUCCUUGUUUUUGAAUAUAAUAAUGGUUUAAGAAAUGCAUACCUGUUAGUUCUCCAUUUCUUGACUCCGAGGAAAAUUUGACUUGACAGAUGAAGCAAUGUUAUAAGAGGUUUCAUACACAGCUUCUACGCGAUCACUACCAUGCUUACAUGUAAAACGUUGCUGCCAUGUCAUCAUACUGGACAGACCUUCAGAGGUUACUCUUCGAAGCGUUUCAUUAUGCCACGUGUACUUGGUUAUUUGACUAAUCACGGUUCACAAGUUGAGUGAGUUACUCACCACACCACCUUCCUGCUGCAAAGAAUUUUAAUUGAACUUUGACUUGGUCAGAAACUCAGAAUGAGUGGUGCACGUGAUGCAUACACGUGAGGACCCAAAUGACGAAUUCCAAACGCUGAGUGAUGUACGUGUGAACUAAAUGUUUUCAUUUUAAUACCAGCGGCAAUCACGUACACGUUUAAUGAUUUGAUUAAAUUUGUGUUUAGUUCUAUAAAUGAUUUCAGUCAUUGUUAUGAUUUUUUUGGGUUGACUCGACGGAGCAACUAAUAAUUUCCCAGUUCUGCUACUAAAUUUAUUUCCCACGAUUUGAUUAAACAGAGCUCCACUAAAACUUCAAUUCAUUUCACUAUUGUAAUAGAGGUUUCAUUCACGUUGAAUACCCAGAAUAAUUACUGAUAGUUAUAUAUGGAAUGCUACUUCAAUGUAGCUUACUGCCGCAAUAAUACUCAAUGACUUUCGAUGACAAAAAAAUUUAUCAUUAGAAUGACUGUAAGUUCAUCUAAUGCCGAGUUUCAUCAUUAACUACCAAAAUACUCCAGAAAUCCAAUACAUUUAACUAAACACAAAUUUAAUCAAAUCGUUAGACACUCAACCUGAAAGUGGAUUCGAAGUAAUAUUAAUGAAAACAAAGAAACAGGGGGACCCUCUUGAUCGCCAACGCCAUCUUACCCUUGAUAAAGAGAAAGAAGUCAAGCUCCAUAUAAUAUAAUGCCUCACAAAUUAUACAGAAAAAAAUGGCCUCAUUUCAGAUGCUACAUAGAUGGUUUUCAUGAAUCCUCGUUUUGUGUGAUGAUUUUUUUUUUUUUUUGACAUUUAAUAGAGUAUACAAAAUAAAAAUAAAAAUUUAAAAUUUACUAGAUGAGCCAAUAAAGUAUAGUAGUGUUCAGAAAUUUUUUUUUUUCUAGAAUGUAAAUAACCCACCCAAAGUAAUUUUAUCUUAUUAGACUGAGGUUCUCCCCCCUCCCCCACAAAAAAAAAAAAGCUGCUUCUUGGUUUUUAAUGCAAACACGAUUACACGAAGAGCUUUCGUUAAUAGUGCUUUUAGAUUGGAUUUCUAUGUUAAAAUAUAAAUCAGUUUUAGAACACUAAAUUGAGGGAGAAUGUUGGAUUUGAUCUUAUUGUAGGCAACUUCAAGAGUGUAAGAAACUGCUCCUGGAGCGUGCUAUUACAUGUUUUGUUUGUGGAAAAUGAUAUUUGUGCUGUCAAUUUUAUGCUGCAAUGGCACUAUAGCAUAAGCAAUACCCAUAUUUCUGCAUGUCUUCCGAAUAUCUUGCAGCUGUUCAAAUAACAAUGCUCUUUGUUUGCCUACAAACCUCUAUUUUCUGUCAACAUAAUCGAGGUAGCAACCCGCUAAUAAUUUUGUAAAUUGAGCCUGGAUGAAAAAUUGAUGAAUGUGUGGGUGAGAAUAAUCAUUACUCAAAUCUUUCACUGAUGUCCUAAAUGAUUUCUCCUUCUAUAGAUUACAGUGGUUGGUUAUAAUCACAAAUUGAGGAUCUUGCUGGAAGCUGUUGUUCAAAAAAUUGCAGAAUUCAAAGUGAAACCAAACAGAACACUUAUUUCUGUUCGAAUAGCCGCCGUAAAGUUUGAAUUGGGCAAUUUUUUGGACAAUAUGUUUCCAGCAAGAUCCUCAAAUUUGUGAUUAGAACCAACCAGUGUAGCCUAUGGAAGCAAAAACAACCAUUUAGGAGAUUAGUGAGAGACUUGAGUAGUGAUCUAGUUCCGCACUGGUCUCAGCCUUCUCUUCAGUCUCUUGCUCUUUUGCUUUCGUCUCAGAAACUCCGCGCUGAAUGCCCGUACUUUCACUCUUCCGCUUCUCUGUUUCUGCCUUGAUAUCAUCAAAGAUGGCAUUAAUCGUAGAAUAAGCAGAUAACAAUCUAAAGUGAAGGAGGCCAAAGGAAAGUGAGAUUAAAAAACAAACAGAAGCGAGGGUUUUUUUCAGACGAAAACGGAAACAAGAAAAGGACCAAUUCGAAGAGCUGACAGAACGGAUGACUGAAUAAGAAGUGAGUUGAUUAUUUUAUACAGCCAAUUCAUGUAAUGACAGAUCUGGUUUCGAUCUUUGUAAUUUAAAUGUAUUAUCAGUACGAGGUGAAGGACUUUUUUGUCGACUCAGUCCAACACAAAUUCAAAUUACUAAAGCAACGUGAUACUGGUUUUGAUCUCUGUAAAUUAAGCACAUCAAUACGAGGUGACUCUCACAAGACUUUUGAUGUGCUAUUGCCAGUCAAAUAUGAGACGAAAUCUGAAUAGACUCACUUAGUUGUGUUAUUAUUUAGGAGGUCGAGUCCAGAUAACAUCCAGCUCACUUGCUUUCUCAAUGACCAACAUUUUGUGAGCCAAGCGUUCGACUUCAAACCACUUAGUGCCUGUUUGGUAUGGCUUAUUUAAGAGCCAUAAGUGCUUAUUUAAUCGUAUAAGCACUUUUUAAAAUUUUUUAUGGUGUUUGGUUAUUUUUUUAGUAGAGUUUUUUUAGCUUAAAUAAGCUAAUUUACCUCUACUAACAAAAGCCCAAAAUUUGAGCUUUUGGGAGUAGAGGUUAUAAAGCUUUUCUAAAAAUAUCUAAUAUAAAAAAUAUCACACAAUUUAAUGGUUCAAAAGUACUUUUUUUAUUGACAACCAAACACCCAAUGACUUUUUGUCCAAAAGCUCUAUUGGUAUAAGCUCUAGUGCUAUAAGCUCUACUGUUAUAAGCUUUACUGUUAUAAGCUCUAUUUAAUAAGCUGUACCAAACGGAGCCUUAAUCUGAUUAGAUGAAUUUUCAAGCCGAAAAACAUGCUUUAAUUAAAAACAGAGACAGCAGGUGCCCUGUACUCAGGAUCCGAUCAUACAUAUACAAAGAAUAUCUGCUAUUAAGAAUUUCACAUCUCAAGUAGUUGAAAUUUAGUUUCGAAAGAAAAGAAUGGAAUAAUUGAUAAUAACAAUAAAUUACUAUAUCGCAUGCAUGUUCAGGUGACUUAAUUUGCAUUUACUCUUGCAAUGCCUGACGUGCGCACGUGAUCACAAAAAUAAACUUGAAUAGAAUCUCUCACAUUCACCAGAAAAUUGUUGCACAUAAUAAUAAUACAAGGGAUGCACAGAAAUGGUAAGUUCACACAUCUUUAGUUAAGAUGAUCAAAUGAAGGAAUUGCACACCUAUUUUUACGCUUCCAAAGCUGUAGCGACAGCGUGUAAGUUAAAAUACAAUUGAGGGUGCGUUUGGGAUUGAGGUUGGGCAGCUGUAGCUUAAAAGCUACAGCACUAAAAUGUUUGGUAAACACUAGCUGCUGUAGCUUUUAAGCUAUGUUGAUAUGAUUUUUCACUUGUAUAAUAUAAAAUUUAUUAUAUCUUUAAUAAUUUUAUCAAAAUUAUUAUUUAAAAUUUAUAUUUACUAUAUAUUAUUAACUUUUGUUUCAUAAUUACAGCUUUUUUUUCACAGCAACUGUAGCUUAAAAGCUACAGCACCUCAAUCCCAAACGCACCCUGAAACUAGUUUAGUCGAAGCUCUCAACAUGUGAUGUUUCGCAGAACGAAUACCAGUUUCAGAGAAAUAUUAUCUAAUUUUACACACCUUUCACGGAAUACCAAAAAAUAAAUGAUCAAAUAAAAGAUUACUACAAAAAUACAUUCCUAUCAAUCAUCAUAUAAUUUCAAACUAUAUCUAUUUUUUUUUUUUAGGUUAAUCGAAGGUUCCUGGAAGUUGCAAGUCCCUGCCGGUGUCAAAGGGAAGGUACCAAUCUCGUGUUCGUCCUUCCAAUGUCAAAGGGAAUACUCUGCACCUCUACGCUGGUGUUAGCCCCUGCACUCCAGUCAUGUCGUUGAAGUGCUCGACGUGCACCAGCGGACCACUUUUUCCUGAGUAUUUGAGGUCGAGAAAAUGAAAAUUUCUUGGCAUCAUAGUGCCCAUGAUUUCAGCUGAAAGCCGAGAUUAAUCAUCCAGCAUUAUUCUCCAACUGAGGGGCUUUCUCCUACCCUGCAUUUCGUCUAUUAUUUGUGCCAAUCACCAUACUUCUCCCUCCAGUUCCAAGGCUCGAGCAUGUGCUGCCUGAGCUCCCUUUUUUCGGUAUUCGCUCCUCUGCUACAACUUCCUAAGAUUCGUCCGUUGUGUAAUUGAUCUCUCCCUUCAUGCUCACAUUCUCUCAAAGUAUGAGUUCCAACUCCAUUGUUAGGCACCCCAUUGAGUUGUCCCCCUUAUUGAAGGGAUCUCCUCAUUUCUAUUCCUCCGAUGACUGGGCUUUGUGGCUGUUAAAGAUAUAAAUGUAAAGAAUAUUCUUGUAAUGGUUUUGCUGAUGUGGCAGCUGAGUAAGCAAGGUUGUUAUUGUUAGUUUGUAAGUUUGUUAUAGAGCUGGGAAAGUUAGUUAAUCACAACUUAUUCUUUACACGUGUGUGAGCAAAUGUAGAAGGUUCUGGAUCUCAGUAUAUAAGCUCACUUUCUAUACUCAUAAUUAGUUGAAUAAGAUUUGAUCUGUUUUUCUUAUAUUUUCUCUUAAUGCUCAUUAAAUUUUCCCUCACUUUCUCUGCAACCAAACAAGCACAAAUAACUUGAUUAAACUUCAAUUUGGUAUCAGAGCUAGAUUUAGUCUAAUCUCGUGGCGUUAUCACGCUUGAACACAAACAUCUCAUCUUCAGCCACAACCUUUACCUUCACACCUCCAAUAAAACUUGACUGAUCAAAUUACUUAAUCUGGAAAUCUCAAAUCCUAUCUUCAGUUCGAGCAAAUGAACUUGAAAGUUUGCUUGAUGGAUCCAGAAUCUGUCCAGAUCAAUUUCUCUCAAGCACUCAAGGAAAUGCAGAUGCUAUCUUCAAUGCUUCUGUAAGUUCAAUUGUUGCUUCACGAGAGAAUCCUGAGUUUGCUGUGUGGAGAAAGCAAGAUCAGAUGUUACUGAGCUGGCUGUUAUCCUCCAUCAGCGUUGAAAUCCUCAGUCUUGUGGUAAACUCUAAAACUUCCUAUGAACUGUGGUCUAGUUUAGAGCAACAAUUUGGAUCUGAAACUGUUGCUAAGAAAGUUCAUCUCAAAAUGAUGUUGAAUAAUUUGAAGAAAGGAUCUAUGACUAUGACAUAAUAUUUUAGUAAGUUGAAGUCAGUUACUGAUGAGCUUGCUAUUGCUGGAAGUCCUGUUAGUUCUUUGGAUUUUAUAACUCAUCUCAUCUCUGGAUUAGGUCAGCCUUAUUAUCCAGUAGUUGUGUAUAUUGAAGCAAAUGUUCUAAAAAUGAUUAUUAAUGAGGCUUAUUCAAUGUUGUUGACACAUGAGGCACGUUUAGAAAGUAAUCAAUCUAAUGCUUUCAAGGAAGUGAAACACAACUAUGCUGCUAACUUAGCUCAGGCUGGAAACAAUCAAAAGAAAAUUAAUAAUCAGGGAGGCUAGAAUAACAAUAAUCAAGGAGGCUGGAAUGGAAACACUGGAAACAAAACUGGAUUUAAUAACUAGAAUGGAAAUUUUACAAACAGAGGAGGUUUCAAUCCAGGAAGGGGGCAAAAUUCAGGCAGAGGACAAUGGACUAAUAACUGGAAUAACUGGAAUGGAAAUCAAGGUAGAGAUAAUUUUGCUGGUGCUGUUGGAAAUUUUUCUGGUGGAUUUCCUAGUGGUUUUAAUGGAUUUGGAAGAGGAGGAGGCAGAGGAAGUAUUGUUUGUCAGAUUUGUUUCAAGCACAAUCAUACUGCAGCUGAUUGUAAAGACAGAUUUAACAAAAACUUUGUUCCAAAUUUUUCUGUGCAAGGAAAUUUUCCAGGUCAGAAUCAAACUUCCAGAGUUGCUUUCACGGCUACAUCAGAAGGAGUUGCUGACCAAGGAUGGUAUCUAGAUAGUGGAGCAACACAUCAUCUUACAAACAAUGUAGAGAACUUAGCUGAAGGUAAACCUUAUUUUGGAUCUCAGUUGCUGUUAGUUGGUAAUGGACAAGGUCUUAGAAUCACUUACAUAGGCAAUAUAUGUCUCUUUAUAUCCUUAGGUAAUCAGUUAAACCUUUCUAAUGUUAUGUGUGUUCCCAAAAUUACCAAAAAUCUCAUUAACUUGUCUAAACUUCUCUCUGACAAUCAUAUAACCAUUGAAUUUGUUUCUAAUCUUUGUUUCAUUAAGGACAAGAUGCAAGGAACUUUGCUGGCACAGGGAAUUGCUGAAGAUGGUCUCUUUAAGCUAUUGCCUCAAGAUACACCUAUUCCUGAUUCUAAAGCUUCGGGUUUAAAACCUAGUUCAAUGUUGUCUGUUUUUUCAAAUAAAGAGAUUUUACACUCUUUGAAAGAGUUGAAUAACCAAACAAAUGUCUGUUCCAAUUUGAUCAAUUCUAAUAAUGAGAAUUCUGUCAGUUUUUUAGCUUCUAGUAGUGAGUCUAUGCAGUUGUUGCAUAAUAGGUUUGGUCAUCCAACCAAACAUGUUUUGCAAACAAUAAUGAUAAGUCUCCCCAUGCAUUCAAUCCAUUCUCAAUCUCUUAACUUUUGUGAUGCUUGUCAAUAUGGCAAAUUACAUCAAUUUCAUUUUCCAGUCACUGAUAUAAAAUCAAAAUUCCCUUUCCAACUCUUAUAUGCUGACUUAUGGGGUCCAGCUUCUGUGUUGUCCAUGGAUGGAUACAAGUACUAUAUUUCCUUUGUUGAUGAUUUCACAAGAUAUUGUUGAAUAUUUCCACUCACACUUAAAUAUGAGGCAUUUGAAACCUUCAAACACUUCAAGUCCCUUGUAGAAAAACAAUUUUCUUUAUCCAUCCAAACACUACAAACUGAUAUGGGGGGUGAGUUUAUAGCUUUCAAAUCAUUUCUACAAUAAGAAGGUAUUCAGUUUAGAUAUAGUUGCCCCCAUACUCACCAUCCAAAUGGUGUAAUUGAAAGGAAGCAUAAGCAUAUUGAUGAAACUGGACUCACACUCUUAGCUCAAGCUCACUUACCUCUCUCUUUUUAGUGGGAAGCUUUUCAUACAGCCACCUACUUAAUUAAUAGAAUGCCAACACCUAUUCUCAACAAUUUCUCUCCUUUUUAGAAACUAUACAAUCAGCUUCCAGAUUACAAAUUUCCUAAAGUGUUUGGUUGCUCAUGUUUUCCUUUUCUUCGACCUUAUAAUCAUCACAAGCUAGAUUUUCAUACUAAAAAAUGUGUCUUCAUUGGUUACAGUCCCAUUCACAAGGGCUACAAGUGUCUUGAUUGAACUGGGAAAGUUUUUGUUGCCAGACAUGUUACCUUCAAUGAACUGGAAUUUCCGUAUUCUGAACUGUUUUUGAAAAACAAGUCAAACAUAUUCUCUCAUUCUGAUAUCUCCACUCCAUCUUCAGUUCAUUUCUUUCUUCCUCAAACACCUAUUCUCAGUAAUAGUAGCAAUGAAGAGCCAUGAGCUGCAGUCUCCAGUCCUGCUUUGUCUUCUGCAUCAGAGUCUCAUUCCUUGCAAAAUUAUGUUCAUUCACAAUCCCUUGAUCUAUCUUCAAGACCUUCAAAUUCUUCUCAACCAGUACUCUCUACUCAUCAUAUGGUUACCAGAUCUAAAGCUGGUAUCUACAAACCCAAAACCUAUCUAGCUGUUUCUCAAGACCUUGAACCAUCCAAUGUCAAAACGGCAUUGGCAGAUCCUAGGUGGUACUCAGCUAUGAAAGAAGAAUUUGAAGCUCCCCAAAGAAAUCAAACUUGGUCAUUAGUGCAACAUCAUCCGUUGUCGCAUUUGCAUCAUAAGCCCUUCUUUGCUCGUUCCUUAACUCAUGUAAGAUGGCGGUGAGGGUCUCCAUCUGCCUCUCCAUACACUUUAUUCGCUCAUGCAUCACUCUUUCCCGUGCCUCAUUUACCAUCUCUCUUAGAGUGAUCGUCUCACUGGUCUCAUGCUUGUCUCCUUGGGCACUAUUCCUUCCUAUAUCCAUGUCCACACGCCUGCUUUUCCCUAUGAGUUGCUUUGCUAGUGGUAGCUUUUUGUUCAACUCCCCACAGACGAUGCCAAAAUGUUGAUGCUGAAAUAUGGUCGUACGUGGAAGGGUAACCAGGUUGUCUCGUCAACGCUUAAGUUUGCUCUGGGUGAGGCGCGAAGCUGCUUGUUCUCUCUCCAAUCAAAUGGGUUUAAUGACCUCAACUAACCUUGCUCCUUCUCUUCUGACCUGUACUCACACGAUUAGAUCAAAGGUGCCGGCGGUUUUUCCAGCGAGAACUCUCCAAUACUUAAGUUAGUAUGCAGGGUUUCGGAAAAAAAAAAAACGUUGAAUUAUCAAUCUAUCAAAACUAACAAUUCUUAAAUGAAGGAAGUGUUUCAGAAAGCUUUUUGGAAAUAAGUUCUAGAUCCAAAAUGGCAGAGUUUUCCCCCAUUUUUCCUUUUUUUUUCUUUUUUCCUUUUGUUAUUUUUUUUGGGUUUUUAUAGGCAGCCUCCCCAUGUAUCUAGAACAUCCCCACGUCUUCCAUAUUCGGGCCUUCAUGGGUUUAGAGGAUUUGUGAAAAUCGUGCAUCCGUUAUCGUGCCUUUUCCCGCAUGGUCGGGAAAUGGCGAAACCGUCGCCUAGAUAUGGUAUUGUAUCUGAUAUUUAAGGAAUAGUUCUCUGGUCGACUUUUAGCCAUACAUCAAAGAGGACCCUAGUACUAUUGUGUCUGCUCAUAAUACACCGACCCGAGGAGAUUCUUACCUCGACCAGGCGAAAGCAUGUGUGGCUGGUGCUCUGGUAGUAUAAUCACCCUAACAAAGACGAUUGAGUAUGUUGAUUGAGAUGGAGAAAGACUUGCAGAGUUGGGAGAUGUGCGUCGGCCCAAUGGUAACCGAUUAUUUGAUUUGUACAGCGGCAUUCACUGACUUUAUAUUUUUAAAAAAUUAAGUCAGCAGAACUAAAUGAACUGAGGUAGUGUGUUCGAUUAUAUUAAUUUCUUUUUCUUUUUCAUUGAAAUGAACGCAAAGAGUGGACGAAGAAUUAAAAAAACUUGCGCGAAAUGUGAGGUGAUGAUAAGAGUGAGAAUCCCAAAAUCGGAUCAUAAGUAGACCAAUAGAUUAUCCCACCAUCCAUAGAUUUCAUGAUGGGAUUCGUUUAUUCCAUCACGGAACCGAGCACCAGUAGAUUGUGCCACUGGCCACAACCUCAGCUCCCACGCAAAAGCUUAUCUCAUAUUUGAACAGUUGGCCCACUCCUUGAGUCGUUGGCUUUUCAGUCAACAAAAUAUCACAGAAAACUAAUUAAGGCCAAAAGUUAAAACGAAGAGGCCCCAUCCACCCAUGUGCUUCUAAUUAUAGAAUCUUCACCUAAUUUUCAAGAUUGAUAUUUGAAAUAAAAUUUGAUUAAAAAUUGACAAAAAUAUACUUAAAAUAAUGUCAUUUUAGGUGAAUUUUUUUUUCUAAAUUAGAACCAGAACGAUAUCAUUUUCAAUUUAUAUUUUUUAAAAUUCAAUUUUGUGCCUUAUUUUAGUCUUCCAAUCAUUUUUCAAAUUUCAAACAAAUGAUUCUUAUCUUAUUCAAUCUUUACCUUUUCCUUUUCUCAAAAGUAAACGAAAAUGAAAUAAAAAAGGUUAAAAAAAAAUAGUAAAUGAUGAGACUCGGAUCGGGUGGCUCGCAACUUGGAUGAAGAUUCCUGACAGUUGCUAAUGCCGUCCACAUCUUCCAACCUGCAAUUUGGAAGACCGUUCAAGCUUUCUACAGUAGCUUUUAAUUAAUGACGAUUAAGUUUUGAUUAUUUGACGUUCUUCGUAAAAUGAGAGUAUUUUGAGGUAAUUGAUCAAAUGAAAGAUUACCAUUCAUGAUCUAAUUCCCUAAAUAAUAAAAACACUUGGUCUCAGCUGACUUGCUUCAAAUCAUUAAAUAAUUCUUUUACUUGCUAUUAUUGUUCAUAAAAUAUAUACAAAAUUAGAGCUUGUGUGACUUUUUUUUAGGGUGAAAAUAUUUCUAACUCACACGCUUUACAAAAACUGAAGCCUUUCUUCUUCUUUUUCUCUUCCCCCCCCCCCCCCCCCCCCCCCCUUUCUUAAAUGACAAUUAUUGCAUAAUUGUGAACGAUUGCAUAUUUAAGCCUAAUUUCUUAAUGAUCUAGGUUACGAGUGUAGUAUAUAUACUAGAAUUUAAUAAUGAUGAUCUAUUAUUGAAAUAUAACAAUGGACUUUAGAUAAUAGGAAGAAAGCCCAUUUAUUACAUUAAUACAUUAUAUCAGUGAGAUGAUGCUAAUUUAAUGAAACUCAUGUCCCAAGUUAGGAACAGCUACAUGGGCAUUUCAUCGAACAGUUGAUAUGCUUGGCAGAUAAUCGAAUUUUCCUGGAAGUUGCAAGUGCUGCCGGCAUUUUCAAAAUUGGAAGACCAUUCAAAGGUUUUCAAUAAUUAGCUUUGAUAUUACACGUGUGAUAAUCUUGUGAUGAUGAUGAUUUUAUGUAUCUAAUUAUAAGCUAAGCUUAGUGGAUUUGUAAGUAAGCACACGGCAAAGUAUUUAACCUUCUUAUUGUCGCAUUCUUCUAAUCAAUUAGCUUUCACCAACAAAAAUAAUUAAUAAUAAUGUAAAUGGAGGAACUUGGGAUCAUUAACCAGGGAGGAUCCACAUGUUGUCUACAGUGAGCAAUUGACCAGUAAACUUUUAUUUUUCCAUAAUUUUCUAUAUAAAAUCUUCAUAUUUUCAUGAAAUUACAUAAUUUCUUAUAUAAUUGUCUCCAAAAAAUACCAAUAGGUGCACGAACACAAAUAUGAUGCACACAUCUCUUUAAUUAAUUUAGGGCUUAAAGAGAUUUUAAGAUGACUACAAAUUGAAUAUGGCAGAUCUUGGACACCAUCCAUAAGAAAUAAAACUAGUCUCAAAUUGGAUUUCUGAGUACUCAAACAAAGCUAAAAGAAAGAUAAUGAAUGAAAACUGAAACAAAAAAAUCCUCUCACCAACACCAUAUGACUCUUGAUAUAUAGAAAGAACUUGAGCUCGAGCCUUAUCCAAAAUGCUGCACAAGUAGCGGAAAUCCUCUUUAGAAGCUUGGACUAUCUGUAAACAAAGAGUAAAAACACAUUGAAGGUGCAGUUUUCACAUAAUUUAAUUGCACAAAUUAGCCUCUAUUAAGGACACAAAAUCUUUUAAUUCUCUCUGUAAGCAAUUAAUUUCUUUUUUUAUUUUUCGCUAUGUCUGUCUAACAACUAAUCCUCAACAUAACAACAGAGCAGAGUAGUUAUAUUUUAAAAAGAUGUACCAAUAUAAUUUAACAAAAAUUUCAAUAUAAAUAAAACAUUUUUAGUCAGCAAAAUAGAAUCAAAUCAAAACCUCCCAAAUUAUAUAGAUUUUAUCUUACCACUGUUUUUCGCAUCUUUCUCCUUUUCUUUCGCCUUGGCGGACUUCUCUUUCUCUUUUUCCUCCUUUUCCUAAUCAGAUUUAAAAUGAAUUUAUAAAAAAAUUAAUAUGUACUUUUUUCUUUUUACUUCUUUAUAUAUAUCUGUUAUUAAAUCAGUAAUUUUUAGAAAAAAAUAAAUAAAUCAACAUCUCAUGGUGAAUGAAUACUUACCUUUUUUCUUUUAAGAUAUACGUAUUGAAUGGUUGUAUUAAGGUCGCGAUCCCAAGCCCAAAGUUUAUUAUCAAACACGCUCAGCUGCACUUUCUGUAACUUGGGUGUGCUUAAUUCCCCUUCUGAGAAAAUCUUCAUAUUGGGGCAAUUUUUUACCACUAAUGUUUCCAGAGAUGGGAAUUUGAAGUCGCAAUUAUUCCCAGAGCAGCUGAAACUAGUCAGACUUUUUAAGUCCCAAAGCUUCAAUUCCUUUAAUUCGCUGAAAACAAUUUCAUCUUUUGCUGCAUAAUUAUCUCCCUGAUCAUCCUCAUCUGCCACUAUUUCUGUUAUCAUCCUGGAUGAUUGUAUACUCAUUUUUCUCAGUCGCACCAGACUCCUUGCCGUUGAGGAUGUUAGAACGUUGAUCAUUCCACGGCAACCACAUACCUUCAAAGUUGUUAGGUUCUGAAAGGAUGUCGAGGAUGGCACUAGAUUAGUCAAAUUGUUACACAUGAAUAUCUCCAGCUGUUCCAAAUUGUUGGUAUUGGUUGACACUUGUUUGAAAAUCUGCUUCAGUUCACGACGCUGGUUUAUUCCCCUCAUCAUUGCUUUCAUCCCAUUUUCAAGCUUUUCAAAUGAUCUGUACAAAGGCCCAUUGUCCCCUCUUAUAGAGAGAAUUUUGAUGGUGUGAAAUCUAUGGAGGAAAUCGUCAAGUGAUAAAAUAGUACUUGACUCAUCAAGCCCGACAUCUAGAUAUUUAAGUUUGCAAAGCCAGUCUUCUGGAAAUAGGCCUAUGUGCUUUUCAUCAACACUCAAUUCUUCCAAAUUGGGGAACACCUGGGUGAUCAUCAAUCACGAAAAAAGCAAGAUGGAGUUAACACUUCUUUCUUACGAUUUCACAAAUUAAAGUAAAUACAAAGCAUUCCAAUGAUGCAUAUUGAUGGCCGGACAAAUUUAUAUAUAUGCGGAGAGAGCAUGAUUUUCAGCUGUAAAAACAAAGCAUUCCAUUUAAGUAAUGUGUAUUUUCUUCCAUUCUCUCCUCUUAACUCUUGUCCAGUAGAUAGAUUUUCAAAUUUUAUUAGAUUUGUGCAUAAUCUCUAUGAAAAAAGACUUCAAUUAUUCUCAAAUUGCAUUUAAACUUUGAGAUUCUUUUAAUUGAUCCGUUUAUUUGGUUUGAAUUGAAAAUCUUACAAAUUUCUAUAUAUUUAAAAAAAUAUUGGAGUUUUAACUUUUUCUUAAAGCAAAAAUGAAUAAAUAAUAUGAAUUUUAAAAGUUUAAUAAUAUAGUAAGAAGUUGGUAUUUCAUUAAUAUUCAUCCAACUCAAUGGAAUUGGAUAUAUUUACUAUUGUGCAAGAAUGGAUUUUAUUGUACAUAAAGUUUAAUAGAAUAAGAUUUCUUAAUUUGAGUUUUGUCCAUCUUUCUAUAUAUAUUUCAAAAAUAUUAUUUAUGUUACCACGAGAUGACCAAUUUCUACUUCAACAUCAAAAUUGAUAAUCAUUUUGUAUGUAACAAUAUUGUACAAAGGAGUACUAAUUUGGAAAUAGCUCUUGAACGAUUUUCAGGGAAUUAACUAUGGCUUGAAAAACUCUAGAUCUUAUGAGUAUUUUCUUUGUUUGGCUAAUCAAAUGCACUGUCCCUUCCGUGUAUUUAACUAAACAUGUAGACAUAAAAUAAAAAGUAGAGGAAGAAGAAAAACUCUGAUAAUUAAGAGAAAAAAAAAAUUGAACAAGAAGGAAAAAAAUAAUUGUUUACUAUAUAUCUUUUUUUUUUUCAUUCGGUCUAACUGACAUCCAAAAAAAAAAAAAUUAUGUUUGUAAGGAUAUUAUAAAGUAUAAUUAAAUAAACUGAUUUAUAGAACUAACAUUUUGUUACUAAAAGACGAAGUGAUGAGGGCGAGGAAGACAAUAAAACUCUGAACUCUCAAAGUAGAAAUACUUUUCAGUCCGUAAGAAUUGAAAAAUAAUUACAAAAAUCUCGCACGCGUACCUUUUCAAUAUGCAGAUCACCUGUGCAGAAGCUUGUAAGCUGCGGAAGAGAACGAAGCUCAAGUUUCCUUAAUUGAGUGAGUUCAAUCACUUCAGUACCGUUAUUAUUGCUGGAUUCGUCUCCUCUCUGGGCAGCAAAAAUCACUUCCAUAUUUUGGCAACUACUCACUUUGAAGGACUGAAGUUGUUGAAGGCCUCUGCCAAUGACCAAUGGAAAUACUUUUUUCAAUUUAUCACACCCUUCCACCUCUAUGGUCUUUAAUUUGCAAAAAGACUCUGCUGUGAGUGGACCACGACAUAUUUCCUCAAGGUUCCUUAAAUCUUCCAAAAAUAAUGACUCCAACAGGGGGAAUGCAGUCGUCGGAGCUGGCGUACAAUCCAUUGUGUCAACAAGACGAACAAUGUUGCCAUUACGUCGGAUUUCGAGACGCUUCAGAUGUGGAAAACCUUCUCUGCCUAGUUCACAAAGAAUAUUCUUAAUGUCCGGCAAUCCAUCCAAACUUAGGUCUUCAAUACCCUUCAAUUGCAUGAUAUGCCCCUCGUUCAAGCAAAUGUUGUCACCAUUGGUGAGCUUCAGUCUGAAUAUUCUAGAAAUCCCAUAAGAUGGGCCAACCGACCACCAGUCAUAUACUAUCAAUAUCCUGUACCUUCGCAGCAUUUUGAAGAACGACAAGUCACUCGGUAGAUUCCCUGCAUCUUGGAUGAAUAUUUCUAAAGAAGUCAAUUUAGAUAAACGAUUCAACUCAUGAAGGCUGGCAUUUCUUCUUUCAUCGUCGACUUCAUCAACCUUCCCCCACUCAAUGGGACUCUCACCAACAUAUAGUUCUUCUAAUCGGGAUAAGCUCGAUAAGACAUUAGGGGGAAUAACUCUCAGUCGGUAACAUCGGCCCAAAUCCAACAACCUCAAUUGAGUCAGCUCGCCCAUUUCUUCAACUAGUUUCUCCAUAUCAGAACCUCGAAGUGUAAGUAUUUCUAAUUUCUUCAGGUCUCCAAUAAUAGCUAUGUCUCCUAGUAUACAAAAAUCCAGAGACAAUGUUUGAAGGUUUUGUAAGAGACCAAGCGAUGAAGGCAAUGCCGACAAAUGCAUCUUAGAGAAAUCUAAAACUCUAAGCUCUGUCAUCCCGGUAAAAAUGUUAUCUGGAAUUCUCAAAGAAGGAUCAUUGCGAAUAUGAAAGUAUUUAAGUUGCGGACACUCGAACCCUUGAGGAAGCUCACUAAUAUUACUAUUCUUUAAGGAGAUUGCGGUGCAAACCUUCAGUGUAUCCUUAUCUGGCCAGCUGGUCAGCGGAACAACCUCAUUUUCCACCGCAAACACAUGUUGGACCCUAGAUGCAAUUGAUAUGGCAACAUCACGAACAACAUCAUGCAUAGAAAACCUUUCACUAGUAUCGCCAUCAAGCAGCAAGCAAGAGUUCUUGAGUUUAUCAACCAAUGUAUGUGCUCUAUCCCGUGCCUCUUCCAACGUGUUGAUGUUUUGAAACAGACCCAGACCCAUGCCAUAAUAGAUCACGUCUUCAACGCAAGAGAUGAACGAGUACCCUAUUAGCAAAAACGUUUUCCUGAGUUCCUCACCUUCUAAAUGAUAGUAACUCAGCUCUAAACUUGAAUAGGCGGGCCCCAAAAAAGACUUAUUUUUCAAUUGUCGUAAAGCAUCCUUCCAUACAUAGAGACUCGACUUAUUUUUCAAUGCCUUUGCUACGGGUACAAUGGCAAUGGGCAAACCAGCACAUUCCUUGACUAUCUCUGUUGCGACAGAUUUCAGUUCACCAUUUUCUAUGCAAUCACCUGUCAUCUUCUUGAAAAGACUCCAAGCUUCUUUUUCGUUCAGAACAUCAACAAAAAAAUUUUGUUCACAAUCCAUUUUACAAGACAACACAUCUUGACUUCUUGCUGUCAGCAGAACUUUACAUCCGCCGUUAUCAUCUGCCAAUGGAAUUCCAAUGGCCUCCAAAUCAAGACUCCCCCAAAUAUCAUCCAAGAUUAUCAGGAUCUUUGUCUCUUUCUUCAAUCGUUCAAGCAGCCUCCCUGCUCUUACAGUUUCAUGACUCUGUUCAGCCAAUUCUAAGCCUAUCUUCUCUGCGAUUUCUCCUUGUAUUUCUUUUGUUUGCAGUGUUUGGGAAACACGUGAAGAAAUGACCUUCUCAAAGAGAUUAUUUUCCUUGGCCUGUCUGCCAACUUCUUUCACCAGCGUUGUCUUUCCAAUGCCACCCAUCCCGUACACCCCAAUCAUGUUGAAGUUACGGUUGCUGAGUGCGUCUAGUAUCUCCUUCAAGGUGGACUUUCUCGAUUCAAAGUGCAUGAAAUCCUGGGUAGACUUAAGCCAUGUCUCCUCUGGAAUGGUACGGAAGGAAACACUGUCGAAUCUCCCUUUUUCAUGGAGUCCAACUAUAGCAUUCGCUUCUCUUUCUGCUUUCUUGCUAAGCUGGUACCGAGUCUUCAAAUUAGGACACAACCCUUUCAGACACCGGUUGUUUGACUUCUCUUUGUCUUCAAUAAGUGUUUCGACUUCGUUGAUUGCCUCGUCCACAGUAAUCAGCCACUCCUCAACGUGCUGUUGAAUUCCGUCCCCUUUAAUUCUGGAAUCAGCAACCUUAUGUUGCACACUGUCUCUAGCAUUCUUGAGCUUAUCGACUUCAUUAUUCAGCUUCUCGAAGUUGGUCUUGUAAGUGCAGCAGUAAGUAAAUGGAUGAAUUAUGGGAGCAACCAAGUACUCUGCAACUUUUGCAGCAACGGGGAUAACAAUAUCCAUUAUCCCUUUUUUUUUUUUUUUUUUUUUUUUUCUUUCAGAAAACAGGGGAAAGCAAAACUAAUCAAACUGAGCAGAACUAAUCAAUCAGCUGGGAAGAGGGAAAUAAGAAGUUUGGAUAAAUUGCUAAAAUAAGAGGUUGAAUAGAUUUAAGGGAGGAGGAGAGGAAAAGAGUAAAAAAUCUAGAGAUUAAAGAAAGGGGGAUCCUUUUUCUGCCAAGACAAAUUGAAAAGCGAGUGCAAUGAAAGAUUUUCAAAGAAGGUAUAGGAUCGAGGACAAGGAUUAUUAAGAAAAGGGAGACAGAAACUGAAGAAGAGAUUUCAGAGAACUCCAGAGAUUAGAGAAGAGGGAUGAUUAGGAAAAUGCGGAGGCAGGCAGUUGUGAUCUCAAGUCUCAAGGGUCAUCUGAAUAAUGCAAAAAAGCCAAACUAAAUUCAAACAGGGAGAAGACUCGUGCUUCCAAGUCAACUAUAGAUUCUUAAUAACUGAGAUAGAUGGUUAUAGUUGCAUGUAGAUAGUGUCAAAGUUAUAGGUCAAUUGGACAGCGCAAGGUGGCCUUUUGGCAUUUCAUUGAAUUUUCUUGUUACCAGUAAGUGCUAUGCUGCCGUUGCCGGCCUUUAUGAUUUUUUUUUUUGAAUUUUUAUUGAAUUUUCUUGCGCUUUUCUAAUAACUCCGCUAUAAAGCCCAUGUUUCGGGCCUUUAUGAUUUUUUAUUUUUUUUAAGAAAUAGAUAUACAAAUAAAAUGAAAAAAAAAAAAAAAAACCUGUUGCGUGGUCGUGUGGGUCCUCGAAAUCACUUCGGCAUUUAAUGGAGCGGUUGGAUGUACUCAGCAUCUACACUUCCACGAAGGUUCCUGGAAGUUGCGAGUGUUGCCGGCAUUUUCAAACUCGGAAGGUUUCAAGAAUUUUUCUUUUCUUUGAAAUAAAGGUUUCAAUAAUUAGCUUUGAUUAUUAUGUAAUAUACGAUAAUCUAGUGAUGACGACGACUUAUAUAUGUGAUUAAAUGCUAAGCUGGUGGAUUUGUAAGUAAGAACACAAGGCAAAGCAUUUUUAUCUUCUUAUUACCACAUUCUUCUAAUCAAUUUGCUUUCACCAACAAAAAUAAUCAAUAAUUUUAAAUAGUUGGAUCUUAAGCUCAAAUUUUGACAAUACAUGAAUGAUAAUGCAUACUUAUUUUUCAAGUGCAAACUCUAUUCAAGAGAGGAUCUCAAUUUUCUAUUAUAGAAGAUCUAUUCGAGAGAAGAUCAUAGUUAAAGCUUUGCGUUGAUUGGGGAACAUCAAAUACAAACAAAGACCACGCUAAAAGAAAAGCAAAAGCUGGCGAGAUUGAUAAAGAAAGACUAAUAAAGCUUUCCUUAACAGCAUUAAUCAUGAUUAUUUGAUAAACUAGAGGUGAUCACUGACAUUCAUGAGAAAUUUAACGGUAGGAAAAAGAAGUUAAAAAAAAUGGACAUUCGUGGGAAACCGGCCUUGAUGGUUAAUGUGCAACCGGAUGUGAGCAAAAGGUCACGUAGUGAGGGCAUUGUCACAUGGUUGGAGAAAUUGACAGCAUUUUUAAUUGUUGUCAAUGAGGUUGGUGAAGGUAGGAAAAGAACAAAUUUGGGUUAUUCCAUUGUUUUGGGAAAAACAUUGAAAGCGGUGAAAGAAAAUGUCAAUGAAAAUUGGUCGGAGCAGUACAAAGAUCAGUUAUGAAGAAUAUUAGGGAAAUGAAAAACUGAAAAAACAAAAAUCAAGAAAUAUGAAGAGACCAGUGAAGGGGACAUGGCAGAGGCCAAUUUAUAAAAGUAAUUGCAGAGGCGAAUUUGUAGAACUGAAAAUAGGGAGAUGAGUUGUAGGUGGGAAGAUAUGAAAAAUAAUAUACUUAAAAUUAUAUCAUUUUAGGUUAAUUUUUUUAAAAAUAAAACCAAAACCACAUCAUUUUAAAUAUAAUUCUUUAUCAAUUUAUUUUUUUUGUCUCCAAUCAUUUGCUAAACCAUAUCAAACAGGUACUUAUUCAAAUUUUACAUUUUCUGUUCUCAAAAGUAAACGAAAAUGAAAUGAAAAAAAGAAUGAGACUUGGCUCGGGUGGCUAAUGCUGACAGUGGCUAAUGAUGCCGACAUCUUCCAACUUGCAACAACGUUAAAAAUACGUAGCCUUAACUAAUUGCCUAAAUAAUAAAAAUACUUAGCCUCAGCUGACUUGUUCCAAAUCAUUAAAUAAUUCUUUUAAUUAUUAAAUAAGUUUGCUCUUGCUAAAUGCUAAUGGAUACUGAGCAGAAUGUCAAAGACGAAUAACUGCAUUUGGAAUAAAAAUAUUUCGAUAUUAGUUUGAAGGAAAAGUCUAGUAUUAAAUUGUUCUUCAAAUAUGUACAAGCUCAGAUCUUGUAAUUUGUAUGACCUUUUUUCGAAGAUGAGAAUAUUUCUACCUUACACGCUUUAGAAAAACUAGGUGAUAGGAAAAGAGUGUAGGAUAUAAAUUAAAGCUUAAUAAUAUUAUGAUCAAUUACUGAAAUAUUACCAUGGGCACUAGAUGAUAGGAAAAUAGCUCAUUUAUACAUUAAUAGAUUAUAUUAGUGAUAUAAGGACUUUUAAUCAAACUCAUGCCCCAAGUUGGGAACAGCUAAACGGGCAUUUCAUCGAACAGUUGAUAUUUGUAAGUAAGCAAGCACACGGCAAAGCAUUUGAGCAAAUAUUUUUAUCUUCUUAUUGUCGCAUUCUUCUAAUCAAUUAGCUUUGACCAACAAAAAUAAUUAAUAAUGUAAAUGGAGGAACUUGGGUUCAAAUCUAUAAAUUAAUAUCGGUAAACUACAACCCUAUUUUGAUCAAAGUUUUCAACUCAACAAAUAUAGAUUAGAGAUUAUUUGUUAAUAAAAUAUAAAAGAGCCCAAACAAAAAAAGAUUUGACAGUAUACGAAUAAUAAUUUAUACUUAUUUAUUGAAUAUAUCUUAUUUUAAUCGCUUAAGGAAUUACAAAGUUGAUGAAAAAAAAUUUAUUUUUUUUAUUUUUCACUUCUUAAAAAUUUUUGGAUGAAGAGAAUCCUCAAUCUUCAUUUACGUUCAGUGGUGGAUCCACACGGAGCCUAUAGUGGGCAAUUAAUUGACUCCCGUAAAUUUUUUUUUCCAUAAUUUUCUAUUUAUUUUUGAUAUUUUCAUGAAAUUACAUAAAUACUUGCAUAAUUGCCCCUAAUAAAUACAAAGUCUAUCAAUUUCAUUAAUUUUUUUUUAAUUAUUGUGUUGUCCCUUGUAAGCCAAAUUUUUAGAUCCGCCCUUUAAAUAGGUUGUUACAUUUAUUGUUCUCAAAAGUGAUGACUUCUCCUAGUAUGAAGCUCCUACCAUAAGAAAAAGGUCUCCAUAAAACAUUUCGAGCUUUAACUAUGAUCUUCGGUACUGAUCUAACUUUUUUUAGUCCCCCCCAAAAAAGAAGCCUAUAUAUAUAUAUAUAUGUAUAUUGUAACACAUUAGGACAUGAACUUGAAGCUUCUCAAGUGUUUAUGCAAUCCGGUUAACAUAUACAAGUUAUGAUAGGUAAAAUUGCUAAUAAAUUUAGAAGCCUAAAAUAUGGAAUUUGAUUAAGACUUACUAAUUAUUGGAGCAUUUUUUUCAUCUAGUUUUUGGAGAUUGAAAGAACUUAAAAUUACAGGUGAUCAUAUCUUAAUUGGCAGACUCUUGAUGCUGAUAAAUGACAAAAGUCGUAGAUUAGAGAGUUCUACGGAUUGAGUAGCGACUUGAGACAUUGUACAAUUUGUUCCAAUGCGAAUGAUUCAUAGUGACUGCACAUAUGGCACCUUUUUGUCGAAAUGACACAAUUUCUCUUCAUUGUGCUAGAGAAAGGUGGGUAGAUUUCUGUUGUACAAGCAUUAUUGGAAGAGAUAUCAAGCCACUCAAUGUUCAGAUGGUCCAAACAUGUGUUCAGGAGGCACUAACAUAGCAGAAAUUGAGAUAGUUUUAGUUUCAUCAUACACUAAAAAAAUAUACACCAGAGAUGGAGCGAGGUGUAGCGGAAGCGAAAAUUGAUAGGAUAGGAAACACUAGUUAUCAUUUUAGUACAGGAUUAAGCCAACGCGAUUAGGUUAUACUCUAAUCGAAGCGUGAUUAGAUAUCGUUUUAAUCCAAACGACUCAAUGGGAUUUUUAAUAACACGUGAUGUGAGAUUAGAUGACGCUCUAAUCCAAACGACUCUACAAGAGAGAUUUUGAUAGAUAAUCCCAGAGGGAAUUAUAAAAUGGGAGUUUUAUUGAAUAAUUGAAUCUGAAGUGCUCAAAACAAUGACAAGAUCUCUCUAGUUAUAAUAGAGGAAACCCACUUUCCUAAAUUAACCUAAAAGGGAAACUGAAUCACAAUUAGAAUGGAAAUAAAAGACUAAGAUACAUACCAUAAUUGACUCAAACUAAAAUAGGAAAUCCUAAAACAAUAAAUAUUCUAGAAUCCUAAAUUACCUAAAAUAACGUAAAUUAACUUCCUACAUCAUUCUUCCCCUCUUAAAAGAAACUCGUCCUUGAGUUUGAAUACAGUCUGGAGGAUGAAACUUAUAGUGUAUGAGCAAAUCAUCUUGUAAUUUGAACUUGUAGCCUUGCUCAUCAAUCUUCCUCGAAACUUUGAAGUAUCCUAACUUCAUCAACUUCCUUCGCUUGUACAUUCUUCGAGUCGAUGACGACUUUCAAGAACGAACAAUGAUCAAAUAACUCUUGCACUUCCCCAAUUGUCGCUCAAUGCGCUCGCCAAUAAGUUUCACCUUUUCAACCAAAUCUUCUUCAAGCACAAUCUUUUUUUCUUCAAUGUGAAUAGGCAGAACCAUUUCAAUCAUUUCAACUUCUUCACCUUGAUUUUGUUGUACAACCUCGAUCGUAUUGUUAAGCUCACUGCUUAAAUUAAGUGCAGAUUAUAUAUCUUCUUUAAAAAUAUCAAAUAGAUCAAUAAUAUCAUCAUCUUCAACACUUAUCUUCUCUUCCAAGGAAACAUCACGCACAUUCUUGAACAACUUGUCAGAUUGAAACCUUAAAUCAAUAACAAAUUGUACAUUUUCUUCUGGCAACUCAUGCGAGUCUUCUUCCUUAACAAUAGGAGAACUCAUUGGUACAUCUUUGGGCACUUUCAUGGUGACACGCCAUUUCUUGCUUAAAUUCUGGAUUUCGUCAAGUUUUUUAAUCACAUCAUCAAAGUUUCUUUGACGUUGCGACUUAAUUUGCGAUUCGAUUUUCUUGGCUAAAUGAAUUGCAUGCUGUAAAUUAUAGAUAGUGUAUAUAGGCAUCCUUUCUUGAAUAUGCAAAUCAAGCCCUUUAAUAAAUCUUGUAAUUGUAUUCUCUUCAGGCUCAUAAUAAUAAUGGCAUCCAUAAAAUCGUUCAAACUCAUAAGCACAAGCAGAAACAGAUCUCGUACCUUACUGUACCAAACAAUAAUCAAGAGGAAUAAACUCAGAUCGCAAAAUAUGCUUCAUACGGUUCCAUGAUUGAACUUUGCAUUUGCCUUGGUCAAGUCGAGAAAUUUGCAACUCAUCGCACCAUUCUGAAGCACUUAUGCUUAAUCUACUGGCAGUAAACGAGACUUGCUUUUCUUUAGGAGUGUGCCAAAAUAGAAACUAGUGCUUAACCUUGUCCAACCAAUCAAGAAAUUUGUUUGGACGUGUAUUUUGUAAAUAAUAUCGGCACAUGAUAAAUAGGAGGGCAAUGAUGGUAGCUUGCCAUUUAAGUUUCCACACAAUGGCAAAAUUGUAAUUAAGGCUCAACUCUCGGGUUUGGUAUGGUCGGCAGCUGGUGGCCGUGAUUGGGACCAGAGGGUAUCGGAUCUGGGAGAUUUGGUGAUAAGGAACUCGAUGAUGGUCGUGGAUCGGGCAGAUUCGCUGCGUUUUGGUCGGAAAUCUGACUUAAAGUGGCGGCUGAUUUUGGUGAUGUGGCUUUUGGUUUAUGGCGGCCUUACGGUGGCGGACGGCUGGAUUUAUGGUCGCCGAUUGCUAGGGAUUAUGGUGGUGGUAGUGCAAAUUGACCGAAAAAGGGGGUGGUUUGGUGGCGGCGCAUGUGGGAAGCACUCGUGGGUUGUCGUUUCGUGUGGUGGCUGCGGGCGGCGAUCAAGGGCUGAAGUUGGUCGGUGUUUUGGUUAGUGGAGGCCUGCAAGCUUGUUGGUAGAGGUGGUUGGCUGUGAAAGUGGCUGAAUGGUGGUGGAUUGCUUGGUGGAGCCGCGGGUUUGGGUUGGUGAUUUGCGGCGGUUGAGGCGGCGAUGGUUGAGGCUUGGUCGGCAGUGGCUAGCGAGGUUUGUGGUGGUGUUGGCUGGCUGAUCGGUGGUGGAAGUUGAUGUGGUGGCUAGGGUUUUCAAAUUUGUAAAGUUUUGAUUUAUUUUAUUUUAUUUAUUUAUUUUUUGUGAUGGAUCUGAUGUGGAUGGAUAUGGGUAGUCAGGAAAGUUGUGCAAUUCGCACAAAACUGCUCUAAUACCAACUAAUGGAGCGAGGCGUAGCGGAAGCGGAAAUUGAUAGGAUAUGAAAUACUAGAUAUCGUUCUAGUACAGGACUAAGCCAACGCGAUUAAGUUAUGCGCUAAUUGAAGCAUGAUCAGAUAUCGUUCUAAUCCAGACAACUCAAUGAGCUUUUUAAUAACGCGUAAUGCGAGAUUAGAUGACUCUUUAAUCCAAACAACUUUACAAGAGAGAUUUUGAUAGAUAAUCCCAGAAGGAAUUAUAAAAGAGGAGUUUUAUUGAAUAAUUGAAUUUGAAAUGCUCAAAACAAUGACAAGAUCUCUCUAUUAGAGGAAACCCAAUUCCCUAAGUUAACCUAAAAAAGAAACUAAAUCACAAUUAUAAUAGAAAUAAAAGACUAAGAUAUAUACCAGAAUUGACUCAAACUAAAAUAGAAAAUCCUAAAACAAUAAAUAUUCUAGAAUCCUAAAUUAUCUAAAAUAACGUAAAUUAACUUCCUACAUUAUUCAAUACAUCAAUAACAAGUGCACAAACACAAAUAUGAUACACUCAUCUCUUUAAUUAAUUCAAGGCUUAAAUACUCUUUCGGUUGAAUCCAAAUUGAACAUGGUAGCUCUUGGACACCAUCCAUGAGAAAUAAAACUAGCUUCAAAUUAGAUUUCUAAGUACUCAAACAAAGCUAGAAGCAUAAUAAGUUAGAUUUCUAAUUACUCAAACAAAGCAAGAAGCAUAAUAACGAAAUGAAGAAAGAAACAAAAGGUCCCCUCACCAACGCCAUCUGACUCUUAGUAUAUAGAAAGAACUCGAGGCCUUAUUCUAGAUGCUGCACAGAAGGUUGGCCCGCAUUGUCUUCAUAAGUUUGGACUCUCUAUAAACAAAGAGCAAAAACACAUUGAAGGUGUAGUUUUCACAUAAUUAAAUUGCACAAAUUAGCCUCCAUCAUAACCAGUUAAUGCUUAAGAACACAGAAAUCCUUCAAUUCUCUCUAUAAGCAAUUACUUUCAUUUUUUUCAAUUUCUUGUUCGCUAUAUCAUAUCUAAUAGCUAAUCUUCAACAUAACAAUACAGCAGAGUAGUUAUGUUUUAAAAAGAUGUACCAAUGUGAUUUAACAUAAAUAAAACGUAUUUAAUCAGCACAAAAAUAAAAUCAAAACCUCCCAAUUUGUAUGGAUUUUACCUUGCCACUGUCUUUUGCAUCUUCCUUCUUUUCAUUAGCCUUGUUGGGCGUCUCAUUCUUUUUUUUCCUUCUCUUCCUAAUCAGAUUUAAAAUGAAUUUGUCAAAAAUUUGAUGGGUACUUUUUCUUUUUCCUUUUUUAUAUAUAUCCGUUAUUGAAUCAAACUUUUACAAAAAAUCAACAUCUCGUAUUGAAUGAAUACAUACCUUUUUUUUUAAGAUAUAGGUAUUGAAUGGUUGUAUUAAGGUCGCGAUCCAAAGUCCAACAUUCUUCAUCAUCCCACCGUUUAAGCUGCACUUGGUGUAACUUGGGUGUGCUUAAUUCUCCUCCUGAGAAAAUGUUCAUAUUGGGGCAAUUAUCCACCACUAAUCUUUCCAGAGAUGGGAAUUUGAAGGCGCAAUUAUUGCCAGAGCAGAAUCCUGUCAGACUUUCUAAGUUCCAGAGCAGCAAUUCCUUCAAUUCGCUGAAAACAAUUUCAUUUUUUGCUGCAUAAUUAUCUCCCUCAUCACCGUCAUCUGCCACUAUUUCUAUUAUCAUCUUGCAUCUACCUAUGCCCAUUUCCCUCAGUCGCACCAGACUCUUUGCAAUUGAGGAUGUUAGUACAUUUAUCAAUCCUAUGCAAUUAUAUACCAUCAAAGUAGUUAGAUUUUGAAACGAUGUCGAGGAUGGCACUAGAUUAAUCAAAUUGUGACAGUCACAUAUGUCCAGGUUUUCCAAAUUGUUGGCAUUGGAGGACUCUUGUUUCAAAAUUUGCUUCAGACCACGAUGCCGGUUUAUUCCUCUUAUCAUUGCCUUCAUCCCGUUUUCAACCUUUCCAAAUAGUCUAAAAAUAUACUCGUCUCCUCCUAUAAUGAGAACUUUGGUUGUGUGAAAUCUCUGGAGGAAAUCGUCGAGUGAUAAAAUAGCUGUUGACUCAUCAAUCCAGACAUCAAGAAGUUUAAGUUUGCAAAGCAAGUCUUCUGGAAAUAGACCUAUGUACUUUUCAUCAAUACUCAAAUCUUCCAAAUUGGGGAACAUCUGGGUGAUCAACAAUCACAAAAAAAAAAAAAAAAAAGCAAGAGGGAGUUAAAUCUUCUUUCUAACGAUUUCAAAAAUUAAAGUAAAUACAAAGCAUUUCAAUGAUGAAUAUUGAUGGCCGGACAAAUUUAUGGAUAUGUAGAGAGAGUAUGAUUUUCAGCGGUAAUUAUUUUCUUUUUUUUUUCAAAUAUAGUAAGUGAUGUGUAUUUUUUUUUUCAUCCUCUCUUCUUAACUUUCAAAUUUUAUUAGAUUUGUGCAUAAUGUCUACAAAAAAGACUUCAAUUAUUCUCAAAUUGCAUUUGAACUUCUAGAUUCUUUUAAUCGAUCCGCUUAUUUGGUUUCAGUUGAAAAUCUUACAAAUUUCUUUUUUUUUUUUUUAAAUUGGUUUUUUUAACUUUUUUCUUUUCAAGAGCAAAAAUGAAUAAAUAACUUGAUUUUAAAAAGUUUAAUAAUAUAGUAAGAAGCUGGUAUUUCAUUAAUAUUCAUCCAACUCAAUGGAAUUGGAUAUAUUUACUAUUGUACAAGAAUGGAUUUUCUUGUACAUAAAGUUUAAUAAGAUAAGAUUUCUUCAUUUGAGUUUUGUCCAUCUCUCUCUUUAUAUUUUUAAAAAUAUUAUUUUUGUUAACACAAAAUGACCAAUUUCUUCUUCAACAUCAAAAUUGACAAUCAUUUUGUAUGUAACAAUACUGUAGUAAGGACUACUAAUUUUAAAUAGCUCUUAAAAGAUUAUCAGGGAAUUAACUGUGGCUUGAAAAACCGUAGAUAUUUUGAGUAUUUUCUUCGUUUGGCUAAUCAAAUGCAGAGUCUCUUUCGUGUAUUUAACUAAACAUAUAGACAUAAAAUAAAAAGUAGAUGAAGAAGAAAAAAACUGAUAAUUAAGAGAAAAAAUUUGAACGAGAAGGAAAAAAAAAUACUAAAUAAUUUUGUAUUCAUUCUUUCUAACUGACAUCCAAAUCCAUCUAUGGUUGUAGCCAAUUCAAUAUUCGAUAAUAAGAAGAAUUAUUGAAGAAUGAUAAUUAUGUUUAUAUCGAAUAUUGAUAAUUAUGUUUAUAAGGAUAUUAUAUUAGUAUAAAUAAGCUGAUUUAUAGAACUAACAUUUUGUUACUAAAAGACAAAUUGAUGAGGGCAAUAUAUGGCGACAAUAAAGCUCUAAACUCUCAAGUAGAAAUACUUUUAAGUACGUAAGAAUUGAACAAUAAUUACAAAAGUCUUGCACGUACCUUUUUGGUGGUCUCAUGAAUAGUGCUUUUAAAUUUCACAUGGGGACAUCCCCUUAUUAUUAAUUGUUUCAAGGAUGGAAAUUCAAAAUGCAGAUCUCCUGUGCAGAAGCUUGUAAGCUGCGGAAGAGAACCAAGUUCAAGUGUCCUUAAUUGAGUGAGUUCAAUCACUUGAGUGAUAUUAUUGCUGGAUUCAUCUCCUCUAUCGGCAGCAAAAAUCACUUCCAUAUUCUGGCAUUUUGUCACUUCAAUGGACUGAAGUUGUUGAAGGCCUCUGCCAAUGAGCAAUGGAAACACAUUUUUCAAUUUAUCACACCUUUGCACCCUUAUGUUCUUUAAUUUGCAAAAGGACUCUGCUGUGAGUGAACCACGACAUAUUUUCUCUAGGUUACCCAAAUCUUCCAGAAAUAAUGACUCCAAGAGGGGGAACGCUGUCAGCGCUGUUGCACAAUCCACUGUGUCAACAACACAAAAAAGGCUGCGAUUAUCUCGGACUUCGAGAUGCUUCAGCUGUGGAAAACCUUCUCUGCCAGGUUCACAAAGAACAUUCUUCAUGUCCAGCAAUCCAUGUAAAGAUAGGUCUUCAAUACCCUUCAAUUGCAUGAUAUGCCCCUCGCUCAGGCAAAUGUUGGCACCAUUGGUGAUCUUCAGUUUGAAUUUUCUAGAAAACCCAUCCAAUAUUGGGUCAUCCGACCACAGAUAUCCUAUGAAUAUCCUGUACCUUUUCAGGAUUUUGAAGAACAACAAGUCGCUUGGUAGAGUCUUUUCAUCUUGGAUGAGUAUUUCUAAAGAGGUCAAUUUAGAUAAAUGAUUCAACUCAUGAAGGCUGGCAUUUCUUCUUUCACUGUCGAGCCCUUCAACCUUCCCCCACUGAAUGGGACUCUCACCAAUAUACAGUUCUUCUAAUCGAGAUAAGCUUGAUAUAACAUUUGGUGGAAUAACUUUUAGUUCGAAACACUUGCUCAAAUCCAACAACCUCAAUUGAGUCAGCUGGCCCAUUUCUCCAACCAGUUUCUCCACAUCAGAACCUCGAAGUGAAAGGAUUUCUAAUUUCUUUAGGUCUCCAAUAAUAGCGAUGUCUCCUAGGUUGCAGUAAUCCAGACACAGUGUUUGAAGGUUUUGUAAGAGACCAAGCGAUGAAGGCAAUGGCAAUAAAUGCAUCUCAGUGAAAUCUAAAACUUUAAGCCCAGUCAUCCCAGUAAAAAAAUUAUCUGGGAUUCUCAAAGAUGGAUCAUUGCCAAUACGAAAAUAUUUAAGUUGCGGGCAUUCGAAACCUUGAGGAAGCUCACUAAUAUUACUAUAAAUCAAGGAGAUUGCGGUGCAAACCUUUAGUUUUUCCUUAUCUGGCCAGCUGAUCUGCGGAGCAACCUCACUUUCCACCACAAACACAUGUUGGUCUCCAGAUGCAAUUGAUAUGGCUGCAUCACGAACAACAUCAUGCAUAGAAAACCGUUCACUUGUAUUACCGUCAAGCAACAAACAAGAUUUUUUGAGUUUAUCAACCAAUGUAUGUGCUCUAUCCCACGCCUCUUCCGACGUGUUGAUGUUUUGAAACAGACCCAAACCCAUGCCAUGAUAAAGCACGUCUUUAACGCAAGAGAUGAACGCGUACCCUAUAAGCAAAAACGUUCUCUUGAGCUCCUCCCUGUUUAAAUGAUUGUAACUCAGCUCUAUACUUUUAUAUGCCACCUCCAGUGUUCCACUGAUGUUUCUGAAGGAAGGCCUUCUUAAUUCCAGCAAGGAAUCCUUCCAUUCAAACAAUCUCUUAUUUCUUAGUGCCCUGGCUACGGGUACAAUGGCAAUGGGCAAACCAGCACAUUCCUUGACUAUCUCUGUUGCUACAGAUUUCAGUUCACCAUUUUCUAUGCAAUCACCUGUCAUCUUCCGGAAAAGACUCCAAGCUUCUUUUUCAUUCAGAACAUCAACAAAAAAAUUUUGUUGACAAUCCAUCUUACAGGACAACACAUCUUGACUUCUUGCUGUCAGAAGAACUUUGCAUCCGCUGUUAUCAUCUGCCAAUGGAAUUCCAAUCGCCUCCAAAUCAAGACCCCCCCAAAUAUCAUCCAAGAUUAUAAGGAUCUUUUUCUCUUUCUUCAAUCUUUCAAGCAGCCUCCCUGCUCUUACAGUUUCAUGACUCUGUUCAGCCAAUUCUAAGCCUAUCUUCUCUGAGAUUUCUCCUUGUAUAUUUUUUAUUUGCGGUGUUGGCGAAACACGUGAAGAAAUGACCUUCUCAAAGAGAUUAUUUUCCUUUGCCUGUCUGCCAACUUCUUUCACCAGCGUUGUCUUUCCAAUGCCGCCCAUCCCGUACACUCCAAUCAUGUUGAAGUCACGGUUGCUGAGUGCGUCUAGUAUCUCCUUAAAAGUGGACUUUCUCGAUUCAAAGUGCAUGAAAUCCUGGGUAGACUUAAGCCAUGUCUCCUCUGGAAUGGUACGGAAAGAAACACUGUCGAAUCUCCCUUUUUCAUGGAGUCCAACAAUAGCAUUCGUCUCUCUUUCUGCUUUCUUGCUAAGCUGGUACCGAGUCCUCAAAUUAGGACAUAACCCCUUCAAACACCGGUUGUUUGAAUUCUCUUUGUCUUCAAUAAGUGUUUCGACUUCAUUGAUCUCCUUGUUCGCAGCAAUCAGCCACUCCUCAACGUGCUGUUGAAUUCCGUCCCCUUUAAUUCUGGAAUCAUCAACCUUAUACUGCAUACUGUCUCUAGAAUUCUUUAGCUUAUCGACUUCAUUAUUCAGCUUCUCGAAGUUGGUCUUGUAAGUGCAGCAGUAAGUAAAUGGAUAAAUUAUGGGAGCAACCAAGUACUCGGCAACUUUUGCAGCAACGGAGAUAACAAUUUCCAUUAUCCCUUUCUUUUUUAUUUUUCGCUUUCAGAAAACAGGGGAAAGCAAAACUAAUCAAACUAAGCAGCAGUAAUCAAUCAGCUGGGAUGAGGGAAAUAAGAAGUUUGGAUAAAUUGCUAAAAUAAGAGGUUGAAUAGAUUUAAGGGAGGAGGAGAGGCAAAGAGUGAAAAAUCUAGAGAUGAAACAAAGGGGAUCCUUUGUAAAGGCAGAAAAUGAAAGCUUUGCAAAGAAGGUGUAGGAUCGAGGACAAGAACGAUUCAGAAAAGGGAGACAGAAAAUGAAGAAGAGAUUUCAGAGAACUCUAGAGAUUAGAGAAGAGGGAUGAUUAGGAAAAUGCAGAGGCAGACAGUUGUGAUCUCAAGUCUCAAGGGUAAUCUGAAUACUGCAAAAAAGCCAAACUAAAUUCAUACAAGGAGAAGACUCGUGCUUCCAAGUCAACUAGAUGCUUAAUAACUGAGAUAGAUGGUUAUAAUUGCAAGUAAAUAAAGGGGGAUCCUUUCUCUGCUAAGAAAAAUUGAAAAGCGAGUGCAAUGAAAGAUUUGCAAAGAAGGUGUAGGAUCGAGGACAAGAACGAUUCAGAAAAGGGAGACAGAAAAUGAAGAAGAGAUUUCAGAGAACUCUAGAGAUUAGGGAAAUGCAGAGGCAGACAGUUGUCAUCUCAAAUUCAUACAUGGAGAAGACUCGUGCUACCAAGUCAUUAGAUUCUUAAUAACUGAGAUAGAUGGUUAUAGUUGCAUGUAAAUAGUGUCAAAGUUAUAGGUUAAUUGGACAGCGCAAGGUGGCAUUUUGGCAUUUCAUUGAAUUUUCUUGUUACCAGUAAGUGCUAUGCUGCCGUUGCCGGACUUUAUGAUUUUUUUUUUUUGAAUUUUCAUUGAAUUUUCUUGCGCUUUUCUAAUAACUCUGCUAUAAAGCCCAAGUUUGCGGACUUUAUGAUUUUUUAUUUUUCAGAAAUAGAUAUACAAAUAAAAUGAAAUUAAAAAAAACUGUUGCGUGGUCGUGUGGGUCCUCGAAAUCAUUUCGGCAUUUAAAUUUAAUGGAACAGUUGGAUGUACUCAGCUCUACACUUCCACGAAGGUUCCUGGAAGUUGCAAGUGCUGCCGGCAUUUUCAAACUCGGAAGGUUUCAAUAAUUUUUCCUUUUUACUUUGAAAGAAAGGUUUCAAUAAUUAGCUUUGAUAAUUGUGUAAUAUACGAUAAUCUAGUGAUGAUGAAGAUUUAUGUGUGUGAUUAAAAGCUAAGCUAGUGGAUUUGUAAGCGAGCCCACGGCGAAGAAUUUGAGCAAGUAUUUUUAUCUUCUUAUUGUCACAUUCUUCUAAUUAAUUUGCUUUCACCAACAAAUAUAAUUAAUAAUUUGUAAAUAGUUGGAUCUUAAGCUCAAAUUUUGACAAUACAUGAAUUGUAAUGUAUACAUAUUUUUCAAGUGUAAACUCUAUUUAAGAGAGGAUCUCAAUUUUUAAUUAGAGAAGAUCAUAUUUAAAGCACACAAUGCGAGAAUAAUAAUGGUUGCGCUGACUAACAUCAAAUACAAACAAGGAAGAAAGACUAUUUAAGCUUUCCUUACAGCAUUAAUCAUGAUUAUUUGAUAAACUAGAGGUGAUCACUGAUUUAUAUUUUUAGUGCAAAACAGAAUACACUGCAAGAGGUGAUGGCUUUCUUUGCUGUCCUCAUAUUGUCACAAAUUUUGUAGCUUUCUCAUUUUGAUAAGUCGUUCGCUCAAUAACUUAAAUGGGUUAGGGUCUCGAGGCUGAAAUAUUUAAAUUGAAAUUGUCAUCAUUUCAUUCAUGAUCCAAGAUUCUAUCGUGUAUAAUGGGUAAGACAAUCUUUUACUUCAAAAAUUUUACAUAAAUUUUUGUAGUUUGAUGGCGUCAAAUCCGAUGGAAACGAAAUAAGUGACUUGAAAAGAUCAAUUGAUCAGUGAUUUGUCAAACGUUUACUGAUAUUAUUACCCUGUGACAAGAUUUUAAGCUUUAUAUCCAGGCUAAGGUGACAAAUAACGUAGCACUACAAUCGUCAAUAUUACUUAGAUAUAAUUAUUUUUUUCUUCUUGUUGUCAUAUUCUUCUAAUCAAUUGUUUUCUUGUUUAUCAACAGAUAUAAUUAAAAAUGUGAAUGUUAGGAUCUUGGACUGAAAUCUUUAAAUUAAAUCGUGAUCAUUUUAUCAGUAAACUACAACUAUAUCUCGAACACAGUUUUCUCCGAAACAAACAAAGAAUAGUGAUUAGAUGUUAAUAAACAUAAAAAUAAUGAUAAUACACGAAUAAUAAGGUAGACUAAGCGAUUAGGCUAAAAAAAAAUGCAGAAGCACAUGUUUGAUAUCAAGACUCAAUGGGUAAUCUGAAUAAUGCAAAAAUGCCAAACUAAAUUCAUAUGAGGAGAAGACUCGUGCUUCCAAGUCAACUAGAUUCUCAAUGAUUGAGAUAGAUAGUUAUAAGGGUUAUUAUGGUUUCAUUUUAAAAAAUAAAAAAUUAUAAGAUAUAAAAUAACUAUAAGAAGUAUUGGUGUUAUCAUUUUAUAAGUGUAUCUUUAAAAAAAAAACCUUUUAUUUUGUAAUAUUUUUGUUAAAAUUGUGAGUCCAAAACUAACGUCAUACUAAUAUCAAAGGCCUAAAAGUGUCUUUACAUUCAAAACUAUGAUAAAAUUGUAUGCAAAUUAACAUUACAAGGGCGGCAUAUUUAUUAUUGGUUAAGAAAGAGGGAAAAAAAAUUGGAAUCUCAAAUAUCUAGCGUCAUCAUUAUCUUUUUUUUUCUUCAUUUUUUUUCUUUUUCCAGACAGUGGUCUACCAUCUUUGAAAAAUUAUUGGCACUUUCGAAUGGGUAUUAAGCCAUGCAUUGGCAUUGAGGGUCUCAUCUGAAAGAGGAAUUUUGGUAGCAGCAGUGGCUGUGUAAUUUUUUUUUUUUAAAUGAUUUAUCUCUAGGAAUGCAGGAUCAAUUUAAAAGUGAAUUUUAUAUUAAAUUUCUUUGAGAUUGCUUUUCUGUUGAUCUGUUUGAUUUGGCUAUGGAAUGAUGGUUUUAUUACUAUGAGUUUGAAGGAUUUAUGAAAUAGAAAUUAAGAUUGAUAGAAAACAUAUUGAUCUCCGAGCUUUAAUGGCAGUUUAAACUUGUUAUCUUCAAGCCUCACCGGUGGUUUCAAUUUGAUACUUUGAUGAGAGCAAAAUUAGCAAUUUAGCACUAGAGGAAGAUAUUUAAUCACAAGUAUAAGAAGUUUUGACAGCGAAGAGAGGUAUUCUUCAACUGGGGUUAAUUUUUUAUUUUUGUUUUCUUAUUUUUUAUUAAAAAUUUAAUUAAUUUUUAAAAUAAGGUCAUACUUGGUAUUUUACCAGUUAACUAACAAUGAUAAACAGAAAUAUAAUAAAAUGAAAGAUUUUACAAAGAUACAGUAAUAAAAUGCUAAACAUUAAUAUUUUUUUUUUGUUAUUUGAUGCUUCAUACUUUAUAAUGUAGUCAAGCAAUAAUAACCCUAGUUACAAUUACAUGUAGAUGGUGUUAAUUGGGCAUUUUUCAACUUGUAGGUCUAAGGCUUCUCAAGCAAAUUUUAUGGUAGCUUCCAUUAAUUUUAAGUGUUAAUAAAAUAUUUUACUACUGUAAUUUAAAAAAUUACAGUUGAUAAGCAAUAAUAGCAGAGAGAGAAAAUUAAAUAGAUUGAGAAUGAUUUUUGAUUCAGGGCAAGUUUUCGAGUGCUUUACGAACAAUCAAAAUGCUAAUCCUGUUAGCCAAAAAACACAAGCGCUUUGUAAAGAACAGUACGGGAAAAACCCUCUAUUUAAAUAACAAUCGUGUAAUUACGGAGGGGGUAUCUUAAUUACAUGGCAGUUACAUUCAAUAACAACAAUAUUACUUAAAAAUUUUCUAUUAGCAAUGAGUGUGUUGGCGGUAGGAUAAAAAAAUCUGAAGACUUUGCAAACUUUUUGUGAAAAUGCAUCGCAGUUGUCUUGUUCUUUCGCUGUUGAUAAUCGCAAUGAACUGAUGAAGGCCAAGAGACCCAAAGUGAAGUGACCUAUGUGCUUUUCUAAUUACCCUCCUACAAACUGUAAAGCCGAAGUUUGCGGACUUUAUUAUCAUUUUUUUUUUUAAAAAAAAAAAGAUAUACAAAUAAAAAAGACAAAAGAUGAGAUGAGACUUAUAGUACCAGUGGCGGGCCCCCUGGGUCCUCAAAUUAUUCAUAUGGGCAUUUCAUCGAACAGUGGAUAUACUCGGCAUCUGCACUUGGAAGACGUGUUCAAAAGCUCUAAAUCAUGUUAAAGUCGACCAAAAAGACAAAACAUAGAAAGCAACAAUCCAACAACUUGGUUAAAAUAUUCGCUAUCACAAAUGGUUGCGUUAACAUGUCCAACAACGAUUAUUAUGAAAACGGGACCAGAAGACGUAUAAGGGAUUUCGGAGAAUUUGCGAGAGGUGGGAUGAUUAAGAAAAUGCAGGAGCAGGAUAUUUAUGACCUCUAUUAGUAAUUUGAUUUCGUGAAUCAUUUUCAAAAGGAAAAUAACGCACCAUCAAGUCAACCUUGGUGCAGAAAAAUAUUAACAUUUAAUGAACAUAGAGGGAUGAGUUGGGCCAAGUCUUUAAAUCAGAUCUGUCGUGGAAUCUAACAGGGAGAUUAAAAGAAAAAUCAAUCAACUAGUAUAUAAUAUAAUGUUUUUACAUUUAACUAAUUAGGAGACUGAUACACUAGCAAUCAGCAUUAAUCAAUUAUUUGAUAAACCAGUAAAUAUUGGAUAUCUCGGUGCAAAACAGAGUGUUGAGAGAUAAAAAUUAACCUGGUGUCUUUGGCAGGUGUUUAAUAUAAUUGCUAAGCUUGCCACAUGCCAUUGCCAACUUUGGCCAUCGGCUAGCUGCAUAAAGCAGCCGUCGUGAGAUCAAGCACAACAAGCUUGUGAUGUGAUCACCGAUCAUGCAUCCAGGACAAUUUUAUAUUUAUUUAACUCCAAUAAUCAUAAUAAACUAUUGAAUUAAUAAAAAGGUAAUUUCAAUGGUAGAGAUUUGUCCAUUUGAAUACUAACAUUAUAUUCUUGAUAAAUAUUAAAAAUUUUAGCACAUAAGUCUUUAUUGUUUCCAAUUUAUAUUGUUUAAUUAGUAGUAAGUCUUAAAAAAUAUUUUAAUUUUAAUAUUAUAUAUUUUAUUUAAAAGAAUAAAUUUUUAAUGUUAUUUAUUUUAUUAAAAAUAAAUAUUAUUUAAUAAUAUUUAUUUUCAUUUUAUUUAAUUUUAUUUAGCAUAUGCUUAUUAUUAUAUUUAUUCUUUAAAAAACUAAAUAAUAUUAAAUAAAAUAAAAUAAUCAAUAGUGAAUCAUAAAAAAUAGAUAUAAUUUUUAAUUAAUAUUAUUUAUUUUAUUUUAUUUAACGUUUUAUAGUCGUAAACUUAUCAUUAUAUUUAUUCUUUCAUAAAACUAAAUAAUGUUAAAUAAAAUAAAAUAAUAGUAAUGAGUCUUAAACAUUAAUAUUAUUUUUAAUAUUAUUAACUUUAUUUUAUUUAAUAUUAUUUAUCCAUAGGCUUGUAAUUGUAUUUAUUCUUUUAAAAAACUAAAUAAUAUUAAAUAAAAAAUAAUCAAUAGUGAACCUUAAAAAAUAAAUAUUAUUUUUAAUAUUAUUAACUUUAUUUUAAAAAAUUAAUAUUAUUUAUUUUAUUUUAUUUAAUAUUAUUUAUUCAUAGGCUUAUUAUUAUAUUUAUUUUUUAAAAAGUUAAAUACUAUUAAAUAAAAUAAAAAACAAUAUUGGGUCCUAAAAAAAAUAUUAUUUAGUCAUAGAAUUAUUAUUAUAUUUAUUCUUUUUAAAAAGAUAAAUAAUAUUAAAUUAAAUUAAAUUACAUUUUAAAAAGUCACCAGCCAAAGCAUAUAAACUUAUAAAUAAAUGUAAAAAAAUAAUAUUAAAUAAAAUAAAAUUAUAUUUUCAAAGGUCACCAGCUAAAGUAUAUAAACUUAUAAAAAAAAAAGGAUAAAUAAGAAGGAUAGUAAGGGGUUAAAUAAAAUUUAACAUGCAUAAUAUAAAACAAAAAAUGGUGGCACUUGCAACUGUUGCAAGGUAGUUGGAUCCUAUUAAACCUAUAUGUUAUAAAACAAAUGAAAUAGGAUUAUGCAUGCAGUUAAAUAGGUGUAUUUUAGAAAAUCUAAUUCUUUUAAGGAGCUCUACAACCUAUUCUCCUAGAAGUCCAAAAUUUAAACUUCUAAUAAAGACAAAAUAAUAUUUUUAAUAAACUCUAUUCAAUUUAUAGCCAAACGAUGCCAAAAAAUAUUGAAAGGAAAAAAUUAAUCUCUUGAUCCAUUAGUAGAGAAAUCAUACAAAAUGGACACUUAAUGGUCAAUUAUUUUUCCCCCCUUUUUUUGUAGUUUUACUUUUCCUAUAAAAAUUAUUGUUUAGGAAAUAAUAAAAACACUACAUACUCUCCACUAACACAUUAAUUAAUUAAGAGUAUUUCCUCACUAGCACGCAUUUAAUUAUCAAAUGAUUAUCAAAAGUACGGCUAAACUUUGGUAAUUAAGAAAACAAGUAAUAUUGGUGGCAAACUGGCAAUGACAAGAAAAUUCUAAUACCACAAAAAAAAAUUAUCAGUUAUCUUUAGAUAUAGUAGCUGAGGGAACAUUACAAUAUUAUUAAUCUUGCUUUCUUCUUGGUCAUCCACGACUAUUAAUCUUGUUUCCAAAACAGUGUUCACUCCCUCAACCUCCCACUGAAUGGGACUCUCACCAAUACACAGUUCUUCUAAGCGGGGUAAGCUUGAUAUGACAUUUGGUGGAAUAAAUUCUAGUUUGAAACAAUUGCUCAGGUCCAAACCCUUCAACUGGGUCAGCUGGCCUAUUUCUUCAACCAGAGUCUCCAUAUGAGAACCUCGAAGCGUAAGGAUUUCUAAUUUCUUCAGGUCUCCGAUAAUAGCUAUGUCACCUAGUUUGCAAUCAUCUAGAGACAGUGUUUGAAGGUUGUGUAAGAGACCAAGUGAAGAAGGCAAUGGCUUCAAAUGCAUCGUAGUGAAAUUUAAAACUCCAAGCUCUGUCAUCUCAGUAAAAAUGUUAUCUGAGAUUCUCAACGAAGGAUCACUGCCAAUAGAAAAGUAUUCAAGGUGUGGACAUUCCAACUCUUGAGGAAGCUCACUAAUAUCACUAUUAUUUAAGGAGAUUGCAGUGCAAACCUUUGGUUUAUCCUUAUCUGGCCAUUUGAUCUGCGGGACAACAUCAUUAUCCACAACGACUACAUGUUGGUCUCUUGAUGCAAUUGAUAUGGCUACAUCACGAACAACAUCAUACAUAGCAAACCAUUCACUUGUAACACCAUCAAGCAACAAGCAAGAGUUUUUGAGCUUAUCAACCAAUGUAAGCGCUCUAUCUCGUGCUUCUUCCAACGUGUUGAUGUUUUGAAACAGAGCCAAACCCAUGCCAUAACAGAGCAAGUCUUCAACACAACAGAUGAACGAGUACCCUAUUAGCAAAAAUGUUUCUUUAAUUUCCCUACCUUCUAAAUGAUUGUAACUCAACUCUACAGUUGAAUAGGCCACCGCUUGUGCCCCAGAGAAGCUUCUCAAAAAAGGCCUUUGUAAUUGUCGUAAAGCAUUCCUCCAUUCAUAGAGACUCUUAUUUUUCAACGCCUUUGCUACGGGUACAAUGGCAAUGGGCAAACCAGCACAUUCCUUGACUGUAUCUGUGGCUACAGAUUUUAGUUCACUACUUUCUAUGCAAUCACCUGCCAUCUUCUUAAAAAGACUCCAAGCUUCUUUCUUAUUCAAAAUAUCGACAAAAAAAUUACGUUGACAAUCCAUCUCAGAAGACAACACAUCUAGACUUCUUGCUGUCAGCAGAACUUUACAUCUGCUGUUAUCAUCUGCUAAUGGAAUUCCAACAGCCUCCAAAUCAAGACUCCCCCAAAUAUCAUCCAAGGUUAAAAGGAUCUUCUUCUCUACCUUCAAUCGUUCAUGUAGCCUCCCUGCUCUAACAGUUUCAAUCCCUUCAACUAAUCGCAAGCCUAUCUUCUCUGCAAUUUCUUCUUGUAUCUUCUUUAUUUGUGCUGUUUGGGAUACUUGCGCAGAAAUGACCUUCUCAAAGAGAUUAUUUCCUUGACUUGCCUACCAACUUCCUUCACCAGCAUCGUCUUUCCAACGCCACCCAUCCCGUAUGCCCCAAUCAUGUUGAAGUUAUGAUUGCUUAAUGAGCCUAGUAUUUCCUUCAAAGUGGAUUUUCUUGAUUCAAAGUGAAUGAAACCUUCGGUAGACUUAAGCCAUAUCUCCUCUGGAAUUGUACGGAAAGAAACGCUGUCAAAUUUCCUUUUUUCAUGGAGUCCAACAAUAGCAUUCACCUCCCUUUCUGCUUUCUUACUAAGCUGGUAGUGGGUCUUCAAAUUGGGACACAACCCAUUAAAACACCAGUUGUUUGAUUUUUCUUCAACUUCAAUAAGCUUCCUAACUUCACUGAUGACCUCGUCCACACUAAUCAGCCACUCCUCAACGUGCUGUUGAAUUCCAUCCCCUUUGAUUUUGGAAUCAUCUACUUUAUACUGUACACUGUCUCUAGCAUUCUUUAGUUUAUCAACAUCAUUCUUCAGCUUCUUGAAGUUGGUCUUGUACGUGCAGCAGUAAGUAAAUGGAUGAAUAAUGGGAGCAACCAAGUACUCUGCAACUUUUGCAACAACGGAGGUAACAAUUUCCAUUAUCCUUUUUUAUUUAUUUUAUUUUUAUUUUGCCUUGAGAAAACAGGGGAAAACAAAACCAAUCGCAACAAGAAAUAAGAGACAAGGAGGGCAAGGAAUGAAAAAGCUAGAAAUAAAAAAAGGGAGUACAGUGAAAGAUCUGCAAAAAAGGUUUAGAAAAAGGAUGAUUAAGAAAAGGGAACCAGAAAAUGUAUAAGGGAUUUUCAGAGAAUCUGAGAAAAGUUGGAUGAUUAAGAAAAUGCUGGAGCAGGACAUUUAUGACUUCUGUUAGUAAUUUGAUUUCGUGAAGCAUUUUCAAAAAGAAAAUAAUGCAAACAAUUCGAGAUUUGGUGAUGAUAAUGAAAGAUUAAGUAAGCUAUUCCAUAAUUUAUAUGCAUGUAAAGCAGCAAUCCAAUAACUUAAAAAGAGUUAAAAACAUUUGCUAUAGGAAAUGGUUGUGUUGACGUGUAUUUCGGGGAUCAUGAAAUAUAAACAAAGACCGCGUUAAAAGAUGUUCAAGCAAUCCUUUUUCUCUCUUGACCUCCGUGACUGGUUAUGCUUCAAUUUGGGCAAGGCUGGUAUCAAUAAGGUUGUGGAUGAAUGGGCCUGCUUAUUUGGCGUUGCUGUUUGGAAAAUUUGGUUCUGGCGCAACCAAUUUAUCUUCACUCACAAUGCCCCUUGCUGCACUCAAAUGGUCACGGAAAUUAGAACGUGGGUUCAUGAUAUCCAUAUUGCAAGAGUAGGCCUCAAUGUUGUUCGUACCAGUAAAACCAUCAAAGAAAUUGGCUGACAAGCUCCCUCGGAAUCCUUUUUCAAAUUGAAUACAGAUGGUUCUCGAUUAAAAAAUGGGUUGGCAAGUGCUGGAGGAUUGGUGAGGGACUGUUCUGGCAAAUGGCAGUUUGGAUUUGGCAUGAACAUUGGUCUCUGUUCGGUGACUUCUGCUGAAUUAUGGGGUUUGUUUCAAGGUCUUCAUCUUGCGUGGAAUCGGGGUAUCCGGUACUUGGUGGCAGAGGUGGACAGCCAAUGUAUCUUUCAACUUAUCUCUUCCACAAGAACAGAGCCUAAUGCACAUCUUUCACUUAUCAAUGCCAUCAAGGAGUUGAUAAAUAGAGAUUGGAAAAUUACAAUAAAGCAUAUAUAUCGGAAAGCAAAUUUUGCUGCUGAUUUCAUGGCCAAGUUGGCAGGAUCUUUACCUCUCGGUUUUCAUAAUUUUGAUAACCCACCAGAGGGUAUUGGAUAUUGGUUAUGUAAUGAUAUGUAUGGGAAUAGUAUUCCCCGCUCUGUUUUGUCCUAAUCUUUAUUAGGCCCCAUUGUAUCAAAAAAAAAAAAAAAAAAGACCGCGUUAAAAGAUAAGCAAAAGUUGGCAAGAUUGGUAAUGAUAUAUUAAAAGAAAGACUAAUAAAGCUUUCCUAGCAGCAUUAAUCAUGAUCAUUUGAUAAACUAGAGGUAAUAAAUGGUUAUAUUUUUAGUGGAAAACAGAGUACGUUACAUGAGCUGAUUGCUUUUGUCAAUAUUCAACCAAAAAUACAAGUUAAUCAAAAUAACCUACCAUCAAGUCAACCUUGGGGCAGAAAAACUAGUAACAUUAAAUGAACAUAGAGGGAUGAGUUGGGCCAAGUCUUUAAAUUAGCUAUGUCAUGGAAAAUAACAAGAAGAUUAAAAAAAAAAAGAAUCAAUCAACUAGUAUUUAGUAUAAUGUUUUCACAUUUAAUAAACUAGGAGACUAAUACACUAUCACUCAGCAUUAAUCAAAAUUAUCUGAUAAACUAGUAUAUAUUGGAUAUCUCUGUGCAAAACAAAGUGCUAAGAGAUAAAAAUUAACCUGGUGUCUUUGCCAGGUGUUUAUAAUCGCUAAGCUUGCCUCAUACCAUUGCCAACUUUGGCCAUCUGGUAGUUGCUUAUUGAAGAAAACAAAGGAAUUUCUCGGCAAACAUAACAUAGCGACUGAAGUGAAAGAAAAACUUUAAUUUUUGGUGUAGUCAUUAGUAAAAUUUGAGCCAAAAAGAAAAAUUCAUAUUUGUAAACUUAGAAACAAUAAUCAUUUGGAAGUAGUUGCUGAAAUUAAUUAGGUGAUUUUAACCUCAAAUUUGAGACCAUAAAUCAAUUGAAUGUUUUGAUUUCAAUACUAGUGGCAAUCACGUACACGUUUAACGACUUAGUCAAAUUUAUAGCAACUAAUAAGUAUCCAACUUUGCAACCGUAUUUAUUUCUCAUGAUUUGAUUAAACUGGGCACUCUGAAAACUUCAGUUCCUUCUAUUGUUGUAAGCUGAAUGAUACAUGCACGAUUUGAUUAAACCGUAUUUAUUUAUAUAUUGAAUGCUACUUCAUUGAAUUUUACUGCCGCAAUAAUACUAAAUGAUUUUUCAUGACAAAAAAUUCAAUAAUUAGAAUGAUUAUGAGUUAAUUUAAUGCUGAAUUUCAUCAUUAACUGCUGAAAUACUCCAGAAAUCCAAAUACAUUUAACUAAACACUAAUUUAAUCAAAUCAUUAAACACACAAUCUGAAAGCGGAUUCAAAAUAACUUUAAUAAAAAAGCCAAAAGCAAAACAAUCAACAAAGAAACAGAAGAAACUCUCACCAAUGCCAUCUGACCCUUGAUAGAAAGAAAGAAGUCAAGCUCCAUGUAAUAUAACGCCUCACAAAUUACACAGAAAAAUGGCCGCAUUCCAUAUGAUGCAUAGAACGUGGGCCGAAUCCUCUUCGUAAGUUUGGAAUUGCUGGAGAAAAAUACACAAUAAAGGUGAAAUCAAGAAAAUAAGGAUAAUGAUAUUUCGUGCAAUUUUCAUGUAAUUUGCAGGAAUUAGCUUCUAUUUGGUAAGCAGUACUGGAUGCCUAACUAUUAUUACUAUUACUAUUAUUUACAUGGAUGGGGUUGGGUGAGACAGGUUUAUCAUAAUUAACCUAACCCAACCCAACCCAACCCAAUUAUUAAUUGGAUUCUAAAAAAUUACCUAAUUAACCCUAUAAUAAUUCACUUAAUCCAUCAAAAUUUGAUUGGAUUAGAUUGGGUUGGACUGGAUUCGUCGGGUUGGAUUGAAUUCACCGGGAUUGGAUUGAGUUUGCCUACCCCUAGCUCUUGACCCACAUUAUUUAUUUUUAUUAUUUAGUAAUUUCAUUCAAUCAAUAAAUUUAAAUUUCAAAUUUGUAUAAAAUAAGUUUAUACAAGAGCUUUUAACUCUAUCAUCACUCAUCAAACAAUGUUAGAUGAAACAAUAAAUGAAAUAAACAAAGGUAUCAUUAAAUCCAAAAGCAUCCAAUGUGUCAAAAAAUAUCCUAUCAUUUGCAAUAAAAAUAUUAAAAUAUUAUUUUCGAAAUCAAUAAUGAUAUAACCACAAACAUUAAGAACUUGUGUAAACAAACUAACGUGGCAUAAAGACAUUAACUAAAAAUGGAUAACUAUUAUUUUUCUAAAUCAUGUGGGUCUAUAACAGUUUUAUACAACCAAUCUUCUCAUGCAACAUAUGUAUGAUUUUUUUUUUUACAUGGUGGUUGUGGCUCUAUAUAUCCAAGUCGUUGUUCAACUUCAAGAGAUCCAAAAUUUGUGAAAGAAGCCACGAAGAGAUUUUACGCCAUUCAACAUGCCUAUUCUGCUGUUAACCUUACUAAAUUCCAAAAUUUUAAUUCUUAUUUAUUUAUUUAUUUAUUAUGCAUGUAAUUUGUAGUAUACAAUAAGAAAUAAAAUUGUAAUCUUUUUUAUAAUGACGGAUAAUUAUCGGAUUCACGAGAUGUUGUUUUCCUUCUUCUCUCUUCAAGUUCUAUCCGAUGCCAACAAGAGGUUCUUGUACUAUGUAGGAGUCUAUGAUAGUGAUGAUGAAAAAAAUAAUAUGAGCUCCAAUUUUGCGUGCGCGCGCGUGUUGAGUGUUAGAAAAUGCAUAUUUAUAAAGGAGAAAACCGUCAUUUUACAUUUCAAGUCUUAUUAACAACCCUUACUUUUAUGUAUUUAACCUUCUUGUGAUUUAAUUACAUGUGUUUUAUUUUAAUUAAGUAUUUUAUGUAUUUUAGGGGCAUUAUAGUCAUUUCACAAUAAAGGAGAGAUCAGAUGGCAAAACGGACAUCACUUUUGAAUUCAGGACGGUCGAAAACCUUAGGAGGGGCAUAAAAGGAAAAAUGGUACUAUUCACAUGUACGGUACUAUUCACGUAUACGGUACUGUAUAUGUUACUGUUCACGGCACUGUUCAUAUAGACGGAUCGAUGACGUGGCAUUGACCGAUGAUGUGGCAUUGACUGAUGAGGUGUCACGAUCCUGUUGGACUAAAAUUCUUAUGUACUGUUGAUGGUGACGUGGCAGCAUAUCAGUGGACGAAAAAUCUCGCGUACGGUGCAUGCAUCACACAGGAUUAUUUUCAACCAAACCGUGUUACUGUUCAUCCGCGUGGUCAAACCGUGGACUGUUGACUGAUGACGUGGCGCAAUCCUGAGCGUCCAAACUGUUUUUAAUCCGAUGGCCAUGAUUUACUCCAUGUAUCUAUAAAAAGGGGGCCUCCCCCCCCUAAUUUGAUAGCUCUGAAUCCAUUUUUGGGAUUCAUUUUCUGUAAUUCCUUCUCCAUCUUGUAUUUUCUUCGUAUUUUAAUAAAUUCCCAUUUUGCCCCUAGUUCAAUUAUGAGUGGCUAAUUUUCUUUCAAGCUUGGGUUGAAGGUGAAGUCUCAACAUGUGUCAUGGGCUUAAUUUGGUAAAUUUAUUUUCUCUUCCCCUCUAGUUUUUGUGGAUGUUUUGACUUAUCGUCGACAAAUAAUACUGAUCUUGUCUAGAUACCGCCUUGGUUACACCGGCUCUCUAGUAUAAGGUUAUUAUUAUUUGGCACGAUAAGCCCUUAGCACCAUAUUGAUUAGAGCGUGGUUCAUGAGGUGUGGAUUCCCCCCUCAUGAUUUAAUUGGCAUUAAUACGGAUUAUUUAGCCCAUGAUGCAUGUUGAUACGGAUCCAGAUACCCAAGUACGUCAUUUCAAUAGAAUUCUCUUCAAUUUAUUCUCGCCAUUUUAAUUUAAGUUUUAGCAUAUUCCAAAUCAUUUCCACCACAAUUCCAACCGCCCAUUUACAAAAUUAAUUCUAUAUAUAAUUAAAAAUCCACCUCCUCGUGGGAUCGACACUCGUCACCAUUAGUCUACACUACAAUAGAUUCGUGCGCUUGCGAGUACAUUAAAAUUUGCACAACAAGUUUUUGGCGCCGUUGCCGGGGAGGUAAGUAAUUUUAAUUCAUAGAAUUAAUUUUUGUGAAUAAUUUAUUUUAAAUUGUUUUCUUGUAUUUUUUAUUAUAAAAAAAAGAAAAAAAAGAGUAAAUCUACAUUUAAAGGUUAGUAUUUCUUUUCUUUUUCUCUUCUUUAAAAUUUUGUAAUUUAUUUUUCAAUUUAUUUUUUUUCUUUCUUUGUAAUUUUUUGUUUAUUUUAUUAAUUUAAUUUUUAGUUAAUUUAUUUCACGUAUUUUUUUUUGUGUAUUUUUAUAGAAAGGUUGUAAUAACGCAAUAAGGUUAGUAUCGUAAUUUCUCCCUCUUCUUUAUUUUUAUUUGUUUUGUUGCCAUCUUUAUUUUUAUUUUAUUUGUUUUGCAUGCAUGGUCGUAGGUCAUUAUUACCUAAUCUUGAACCUAUAGACCUUGAACUUGAGAAAACACUUCGCACACAAAAGCACAUUAAUAAAUUUGGAAUGGAUUUACAAGCACCACAGGAGAGGCCAUUUAAGGACUAUUUUAGUCCCUUAGCUAAUUUGAGCACAUCAUGCAUAAGAUACCCAAAUGUAGCUGCUAGGAGUUUUGAAUUAAAACCUAGUGUGCUAAAUUGUCUCCCCACAUUCUAUGGCUUAGAAAAUGAGGACCCAUAUAAUCAUCUGAAUGAUUUUCAUACCAUUUGUCAAAAUUUUAAAUAUGAAAAUUUUUCAGACGAUGAUGUUAAACUCAGAUUAUUCCCAUUUUCUUUAAAGGAUAGAGCUCGUUCAUGGUUAAAUACUUUGCCUGCUAAUAGCAUUGCAUCAUGGGAACAAAUGGUUACAAAACUUCUAAAUAAAUAUUUCCCAGUGCAUAAAACCAAUUCUAUUCGCAGGGAAAUUUCAGAGUUUACACAAAGAGAGGACGAGCAGUUUUUCGAAACAUGGGAGCGAUUCAAUGGGCUACUCUUGAAGUGUCCACAUCAUGGGUACGAAAAAUGGAACCAAUGUCAAUACUUUUUGGAGGGAUUACUACCAAAUGUGCAAGAAUGGCUAAUGGCAACAAGUGGAGGAGAGCUAAUGUCAAAAAGUGCAUCAGAAAUUUGGGAGUUUUUCCAGCGACAAGCGGACAAUUCCCAACAACGGAGUCGAUCACUCAGGAAUACUAAAAGAAUUAAAGGAGUGAAUGAGGUUCACAUUGGCGAGUCAAGUUCAGAAAUUAAAGAAGUCAAAGCAAUAAUUGAAGGUCUCUCUCGACAAAUAGCAUCGUUAUCGACUGCUAAAUCAACAGAGCCACAUGACCAUGACUCAUACUCAGAUCAAGCCAAUGCCAUAGGUGUAAUGAGAAAGCCAUCUAAUUACAACCCAUACUCCAACACAUAUAACCCUGGAUGGAGAGACCACCCCAAUUUUUCAUGGUCUCAAGGAUUCCAACAGAAUGGACCAGCAGCUCCAGCUCCACAAAUUCCUCAAAAUCCUCAAGCCUCUCAGCCCCCAUUUAGACCAUUCAAUCAGAACCAGAACUACUCUCAACCCAGACCAUGGAGGAUUCAUUCCAGAAUUUCAAGAAUGCUACUCACUCUACGAUUGAGCAACAGAACCGCACCAUUGAUGGACUACGAAAUGAGUUGAGAGCAGGCUUCAACUCACAAGCCCAAUCAGUUUCAAGCCUUGAGAAGAUGGUGGGACAACUCGCUUCUUCAGUUCAGACCUUGGCAAUGACUGUUGAGAAAGGUAAAUUUCCAAGUCAACCAGUGCCUAACCCUAAAGGAGUACAUGAAGCAAGUACCAGUUCACCACAGCAGCAUGGAGAGGUCAAAGCAGUAAUGACCUUGCGAAAAGGAAAGGAAGUCGACAACAAAGUGGAGAUGCCGGUGACCAAAGAAAAUCAAAUUGUACCUGUGAAUGUUGAGGACUCACCACCGGAGGAGAAAGAAGAAACCAACCCACGAGAAUACAUUCCGAAAGCUCCAUUUCCUCAGAGGUUAGCGAAAGGAAAAAAGGGAAAAUCCACAGGUGAGAUUCUUGAAAUCUUUAAACAGGUAAGUGUUAACAUCCCUUUGCUUGAUGCUAUUAAACAAGUUCCAUCUUAUGCCAAGUUUCUUAAAGACCUUUGUACUAAAAAGAGAAAUAUGCAUGUUCAAAAGAAGGCAUUUUUAACAGAAAACGUUAGUUCUAUACUCCAACAUAAAAUUCCUUUAAAAUGCAAAGACCCAGGCUCCCCCACUAUCUCAUGUAGUAUAGGGAACCACACAAUUGAGAAUGCUUUGUUGGAUUUAGGAGCUAGUGUAAAUUUGUUGCCUUAUUCAGUAUUUGUGAAACUUGGACUGGGAGAAUUACACCCAACUCCAGUGGUGUUACAGCUUGCAGAUCGGUCCACGAAAAUACCUCGUGGUAUUGUGGAGGACGUGCUUAUCCAGGUAGACAAGUUUUAUUUUCCUGUUGAUUUCAUUGUAAUUGACACUCAACCAAUACAGGACUCAAGGAAGCACAUCCCCAUUAUUCUAGGCCGACCUUUCUUGGCAACUGCAGAUGCUCAUAUUCAAUGUAGGACCGGAAAUAUGCAAUUGUCCUUCGGCAACAUGACUAUGGAGCUAAACAUUUUCAACAUUGCCAAACAACCUCACAGUGCAGAUGAUGGAAUUGUUGAUGUGGAUUUAAUAGAAACAAUAGUUGAUAAUACUUUUCUUUCAAACCUUAGUGAUGAUUCUUUACAAACAUGUUUAACUCACUUUGGUUUGGAUUUUGAUAUUGACAGAUCGGUCGAAGAGGUCAACGCCCUACUUGACUCAGCACCAUCCAUGGACACUAAUAAAUGGAAGUCAAGAGUUGAACAACUAGCACCAUCAGAGAAGAAACUCAUUCCAUCAUCAGAAUCACCACCGAAACUCGAGCUCAAACCAUUACCCAACACUCUGGAAUAUGCAUUUUUGGGAGAAGAAAGUACUCUGCCGGUAAUCAUCUCAUCAUCCCUAAAUGACGAACAAAAAGGUAAGUUGUUGGAUGUUUUAAAAGAGCACAAAGGGGCAUUAGGAUGGACCAUAGCAGACAUAAAAGGUAUAAACCCAGUAGACUGCAUGCAUUACAUUCACCUUGAUGAAAAUGCUAAAACUACUAGGGAGAUGCAACGUCGGUUAAAUCCUAACAUGAAAGAAGUUGUUAGAACUGAAGUCCUUAAGCUAUUAGAUGCAGGUAUCAUUUACCCAAUUUCUGAUAGUUCAUGGGUCAGUCCUGUACAAGUUGUCCCCAAAAAGUCAGGAGUCACAGUAGUUACCAAUGCUGAUAAUGAAUUGAUACCAACUAGAGUAACUACAGGAUGGCGUGUAUGCAUUGAUUAUAGAAAGUUGAAUUCUGUCACACGUAAAGACCAUUUUCCUUUACCAUUUAUUGAUCAAAUGCUUGAUAGAUUAGCAGGCCAUGAAUUUUAUUGCUUUCUAGAUGGCUACUCAGGAUAUAAUCAAAUUCCCAUAGUACCAAAAGAUCAAGAGAAAACUACUUUCACUUGCCCUUUUGGCACUUUUGCAUAUAGGAGAAUGCCAUUUGGAUUAUGUAAUGCACCUGCUACAUUCCAACGAUGCAUGUUGAGCAUUUUUUCUGAUAUGGUUGAACGAUUCCUUGAAGUCUUUAUGGAUGAUUUUUCUGUCUUUGGUGACUCGUUUGAUCAAUGUUUACAUCAUCUAACACUAGUUCUACAGAGAUGUAUCGAGAAGAGCUUAGUCUUAAAUUGGGAGAAGUGCCAUUUUAUGGUAAAACAAGGUAUUGUUCUCGGUCACAUCAUUUCGAACAAAGGUAUUGAGGUUGACAAAGCCAAGGUGGAUCUCAUUUCUAAUCUUCCUCCACCCAAAACAGUCAGAGAAGUAAGAUCUUUCCUUGGACAUGCUGGUUUCUAUCGACGUUUUAUUAAAGAUUUUAGUAAAGUUUCUAGACCCUUAUGCAAUUUACUUGCUAAGGAUGUACCUUUUAUCUUUAAUGAUUCAUGUCUUAUGGCUUUUGAAAAAUUAAAGCAAUUGUUGACAUCAUCACCCAUCAUUCAGGCCCCAAACUGGAGCUUACCAUUUGAGCUCAUGUGUGAUGCAUCUGAUUAUGCAGUAGGAGCAGUAUUAGGACAAAGAGUUGAUCGAAUUCCUCACGUUAUUUACUAUGCUAGUAUGACAUUGAAUGAUGCACAGUUGAAUUAUUCAACUACUGAAAAAGAAAUGCUAGCAGUAGUGUUUGCAUUAGAAAAAUUUCGAUCUUAUCUCAUUGGUUGUAAAAUAAUUAUAUUCACAGAUCAUGCUGCUCUUAAAUAUCUUCUCACAAAGAAAGAUGCAAAAGCUAGACUAAUUCGUUGGGUGUUACUUUUGCAGGAAUUUGACUUGGAAUUCAAAGAUAAAAAAGGGACAGAAAAUGUUGUGGCGGACCACCUCUCUCGUCUCCAUUUUGACACAAUUACAGAGCCAUUAAUAUUAAAUGAGUCAUUUCCAGAUGAACAAUUGAUGAAUGUGGAAGUAUUACCUUGGUAUGCUGAUAUAGUUAAUUAUCUUGUUACAGGUAAACUUCCAGAGCAUUGGACCAAGCAAGACAAGGCUAAAUUCUUUGCGGAAAUAAAGAAUUUCUUUUGGGAUGACCCAUAUUUGUUCAAGUAUUGUGCAGACCAAAUUGUUAGACGAUGUGUCCCUGAAAGUGAAAUUCAGAAUAUCCUUUCAUUCUGCCAUGCACAAGCUUGUGGAGGCCACUUCAGUGCUAAGAAAACCGCGACUAAAGUUUUACAAUGUGGUUUCUAUUGGCCAACUAUAUUUCGAGACGCUUACACUUUCUGUUCUUCAUGUGAUAGGUGUCAACGAAUGGGGAGCAUUACACGAAGGAACAUGAUGCCACUAAAUCCAAUUUUAGUGGUUGAGAUUUUUGACGUAUGGGGUAUCGACUUCAUGGGACCCUUUCCCCAUUCUUUUGGCCAUCAAUACAUAUUGGUUGGUGUUGACUACGUCUCGAAAUGGGUAGAAGCAAUUCCAUGCAGGACCAAUGAUCACAAAGUGGUGAUAGGAUUUUUGAAAAGCAACAUUGUUUCACGCUUUGGAUUCCCUCGAGCGAUAAUCAGUGAUGGUGGUGCCCACUUUUGUAACAAAGCAUUCAAAGCUCUUUUGACAAAGUAUUCAAUCACACACAAAGUGGCGACCCCGUAUCAUCCGCAAACCAGUGGCCAAGUUGAGAUCUCCAAUCGAGAAAUCAAGCACAUAUUAGAAAAAACGGUGAGGCCAGACAGAAAAGAUUGGUCAUUAAGACUUGAUGAUGCAUUAUGGGCAUAUAGAACGGCUUUCAAAACCCCGAUUGGGAUGUCACCCUACAGGCUAGUGUAUGGAAAAGCUUGCCACCUACCUGUGGAACUCGAGCAUCGUGCAUAUUGGGCCAUCAAGAAAUUCAACUUUGACAUGCAGCAAGCUAGCUCAGAAAGAAGAUUACAACUGGCAGAACUUGAAGAAAUUCGCAAUGAUGCAUAUGAAAAUGCCAAAAUUUACAAGCAGCGGAUGAAAGUCUUCCACGACAAGCAAAUUAUGAGAAAAUCGUUCACUCCAGGUCAGAAAGUGCUUUUAUUCAAUUCUCGCUUACACCUAUUCCCAGGUAAGUUACGCUCUCGUUGGUCUGGCCCAUUUAUUGUACAUACUGUUUUUCCACAUGGGGCAAUUGAAAUUAAAGACCCAAAGAACGGUGUCACGUUUAAAGUUAAUGGUCAAAGAUUAAAGCCAUAUCUAGAAUACCAACCACAUGGAGAAGACACCGAAAUAAAUUUGAGUGACCCACCAGAUUUGAAUUAAUUUUUUUUUCUUUUCGUUGAUUUGAUUUUGUUUUCUUUCUUUAUAUUAUUCUUUUGCUAAUUGAAAUUAUUUUUGCAUAAGUGUGUUUGUUUAACAAUUGAGUUUUCUCUUAUCAUUUUUAAUCAUGAGUACCUUACUUAGACCGUUCCUCCUGAACAUUCUUAAACCACUUCAACGUGUCAAAACUCAUCUCAAAAAGCAGAUUCAAUUUUGUAAAACACAACGCAUUUGGGCUCUACAACCACCAGAGUUAGUAGCCUAUGUUGAGGGUUUAGAACGCCAACUUAGAGACAUUGAGAGAAGUGUUUACGACAUCCAGUUGGAGCUUGAGGUAAAUUCAAUAAGAGGACGAUUUUAAUUUUCUUUGUGUGUUUUAAUUUGUUUUUCUGUUUGUGUGCUUUAGUUUGUUACCCCGGUGAAGUGGCGGAUAACGGUACUCCGUGACAAUCAAGUCGGUUAACUUCAGUUUCCCAUAAUAACUGACAUUCUGAGGCGAAAGUAUGGACAGAAACGAGAUUCUAGCGAAGCUUCACAAGCGAUUCCCUUCACUUCCUCAGAAUGCCCUCCUUACGAUCUAUAAAGCUCGAUCUGAACGCAUGCGAUUACUCAUGAGGAAUAACAUACCUGCUGACAUCCGUUGGUUAAUCGAGGCUAAAAUACGAUCGGCAGGUGAGUUACCUCCAAAAUUUAUUGCAUUCAUGCCUGGUUGUGGUAAAGGAAAUUAUGCAAGAAAACGACGAGCUCGAAGAAUUUCUGUUGCUUGUCAUAAGUGUGCCAGAAUGAGUUGCGAUAGAAACCCAUGUUCUUUAGGAAUGGUGUCUGAUAACAGGGAAGAUAAGAUUCAAUUCAUUAGGGAUGGCUUGAAUAAGGAGUCAUUGGAUGAUAUCCUUUUGUCUCUUGAAACGCAUCCCAGUGGAUAUGUGCAAGGAGCGAUUCUCCGGUUAUGGCCAUUAUUCCAGAAAGAGCAUGCACGAUAUAGUCUCGGGAAUCUGACUAUAAACGACCCUGUUUGCCAGUUUAUAAGAAAACUGGAUGGGAAGCCCAUCCUCGACCCAUAGAGGGCGUUCAAGCCGUUUCUGGACGUAAAACCAGAGGAAGAUGUGAGCCACAGUCGCAACUACGUGUAAAUAUCCUUUUACUUUCUGUUAUUUUAUUUCACUAUUGUUUUAUCGUUUGCAUUAUUGCCUUUAAUAAUUUUAUUACUGUUUGCUUUUUCCUUUUUACUGUUUUCUUUUUGACUCGCGAGCCACGUGCUUUACGCGUUAUUUGACACUGACAUAUUACCUCAUUCACAGCUGUGAUCCACUGUCACCAAGAUUCUUAAAUGUGAUUUACUUUUUGUCUAGCACUCACAAAUUAUUUUUGAGAAGUAUCACAAUGGCAGCCACUCCCAAUAGACAAUUCAAGAACAUUUGUGUGCUUUCUGGAUUUACCUAUGGAAAACAUAAAGAGUUCGUUGAGGCAGCCAUAGAUCUUGGUCGAAGCAUAGCAGCGAGAAAAUUACACUUGGUGUAUGGAGGAGGUAACCGAGGGUUAUCAAAAAUGGUCUCAGAAGCAGCUUUUAUCAGAGGAAGUCAAGUGUUAGGCAUCAUCCCAAGAGUCCUAAAACCAUUGGGCAGUUCGUCUGACUCAUCAACUGGAGAAGAGUUAGUCGUCUCAGGUAUGCAAGAAAGAAUAACUGAAAUGCUUAAUCAUGCUGAUGUUUUUAUUUUCCUUCCAGGAGAUCUUGCAACACUAGAGGCACUUAUGACACUAGCAUCUUGGGCCCAUCUGCACAUCCACCAGAAACCCAUCGGUUUGUUAAAUGUCAAUAACUUUUAUGAUGGCUUUAUCGCAUUUCUUAACCAUGCAAUAAAAAACUAUUUCAUUCCUUCUAAUGUAAAAAAACUUUUUAUUUGUGCUCACACUGCUAAUGAGCUACUUGAUCUGUUACAAGCUUAUAAACCGGAGCCAGACCCCUGGACCUUUGUGUUGGAGCGCCCAAAUAAUGAUGGUAACAGUAGCCGCAGUAAGAAGUACAAAUUAGAUUUAACUCUCCGCCUGUAAAUAUUUUCUUCUGUGUUGCACCACCCAGGUGAUGUCUUCUAAACUCUACUUCUUUCCUUUAAAACAUUGAGGACAAUGUUUCGUUCUGGUUGGGGGGAGGGAAUAGUCGACAAUUGUGGAAUCUUGGUUAAGUUUUUACUGAUUUUUUGUUGUAGAAACUAACUGUUGCUAACGUUUUAUGUUGAAGAUGGCUGAAUAUGGAGUGUAGUUACUUUAGAAACGCAUCUUCAUCGUUUAAAAAAAAAAAAAACAAAAACAAAAAAAAGAAAAAAAAAAAAGACAAAAAAAAAAGACAAAAAAAAAAAAAAAUCGUUUUCUUCCUCUUUCUCCUUUAUAAAUAUAUAGUUUCAAAUUUUUGAGUCGAAGAUGGCUGAAUAUGGAGUGUAGUGCCUCUAGAAACGCAUCUUCUUAAUUUAAAAAAAAAAAAUUCUUUUUCUAAUUAAUUUUUUUACAUCAUUUUCACAUUUCUGCAUGCAUAUUUUCCUUUCAUGUUUAGAAUAGGUUGGGGGGUAGAAUGUUGUUUAAAAAAAAAAAAAAAAAAAAAAUUUGUGUUAUUUGUUUUAAUAUUGGUUGACAUGAUUAAUUUCAAAUUUUAGUAUUUGUAUUAUCUUUGGUCUUAAGUGAUGUUACGCUAUGUUUGCUACUUUACAUGUUGAUGUCGGAGACAAAUAUGAGUUGCUUGAAAGAAUGAACAUGUCAUAAAUAAAUGCCAAGUGAGUUGUUGAGCCUAUUAUUUUCUUGGAGAGUAACCCUUUUGCCCAUUCUCUAUACAGCUUAGCAGUUUAUUAUUUUAUACACGAUCUCUAGAUUUCUUUUGAGUUAACCUUUAAAAAAAAAAAAUGGUAAAAUAAAAAAAAAAUGUGUGUUGCUACAUUGGGAGGCCCAUCUAACUAGUAGAUAUGGAUGAUUAUUUAGAGCCCUAAAAGACGAUGGAAAGGCCAUCUUUGAUCCGUUUGAGCCUUUCUAGCCAUCCCUUUUAUUAAAAAUCCAUAGUUAACCCUUUUGAGCCUUUAAAAAAAAAAAAAAAAAAAAAAAAAAAAAAAAAAAAAAAAAAAAAAAAAACCUUUUCUUUGUCAACUUAUCAUCUUGACCCACUCCGAUUUGGAGUAUUACCCGAUGUCUUAUAAGUUCCAUCACCUAUUUAUGUUUGAGAAAAUGUAAAUAAUUAUGUUGUUCAGUGACGUUAUGCCAAAUAAAAGCAAAAAGAAAAAAAAACAAAAACAAAAGUUGUUGUUUCAAAAGAAUAAAAAUAACAAUAAUAGGUGAAAUCCACCUUGCAAGUUCCAAAAAAAAAAAAAAAAAAAAAAAUUCUGCAUUUUUCUCAAACAUACACUUUGUUUUCCUUAUUUCCUUUCUUUGUUAGCCAUAUCCCUAGCCUACGUUACGUCCUAAUAAAAGUCCUUCUUGAUUUUAGGGAACUAUAGUUUGAAGUAGAAGCUAGUUAUAUGGGCUAAAAAGAUGUAGUGAUGCAUAAUAAAAAAAAAAGGAUAAAUAAAGUGGGUUGACUAGCAUUUUUUUGACUUGAGAUCAUAUUAUUUCUAAGCUGAGGGCAUAUUUAUUUCAUCUUAGUGAGAGCAUGUGAUAACACUUCUUUAUUAUUUUCUCUCUCAAUUACCAUUCAUUGGAGUGACUAUUUUUUAUUGGGUUUAAUUUAUUUGUGAGAGUGUCACUAUUUCCAGUGAGAUUUUUGGGUUUGACAUGUCAUUCUUGAAAGUAACUAUAACAAAGUCUACUAGGCUAAUUCAUGUGGAUGGUUGAUAUAGGUGUGAUGUUGCUUUAGACUUGAGAUAAUGCUUAUACUUUUAUUUGAUUGCUAUCAUCAAUCUGAUUGAAUAAACAUGAGUGUUUCUAUCAAAAAUAAAAAAAAAAAAAAAAAAAAUCAUUUUGAAUUUGAAUUUUGUUUUCGCUUUAUUUGCUAGGGACUAGCAAUAAGCUGGUUGGGGGGUGUGUUGAGUGUUAGAAAAUGCAUAUUUAUAAAGGAGAAAACCGUCAUUUUACAUUUCAAGUCUUAUUAACAACCCUUACUUUUAUGUAUUUAACCUUCUUGUGAUUUAAUUACAUGUGUUUUAUUUUAAUUAAGUAUUUUAUGUAUUUUAGGGGCAUUAUAGUCAUUUCACAAUAAAGGAGAGAUCAGAUGGCAAAACGGACAUCACUUUUGAAUUCAGGACGGUCGAAAACCUUAGGAGGGGCAUAAAAGGAAAAAUGGUACUAUUCACAUGUACGGUACUAUUCACGUAUACGGUACUGUAUAUGUUACUGUUCACGGCACUGUUCAUAUAGACGGAUCGAUGACGUGGCAUUGACCGAUGAUGUGGCAUUGACUGAUGAGGUGUCACGAUCCUGUUGGACUAAAAUUCUUAUGUACUGUUGAUGGUGACGUGGCAGCAUAUCAGUGGACGAAAAAUCUCGCGUACGGUGCAUGCAUCACACAGGAUUAUUUUCAACCAAACCGUGUUACUGUUCAUCCACGUGGUCAAACCGUGGACUGUUGACUGAUGACGUGGCGCAAUCCUGAGCGUCCAAACUGUUUUUAAUCCGAUGGCCAUGAUUUACUCCAUGUAUCUAUAAAAAGGGGGCCUCCCCCCCCUAAUUUGAUAGCUCUGAAUCCAUUUUUGGGAUUCAUUUUCUGUAAUUCCUUCUCCAUCUUGUAUUUUCUUCGUAUUUUAAUAAAUUCCCAUUUUGCCCCUAGUUCAAUUAUGAGUGGCUAAUUUUCUUUCAAGCUUGGGUUGAAGGUGAAGUCUCAACAUGUGUCAUGGGCUUAAUUUGGUAAAUUUAUUUUCUCUUCCCCUCUAGUUUUUGUGGAUGUUUUGACUUAUCGUCGACAAAUAAUACUGAUCUUGUCUAGAUACCGCCUUGGUUACACCGGCUCUCUAGUAUAAGGUUAUUAUUAUUUGGCACGAUAAGCCCUUAGCACCAUAUUGAUUAGAGCGUGGUUCAUGAGGUGUGGAUUCCCCCCUCAUGAUUUAAUUGGCAUUAAUACGGAUUAUUUAGCCCAUGAUGCAUGUUGAUACGGAUCCAGAUACCCAAGUACGUCAUUUCAAUAGAAUUCUCUUCAAUUUAUUCUCGCCAUUUUAAUUUAAGUUUUAGCAUAUUCCAAAUCAUUUCCACCACAAUUCCAACCGCCCAUUUACAAAAUUAAUUCUAUAUAUAAUUAAAAAUCCACCUCCUCGUGGGAUCGACACUCGUCACCAUUAGUCUACACUACAAUAGAUUCGUGCGCUUGCGAGUACAUUAAAAUUUGCACAACAGCGCGCGCGUGUGUGUGUGUGUGUGUCUCUCUCUCUCUCUCUCUCUCUCUCUCUCUCUCUCUCUCUCUCUCUCUCUCUCUAUAUAUAUAUAUAUAUAUAUAUAUAUAUAUAUCUUGUUUUCAUUUCAUCUUUAACUUUUUAAUGCGCUUUUGUUGCUUUGAAGAUACAUGAAAAUUAACUCCUACAAGAAGGGGGGGGGGGGGGGGGGUGGGGAACGGGGGAGGAUUUUAUUACAUGAGACUUUUUAGUUUUGUUUUGAGGGAAUGGGAGAUUUCUUGAAUGAAAUGGCUGUGAUGAUGAGCCAAACACAAACUAAUGUAAGCAUUCUUCAAUGCAUAUUUAUGUUUUCUAUAGAAUAAUUUGAGAAUUGUGUUUGGAAAUUCCUAGGCAUUAUUUAGCUUUUUCCAAGCUUUAGUUAUGGCUUUUACUUUGCUGGUUGGCAAAAGAAUGACGGUAUUUUGAUUUCUCCUAAUCAGAUUGCAAAUGGGUCAUUUAGUCACAAGGGCAACAUAUUUUAAUCUAUUUUUAUUUUUAUCCUCAGUGUGUUCAUGCUCUGAAAAGUAGUGAUUCAUGGUGCCUAGUUUUGGUCUUGUUCAAUGGCGAAUUACAUAUAAGUUCUAUUGUUGGGAAAUUGAUUGGUGAAGCAGACACGCAAUUAAAGUGAAAUUGAGAAAUAAUGAGACAGCAGAAUCACACAGGGACACCAGGAUUUAAGUGGUUCGGCUUUUAACCUAGAUUCACGGGUGAAAACAGAAGAAAAAUAUUUUACUAGUGAUAUGAGAAUUACAAGUAUUGUAAUAUUUUGUCUCACUAUCCAGAACCCCAAUGUACCCAAUCGCUUACUCACUAAUCUCUCAAGCCAAGAGUUUAUUAAAUUCUUAAUACUCUCAACUCCCUAAAUGUAGGAAAUGCUUCUCUCAAACUGGAUGUUGAAAUGAGGAGAAGCAUCCUUUAUAGCCAAAAAUUGGCUUCGGUUCAUGCCUAUUAUUUUUAUUUAUUUAUUAGUAUUUUAUUAUUAUUAUUUCCGCUGAGCGGCCCGCCACUUUCUUUUCUUCUUCUUCUUCUUAUUUCUUCUUUUUUUUUUCUUUUUCCUUUGCGGUUGAGCACUAGCAGUGCCCACUGCUUACUUUUUGACAUCUAUGUGGGCCCCACAAAAGUUGUUCUUGGAGGAAUUGAAUAACUGAAUUAUUCAAACCUGACUUAAUCUUCCAGCAGUGUUAUUGCUUGGUAUUUAUCUUUGUAUGCUUUGAUUGUAAAUUUGACAGGAAAAUGGUGAGGAGACCUUGGAGGAAUUGCAGAAUUUGUUUGAAUAGAUGUUUAAAGGAGACACCAAUGCUUUCGAGCCUAAACUUAUUCUGAUUAUUUCAUCUGUACUUAGAUUUGAACUAAGAAUUUUUUUGUGAUGGUAUGUUAGCUUUUAUAAAUUUCCUUUCUUUAAUAAAAUCUCACUUUGUUUUUAGCGGAAGUUAAUAAGAUCGGAUGGUGGAUUGUAUUGCUGUGUGUCAAAUGAAAUUUUAAACAACGUGCUUCUGGCUAGAGACCUCGAACCAUUUUUUAUGAUUUAGAAUGUUGUAACCAUUAGAAGCUUCCUUGUCAUAAACUGGUGGCUCAGAUUAUUGAAAUGUUCAUGAAAGCUAAUAAUCUGAUUUCCCAUUGUAUAUUAUCAGAUUCCCUUUUGUUGCAAUCUUGUGGUUGAGCAGGUCUCAAGAUUCUGACCUUUUUCACCCCGCUUUCUGACAGAAGAAUUUGCCUAUCAUUGUCAAGUGUUUGGCAAUUAGCCACCAUCUGCUGUAUUCAUUAUGAAAGCAUUGUAAAUUUGAUCCCUUAAGAAGGGGAGAAAUUGAUCAAGCUGAUUGGUUAUACUCAUUGUAUGCCACAAGUGCUUUAUCAAACCACAACAGGUAACACCCGUGCGAAGGGCGCAAGCCAAAAUUGAUAGCUGCACCAGUAUCAUCAAGAUACUCCUUUUCCGGUCCAUCUAUGUCUUACCGAUGGCAUUUUUACUAUUCAUCCUCUGUACUAUUUGUUUCUUUAGCAAAUUUCUUUCUGUAUUAUGAGUCUUAAUAAAAGUUUAAUUGUAGACAACUUUUUUGCCUUGAAAGUAUAUUUUAAACCUUUCAAACCCAUUAGCUCCAUUGGGAAACUUAUGACUUUAUGGAAAUAUUUGUUGCAUUUUGUCACUGAUGGUCAGUCCAUAAAAUUAGUUGACUGAUAGUGUCAAGCAGUUAGCAAUACAACUUUUUACCAAUGAUAUAACUCUUUUCAUUCUGUAUUUUGUUCGACACUUAAUUCGGUUCCAUUAUGUCAUUAUCUGUGCUUGAUUGAGUUGCAUGUUCAUGCACAAGAAUUUCCCAUCGCGGUGUUCCUAAGCUACUUUAUAAGACCUGGAUUUGUCUUUAACUAGGAUAUGGCUUUUUUUGAGUUGAAAAGCCUACUGUGAAAGUUAUCUGCUCAAAGCAAAAAAAAAAAAAAAAAAAUUCGUGGGAGGGAAAUUAAAUUUUGGCGAAGUUUGCUUUGGGGAUUUUGAAGAUAACUUGUAAAUUUGUUACACAUAUUGAGUGAUUCAAGGUUUUCAAUACAUUUCUUCCAAGGAAUCAGUUUUGUUUGGCUUCUCAAACUAUGCUUCUAAUCCAAUAUCUUAACUACGGCUGGCAAAAAGCUAUUCACUGUUAUAAUGGAUUGUUAUUGGAAAUAAUCAAAUAAAGCCUAUGAAGAAUUAGAAUAAAAGCUAUAUUUUGUCUUUGUGAAGGGAAUAUUUGACAACCAAUCCACCGAUAUUUUUUUCUAUUAAAACCUAUACUUAUUAUAGCCUCAAUCAUUUCGAGACAUACCGGAGAAAUCUAACUAAAAAGUUGAUAAAUUUUAAUUCAUUCUCCCGAUAGAACAACAAUCUUGAUUUUAUCACCUAAAAGAGUGAAAAUAUCAAUUUAGCCUUCAUUUUCAUUCAAUAAGGUGAGAGCAUAUUGUGGAUGCGGUGAUGGAUUUCUUUUUUUUUUUCUUUGUAUGGUUGUUUAUACAAAAACUUAGCAUAUAUACCAAAAACUUAGCACUGAAUGAUAAGAGCAUUGCCUUCUUAGGGCGGAAGUCGUGAGUUUGAGCCUUAUCCUCUUGGAAGUAAAUCAAAGACUUAUCAUUUUAAGUGAGGGGCAAAUUAAAGUUUAUUCUAAAGACUAAAAUGUUAUAUGAAACAACUUUAGCCAUUUACAACUAUUAAUUGUCUGCUACUAUUUUCUUUUUUUAAUUCUAAAGUCUUUAUUACUCUUUCUCAUAUUAGUAGUUAGUAGACAUUCUAAAUUUUCUUUUAACAUUUUAUUCUAACAUUUUUUCCCCGAAAACGACAAUGGCAAGCUAAUUUGACCUAUCUUGACUGACUGAAUUUGGAUAACUUGUGUUACGCUCUCUCUCGUAAUUCAUAAAGACGACCACUUUGAUUUGCACUAUCCUUUCUGUGUCAUUGUGCUCACGUUGCAAGGGAUUCGUCACGCCCGCAGUUGUCAAAUUAAAGUUACAUUACAUUUACAUACGUUAAAGACUUUAUUUGAAUAUUCUCCAUCGUCUUUAUUGACCCUUUUUUAUCUUUUAUUUUUCCUUGUGUCGAAAGAAUCCUUCACUGAUUGGAAUAUCCAUGAUGACUGGUUGCAAUUGGAAGAGUCCCUGAAAUUCAUCUUUCAUUCGAUCUUAAAUACUUUCUCCGAACAAUUAGAAUACAUUAAGAUUUUAUGAACUUGCUUAGUAGAUCAUUCAACUGCUUAAUUGGUGCAGUUAAUUAAUUGAUUAUCUUCCCAGAAACACAUUAAAGACUCUCACGGGGAUUCAUUAAACCUUUUCGCUGGGUCAAUUCUACAAGCAUCAGACGUAAAAGCUUCAUGAUAAGAGCACAAGCCUAUCGUCUUCAAAAGCUCUUGGAAAAAGCUAGCUAUUUUCUUUAUUGUCAUUUCCAUCCAUUUUAACCCUUUCUUUUUCAUUUUGUACAAUUUUGACUUGACUCUGAAAUAGAGAACAAUGAUAUUUAGACAGAAAAAUUUAAUAGAAUGUUUAAAAAUAAAAUAAAAUUAGUCUCGGUUUAUCUUGUACUAGUUUUACCUUAUUGAUGUCAAUGAUUUUCUAAGAAAAAAAGAAACUUCGUUAAUUUUACCUUUGUUUCAUGAUGAGAUUAGUGCUGGAGCCGUCAUGGACUCAUUGCUAUGCAGAAUUCAAAAAUCAAGCUUAAACAGUUUUGGUGAAAUUUCUAUAUUGAAAUUCUUGUUAAUAAAUCAUUCACACUUUAAUGAAAGUAUUAAUAGCAGCCGUGUAACUCACUAACUCCCUAUUAAUUAAUUUUUAUAAAUUGCUACCGGUAACUCCGUAUUAAUUAAUUUAUCACGCGUUGUAUAUACAGAGUAGCGUAUGUUGAGAAUCAAAUAAAACGACAUUGAAUGAAGUUUUCAAAGACAGAAUCUGCACUUGUCAAAGGGGUAAUCUACACUUGUCAAAGACAAGAUCCGCGCCGAACGGAUUGACACAUUUCCUUCCGUAUUCACAUAUGUAAUCUUUGAAAAAAUGUAGCCUCUGCAUUUAUAAAUAACUCUCAAUGUAUAAUGUUUUUUUAAGAAAUGAAAACACGUUUCUUCAUGGUAUCAGAGCCAUGAAUACGCUCAACUUUCUUCAAGUUCCGCUGCUCUGUUUGUAACAAAAACAGAGGAAACCAAAUUCCUCCCACAACCAUUUUUCCCACCAUUUUCUUUCUUAAACCCAUUCUUCCCAUUACAGAUAUCCAUGCCGAUCAAGAAACAAGCCACCCAUACGUAAAAAACUUGAGUUUACAAAUUUAUCAACAAUCCCAUCAAUUUUCCAAGAGUGUGUUCUUCAAAAACCAAGAACACCAUCAAAUUUUUCAGUUUUCAGUGAGGAAACUGUAAAAAUUUCACAUUUAAACACAUUUGCACGCCCUCACACGCGCCACCCGAAGCCACGGCCAGUCAACCACGCGCCUCUGUCAUUAUUCACGCGCUAUCACGCGCUCCAGAGGUUGAAGAAGACGUCAACCGACAUGUCGUUUUUAUCUCAGAAGUGCAGCAGUAAAAAUCGACUUGUCGUUUUUUUGUUAUAUAAACACCGACAGGUCGUUUUGAAAUUUGAGAUAAAACGACGUGACGUUUACUCUCCAGAAGUGCAGCAGGAUUUAAACGACAUGUCGUUUAUAUUCCACCAUAACCGACAUGUCGGUUGGUCAAGCAGUGGCCAAACGACUUGUCGUUUUGUUAUCUAAAAAGGUUUUUUUUUUCUUCUUUCAAUCUAGACAAAAAAAAAAAAAAUACAAAAAAAAGAAAAAAAAAGAAAAGAAAAGAAAAAAAAGAAAAAGAAAAAAAACAAAAAAAUGGAGAAAACUCCAACUGAAUCUAUUCAUGUUGUCAUUCAAUCUGUUCAAUCUGAUGGAGUAUUUAAUGCUGGAAUUAUCCUCACUGAGACAAACUAUGAUGUUUGGUCUCAAAUAAUGGAGAUGCAUCUUGCAGAAAGAGAAAAACUCUCAUAUAUUCGUAGCAGCACAAAGCCAUCUGAGGAAUUUUCAAAGGAAUAUGAGAAAUGGUAUAGUGAGAACCAAAAAGUAAAAAGAUGGUUACUAAUAUCCAUGUCUCCGGAGAUCAUGAAGCGAUAUUUACGAAUUCCUACAGCCUACGAAAUCUGGGAUGCAUUAUCAAAAGCCUUCUAUGAUGGAAGCGAUGAAUUACAAGUUUUCACUCUAAAGCAGAAGGCAUUCUCUACCAAGCAAAAUGGACAACCACUCUCUAAAUUCUAUGGAGAAUUGAUCGAAAUAUUUCGAGAACUUGAUCACCGAGAUAAAGUGGUCAUGAAGGAUCCAGAAGAUGUUGUAAUAUACAGAAGGUCUGUUGAAAGAUUGAGAGUGCACAUUUUUCUUGCUGGGCUAGAUGAAGAAUUUGACCAAGUUCGUGGAGAAAUUCUACGAAAAGAUAUUAUCCCAGACUUAGAAGAAUGUUAUUCUCUGAUCCGAAGAGAAGAUAUACGGCAAAGCAAACUAAACAAGAAGGUCGACUCAGAAACGUCUACUAUGAUAGCACGACAGCAACCUCAAAGGAAGUUUGUUGACAAGUCAUCACUCCAUUGCACUCAUUGUAGAAAGAAGGGUCAUACAAAAGAACAAUGUUUUGAAAUCAUUGGAUAUCCUGACUGGUGGGAUACUCGAAAGAAGAACACCAAGCAUGGAUCAAAUACUGCAGUAGCUGAAUCCACAUCCACUACAGAUCUUAGAAAAGAAUCUUCAGUGCAAAUCGCAACCUCUGUCAGUCCAGGUAAAGCCCUUAAAACUCUUACACCUGUUAUUAAUAGUACAUGGAUAAUUGAUUCUGGGGCAACUGAUCAUAUGACUUUUGAUUCUCGACAAGUUUCUCAAUUGAAACCAUCUUCACAAAAACAUAUUUCCACUGCAAAUGGAACCACAACCUCAGUUAUUGGGGAAGGAUCUUUACGACUCACAAAUGAAUUAAAUUUAGACACUGUGUUAAUUGUUCCAUCUUUAGAUUAUAAUCUUUUAUCUGUGUCUCAAUUAACCACUUACUUAUCAUGUGUUGUAAUUUUUUGGCCUGAUCAUUGUGUGUUUAAGGACAUCCAAACGAAGCAAACGAUUGGUUAUGGUAUUAGACGAGGCAACUUGUACUACUUGGAGAUGUCAUCAACAAACACUAGAAAGCUAAGCCCCGCACUAGUCGCAGAUAGUUUCAUAAAAAAAAGGAAAUCAGAAAUUUGGUUAUGGCAUAGACGUUUAGGGCAUGUGUCGUUUGGUUACUUAAAAAAAUUAUUUCCUAGUUUGUUUAUGAAAUUUGAUGUUUGUAACUUUAAAUGUGAUGUUUGUGAACUUUCAAAAAGCCAUCGAACUACUUUUCCAUUGUCCUUAAAUAAAAAUCCAGUUCCUUUCAUGGUAGUACAUUCUGAUGUAUGGGGGCCAUCUAAAGUUUCUACAAUUGGAGGUGCUCGUUGGUUUGUUACAUUUAUUGAUGAUUGUAGCAGAAUGACAUGGAUUUUUCUGAUGAAAUCGAAAGACGAAGUAAACUCUUUAUUUCAAAGAUUUCAUAAGAUGGUGACAACUCAAUUUCAGACACAAAUUCAAGUUCUACAUACUGAUAAUGGAGGCGAGUAUAUGAGCACUGCAAUUCAACAGUUUCUGAAAUCACAAGGAUCUGUCCAUCAAACCACUUGUGUGGGGACACCCCAACAAAAUGGCGUUGCUGAACGAAAAAACAGACAUUUACUAGAAGUUGUUCGAGCAUCACUAAUCCAAGCCCACAUGCCAUUAUCUUAUUGGGGAGAAGCACUAGCAUCCGAAGCAUACUUGAUCAAUCGAACACCUUCAAGCUCCCUUGGAUUCCAGACUCCUUUCCAAGUUCUGAAUGAUGCAAUUAUGUCACAAAAUGUGCCGAAUCUGCCCCUACAUGUGUUUGGUUGUGUUGCCUUCGUUUAUUUGCGGCAACAAGACAAAUUAUCUCCUUGAGCGCUACGUUGUGUGUUUGUAGGGUAUGCCUUACAUCAAAAGGGAUACCGAUGCUAUCAUCCACCAUCAAGAAAAAUAUACAUCACCAUGGAUGUCGUUUUUCAUGAAGAUAUCAUGUACUACUUGUCAGAGUCUGAAUUUCAGGGGGAGUAUAAUGAAGAGGAAAUUCAUACUCUUACAUAUCUUCCACCUGAAGAAAGUCAAUCUUCCAUUGAGAUAGUAAACCUUCAAGAUACUGGAAAAGAAAAUGGUGAUGAUUCUCAGGCUGAGAUAAGUGAAGACACAUUUGGGGAGCACAAUAACUUAGACACAACUGCAAUCGAGAAUGAGUCACAUGAAGAAAUACCUAACCAAUCGUCUGCAGAGGAUGUUCCUACCACAAGUCCAAUCAGAAGAAUUCUUCCCCAGCGUCAAAAUAGAGGUAUACCUAAACCCACAUAUGAGCCUGACUUCUCUAGCAGAGUCAAAUACCCUAUGAGUCAUUUUGUGUCUAACCAUCGCUUGUCAGAAUCAAAUUAGUCAUUUGUGAAUCAAUUAUCUGUUGUAUCUAUUCCUAACAGUGUGCAGGAAGCUUCCUAACACAACUGCAAUCGAGAAUGAGUCACAUGAAGAAAUACCUAACCAAUCGUCUGCAGAGGAUGUUCCUACCACAAGUCCAAUCAGAAGAAUUCUUCCCUAGCGUCAAAAUAGAGGUAUCCCUAAACCCACAUAUGAGCCUGACUUCUCUAGCAGAGUCAAAUACCCUAUGAGUCAUUUUGUGUCUAACCAUCGCUUGUCAGAAUCAAAUCAGUCAUUUGUGAAUCAAUUAUCUGUUGUAUCUAUUCCUAACAGUGUGCAGGAAGCUUUAAAAGACCCAAAGUGGAAAGCGGCUAUGAAUGAUGAAAUGAGAUCUCUUCAGAAAAAUCAAACAUGGGAACUAGUUGAUCUUCCACCAGGAAAGAAACCAGUGGGUUGUCGAUGGAUUUACACUAUAAAAUACAAAGCAGAUGGCUCUAUUGAACGAUACAAAGCAAGACUCGUAGCUAAGGGUUACACCCAAACCUACGGGAUUGAUUAUACUGAUACGUUUGCACCGGUAGCAAAAAUUAAUACUAUUUGUAUCUUAUUAUCAUUAGCAGUCAACUUGGAUUGGCCAGUGCAACAGUUCGAUGUAAAGAAUGCUUUCCUCCAUGGAGACCUGUCUGAAGAAAUUUAUAUGGAUCUGCCACCAGGAUGCAGUAGACCAGAACGACUCAAUUAGAAAGUAUGCAAAUUGAAGAAAUCAUUGUAUGGGUUGAAGCAAUCCCCAAGAGCAUGGUUCGGGAAAUUCACAAAGGUUAUGGUUCGUUUUGGGUAUAACCAAAGCAAUUCAGAUCAUACCUUAUUCAUUAAAAAACGACAAGGUAAAAUCACUGCCCUUAUUGUCUAUGUGGAUGAUAUGGUAGUUACAGGCAACGACGAGGAAGAAACAGAGGCUCUUCAGAAGUACUUGUCAAGAGAGUUUGAGAUGAAGGAUUUAGGUGCCUUAAAAUACUUUCUUGGAAUUGAGGUUUCUCGAUCUAAGGGAGGAAUCUUUCUGUCUCAAAGGAAAUAUGCCUUAGAUCUAUUGCAUGAAACGGGAAUGACAGCUUGUCAGCCUAUUGACACCCCAAUAGAAGAAGGACUGAAGUUUUGUAUUACUUCAGACCAAGUUCCAAUAGACAAAGGAAGAUAUCAAAGGCUGAUUGGAAGAUUGAUGUACUUGUCCCAUACAAGGCCAGAUCUUGCUUAUGUAUUGAGUGUUGUAAGUCAGUUUAUGCAUAAUCCCAGAGAACAACACAUGAAAGCAGUAAUGCGGAUCCUGAGGUACCUGAAGACAAAUCCAGGAAAAGGAAUCCUAUUUUCCAAAAAUGAAGAUUACAGCAACAUAGAAGUUUAUACUGAUGCAGAUUGGGCCGGGUCAGUUAGUGAUAGACGCUCUACUUCACACUUUACCUUUGUGGGAGGCAACCUUGUCACAUGGAGAAGCAAGAAACAACAUGUCGUUGCCCGUUCGAGCGCUGAAGCAGAAUAUCGAGGCAUGGCCCUUGGGAUAUGUGAAGGGCUAUGGAUAAGUUUUAUCUUAAACGAUUUGGGCUAUCCAUCACAACAACCAAUACAACUAUACUGUGACAACAAAGCUGCACGAGAUAUUGCUCAUAACCCAGUUCAACACGAUCGAACAAAACAUGUGGAGGUAGAUAGAUUUUUCAUCAAGGAGAAAUUAGAUGAAAAAAUCUUAGAACUGCCGAAAAUUCGAUCAGAAGAUCAACUUGCAGAUAUUUUAACGAAGGCCAUUUCAAGCAGGGCAUUUACAAAAUUCCUAGACAAGUUGGGUAUGCAAGACAUCUAUGCACCAACUUGAGGGAGAGUGUUGAGAAUCAAAUAAAACGGCAUUGAAUGAAGCUUUCAAAGACAGAAUCUGCACUUGUCAAAGGGGUAAUCUGCACUUGUCAAAGACAAGAUCCGCGCCGAACGGAUUGACACAUUUCCUUCCGUAUUCACAUAUGUAAUCUUUGAAAAAAUGUAGCCUCUGCAUUUAUAAAUAACUCUCAAUGUAUAAUGUUUUUUUAAGAAAUGAAAACACGUUUCUUCAGCGUAAUGGGAUUUUUUUUUUUAAUGUUGAUCUUUUACUCAAUUAAUUAAUUAAACAUUUAUAAAUGAUCACUAAGUAUUCAUGAGUAUGUGGCACAUGAGCUUAAACAUGAAUCAAUAUUUGCUAGUGCAUUGGUGGUUAGCACAAAUAACUUCGAUGAUAGAGAGUGACUGGGAAGCAUUAAGGGGAUGGAUCCUUUAAUGACCUGAUUUUUAAGCAAAUUUCACUUAUAUGUUUAUUGGUUAAUCAAGUAAGUAAUAAAAAUAGUUAAAUUUUAAUCAUACAUUAAUAUUAAAAGGCAAGUUAUAUAAGAUCUUUAAACGUUCAAAAGAGAUCAAAUCAAAAGAGGACUUAAAUUUGAGAAUAACUCUUGUAAAAUUUAAGUUUUAUGUGCUCAUGAAAGUACUUGUUAUUAAAGGUAUCUCUUGAAUAUUUAAUGGUUUAACAAAUUAUGUUCUUUAUAGACAGUUUGUAAAUUACUCUCGUCACUGCCACCAUGACUUGUAUUGUUGUUGUGAGCAGUUUAAUGGAAUGCAAUAUCAAUUUACUUGUUAGAAAAAAAAUCGAUUAUAAAUACUAAUUUGACUUUAUUGUGCUCUAGAGCAAAAUACAAAGUGGUUAUUUAGUGAUUAUUAGUUUAACUUACAAUGAUAGAUAUAUCUUAAAUAUACAUAUUAAGAUAUAUAUAUACACACACAUAGAUGUGCGUGCGUGCGUGUGUGCGUGCGCUUGUGCCAAGAGACAAACAAAUAUACGAUGAAUAAAGAUUUCCAAACCUAAAGACUUCAAAUUAAUGGUGAAACAUCUUUGCAAAUUAAACUAAGAAAAAUUGAAAAAGUAUUUUAUCAUUUUAUGCAUGGAAUUCCACGUCCAUGCAUGCAUGUACCCAACAAAUGCACUUGUAAUUUAGUAUGCAUAUGGUACACACAAAAUGUUGUCUUGGAAAAGUCUCAAUGGAUGACACGUGAUCAUGUCAUUGUACGUACACGCACAACGAAUAAUCCUUGCGACGACUUGCAUAAAACAAAAAAGGAGAUGUCUCUCUUUGUCCCUGUAGUUUAUGUACCCAUGGAGGAGUCAAUAUAUUUUUAGAAAUUCACUCUAAAAAAAAUAUAAAUUCUAUAUUCUUUUUUGGUUAAAAUCUACCUAAUUAUUUUCUAUUUUCCAUCCGUUAUAUAUUAAAUUAGUUUUAAUUUUAAAUUUUAUCAUAUAAAAAUUCUGUUUUAGCUUUAAAAAUUUAUGUCCAACAACUAAGAAAGUAAGUAAAGAGAUGUUCUGGAUAAUCUUUUAAAAUAUAAUAUUGACUAAACUGGAUAAUUGACUCAAAUUACUCAAUGACGAGCCAAAAGUGGAUUGGUUAUCCACUUUUGUACGGCUUUGAAUGACUUUAUUUUCUACAUACUCCGCAUCAGUCGUUGUGACGACGUAAUUACGAAAACAACUAGAAGCUGGCCAAGACGACGGGCAAGCUGAGAACAUAUUCGUAGGCAUUUUCCCUUCAUUUACACCAAAUCUAAAGUUCUGAACUGAAUGAAAGAGGAAGCCAACUUGAAUUACAUUUUUUUCCAGCAUUUUUUGGUCGAACGAACCAUUUCACUUGGAAUCAUAAUGAGUCGUUGCAAGGAAAUGUGUUAUUUUGAUCAUUACUUUGUUUAAUAUUCUUGUUUGCGGUAUUUUAAUUUGAGAGAUAUAUAAGUCUCAAAGGAAUGUCGGAUUCCGUGCUCACAUGAUGAGCUAUAUAAUAUAUGUUGGUUUUACUUAAGGUUGUUGUAAUUAGUAGUUUAAAAAAAAGUACUAGCACAACUCUAAUAAUGGAUAAAAAUUCCUAAUUAAUUUGAAUUCAUCUCUCAUUUGUCAUUUAAAAAAGAAAAAAGGAAAAAAAAAGAUUCAAUAAUGUUCUUAUUGAUCAACAUAGUAUUUGACACUUUUGUCUACCCAGAAACAAAGACUAACGACAAUAUGCUUUAAACGUUUUGAUGGUUUAGUUCUACCAACUUCAACGUAAAAUCACAGAUUGAGCACAUAAGUCAAUAAGUCAUGACCAUCAUUUUCAAAAUUCUCAAAUAUAGUCCAAUUUCUCUAUAAUCAUAAUAUUGAGGUAAGUUAAUUUUAUUAAUAUGAGAAUGUUAUAAUUAACUUAGUAAAGAUAUAGUUACAUAAAUUAUCGUUUUCACUUAGUUAUCCUUUGUGCAUUUAAAUUAGAGGUAAAAUAUUUACUAUAUUAAUAAUUAAUUACUGGAUUAUGUCAGAAAUUGAUAUUAAAGGUAGGCUUAAUUAAAAAAAAAAGUCUAUACUUUUUUGCAAUAGCCAAAUAAUAUUAUUAUGCGGGGACAAAUUCUUUUUAGACAAGACUUAAAAAAAUUAUAACUUAUUAUAAUUUAGAGUAUAUCCUUAUUUAUAACUAACUUAAAUUGAGAUUAAAUCUUUUUAUAAUUAAAUAAAAAUUAUUUCUAUAUAAAGUAUGACUACAUAGGAGAAAUAUUUUAUUGUAUAUAGCUAUUUCUUUCUCUGUUAUUUCUAUCCACUUCAUGAGCACUGUCUUAGUCUUUUCCCUUUCCUGUAACAAUCUUGGUUUAACUAUGAACUAAAUGUUUUUUUUUCAAUCAUUAAUUAAUAUUAGGUAGGUGCAUCUACCAACACGGUUGCAACUAAUUACCCACUAUAAAAUUUUAUUCUCAAUCCCCCAUGGAAAAGUGUGCAUGCCUAUAUAUAAUCGGACUUUAUUAUCAGUGUUAUGGAUAAAGGAAUUAUUAAUUUUAAAUUAAUAAUUAUUUUAAUCAAUUUGGCAAUAUAUAUAUUAUCCUUGAUUAAUUUAUAUGAGUGAAUAUCAAGUGUAACGUAAAAUAUUAUUUGUGUUGCACAUGCGGACAAAAGAAUGCAAAGAUUCCUUCAACAAGAUUCAAAGUAUGAUAUAGAAAAGAAUUUAAAAUUAAAAAAAAAAGUAAAAUAGAAAGUUGAAUUUAACAAGAUUCAUGUACAGGAAGAAAAAGAAUUAAUAAAGUGAUGAAAAAUUGGUAAUCGUGGCAAGUAAUCUUAUUCAUGUACGCGGAUGAGCCUUUUUCUUUUCCCAUUAUGAGAAAAUCUCAAGUACAUAAAACGUAUUAUAACCAUUUAGUGAAAUUAGUUAUGACAUACGCAUUCUGAUUUUAUUAUACUAUAAUUAUCUUCUUCUUCUUCUUUUUCCAACUUAAAUGUACACGUACGUGAUCAAUGACUAUUGAUUAUGUAGAGGAGUUUGUCAUUUUAUUGAAACUAUCAAUACCCUUAAACGAUUGAACCUUCAGUACCUUAGUAGUUGACUGUGAAUGCCAUUUUAUUCCACCCCACUGGAAUUGUUAAAUGUUACUUGCUUUCCACAGACAUCUUGAUUACGUUUGUGUGCUUAUGUUAUAAGGGCUUCGUCAAGAAGCUCAUUGCCAUUAUUACGAAAUUAAAUAGACUACGAUUGUUGGGAUCAGGCUACGGUACCACAAUGGUACCGUGACACAUCAUUUGUCUUUUAUGGCUCCAAUAUUAUAAAUUUUCAUAUAACCCCCUUUUAUUCGUUUUUAUUUAAACUUUAAUUCACAAAUAUUAAGUUAAUAUCUAUUACAUCCACAUGGACAUUUUAGUUAGCACCUUAUACUAUUUAUUAUUUACAAAUUCUUAUUAUAUAUUGCACUUAUAUCACAAUACCCCCUCUGUGAACCAAAAUGCCCAUGCCGAACCCACAACCCGACCCGGAUGCUAUUUCCAUUUCUGGCCACUUCACCGGCCAAGGUUGGUACCGAUCGGAAGAUCGUGCGAUGCCGGUCAUCUCCAUGCCAAUCUUGUCGCCGAAAAGCGUUCGGAAACCUCCCGAUUGAAGCCGUGAAAAGCCGCAGAACCGCCGCUUCAAUUCGCCGCGAUUUCUCCGGUUUCCGGUGAUGCUAUCACUUGAGUUUUGCUCCCCACGAUUCCCUCUAUAUUUUCCGACCAAUCACAGCCACCGAGGGGAGCCGAUUUGCCGUUGAUCGGUCAUUGAAGGAUUCACGGCUUUGGGAGCUCGAUCCGGCGCCAUCACCACGCGUGAGAGGUCACCACCAUCACCGUUGGACUCAGCUCGGCCAAAAGUGUCUAACUGGAGUUUCCCGUCGCCGUCAAUUGAAAUCCGGUCACCGUUGGUCGGCAUGGGUAUUUCGGUAAUGUUCACAUGGAUGCAGUUGAAAUUAGUUUAAUAUUUGUAAAGUAAAGUUUAAAUAAAAAAGAGUGAAAGGGGUUAUAUGAUAAUUUGCCACAAAAGACAAAAGGAAGUGGCAUGGUGCCACUGUGGUACUGCAGGCUGAUCCCGAUUGUUGACCUAAUUUGAAAAUUCCUCCAUUGUUUAUUAUUUUUCCCUUUUUAAUUUAUCAAUAUCAGUCAUAUCAAGUCAUUCUAUUAAUCAAAAACCUUGGGGAAGACGAAAUAUAUAUUAACUUACUGUCUUUUCUCAAUAACUUUUUAGGUGAGAUUAGUUUAAUAAAUUACAUGAUAAAUAAUACUCUUGCUUGAGUCUAUAUAUAAUUAUAUAUGAUAUAAAAUUAAGAUUCUUUUUUUUUUGUCGUAAUACAUAGAAUUGUUCGUACUAUUAUUAUAACAAAAUAAUUAAAAUUUAUGAGUUGAAGUUGUCAGAAAAAUAAACUUAUUUCCAAUGAAUGGCAUUUGGAGGAACAAAAUCAAUCCGGAAGUUUUUUUACGCCGAAAAAAAUCAAUUAACAUUAAUGACGUCCAAAUGUCCAAAUAUAAUGAGAAAUUGAAUUCUUCAAAACCUUGCUGUUUCUUCAUAUUUCUUAACAAAACCUAAUCAGUUGGUAAAUUUUGAUAUAAUUAUUAUCUAUUAUUAAUAAUUAGGUGGACCUAAACGUUCCCAAUACAUUAAAACAAUCGAUCAUCUACAUUAUUCUACAUUAAUCUUUUUUUCUUUUUUUUCCUUAUGAAAAAGCAAUUAAAUUAAUAAGUAGAAAUUUCUUUACAUUUUCGCCGGAGAAUCAGACUCAAAUUCAAAUACAACGACUCAAGCUAGCGCAAAAGCUUAUAAAUAGAGGAGAGCAAAAGUAAAGCCCCGUUCCAGUUCUCUUUCAGAGGCUACGGAUUUGAGAGAUUAAAGAACAUCAAUCGAACAGUAAGACUCCGUACUCUGUGACGCAAAGUUGCAAAAACUUUUAGGUAAAUUUUUUUGGAUUAAUUUUUUAAUUUUCGAGAAUAAAGAGACAGAGAGAGAGAAAAGAGAUGGGAUUAUGUCUGUCUGGGAGUGAUGUGAGGGGAGGGAAACAAGCCGUAGGUGGGGCCCAUCUCCGGCCCACCAGCGCGGCUGAUCAGAACAAUGUCUCUGGUCAAAACGACGCCGUUGAUUUCUUCUUCAAAUCUCGCGGCCUUCAUGCCCUUUUCACCCAAAUCGAGGUAUAUGUGUAUACCUGAAUUUAUGAGUCUUUCGCUGCCACUAUUAAUAAACUAUUUUCAGUUAAUUAAUUAAUUAAAAAUUUAUGAUUAGUUUAUGUUUUUUAAUUAAUUUAUAAUUUUUUAUUUUAAUUUUUUAAAUCUGAUUUUGUUCAUGUCUGUAAUUGUGAUGGAUUCUCAAAUGAUUACUCGUUUGAAAAUCUAUUUCCAAAUUAUGUUUGCUAUUAUUAUUUAUUUAAUGACUUGUCUGUGUAACAUCUAACAACUUAAAUCAUUUAUAUUUGAUAAAAGUUAUUUGAUAAUUUGAACAUAGAGAGUAGAUUCCUAUUUAAGAAUCAACCGCAAUCCCAAACAUGCUUUUUUGCUUUUUUUUAAAUAAUGUAAGAGGAGUAUUUGAAAUUUUGGAGGGCGAAUAUUUUACUUGAUAGAAAAAACAUAACAUAGCAGGAUAUAUUAGACAAGACCAAGCCAAACAUAUUAGGCUAUACAAACAUAACAUAGCAGAAAUUGAUAAUGGUACAUUACAUAUGUUAGGAUAUAGCAGUUUUAGAUGAUGGUAAAUUACAUAUGUUAAGAUAGAGUGGUUUGUAACUAACUUUUGAUGGCUUAAUGAAUUGAUUGAAUUUGUAUUUAGAUUCUAUCAAUGAUCUCAUAUUCUUCCCAUCCAUGUCUUUCGAUUUUUAUUAUUCCCUCUACCCACUUGUUUCACAAUUUGUUUGUCUGAUGGCCUAAAACUCCAAUUUCUGUACAUGAACAUGUGCUGAAUGUCUACUACAAUGAACAUGUGCUGAAUGUCAACUUUUACUACUACACCAGCAAUCUAACACAUGGCUCACGUGCACACUAGACAAGUCUGAUUCAAACAUCUUUAAAGUGUUGUAUUAAUAACUCUCUGAAACUGGGUUUGAGUAAUCAAGAAAAGCCAAAAUGUAGAACAAUGACAAUAAAAAAUGAAGACCCUCUUACAGUCUUUAACUUGAUAGAAAAAACACGAGCUGCAUACCAUGUCUCACAAAUUUCAAAGAAAAUUGGCCUCAUUCCUGAUGCUGCGCAGAAGGUUGGCCUGAAUCAUCUUUAAGAAAGCUCAUUUAUUACAUUAAUACAUUAUAUCAGUGAGAUGAUGCUACUUUAAUGAAACUCAUGUCUCAAGUUAGGAACAGCUACAUGGGCAUUUCAUCGAACAGUUGAUAUGCUCAGUAGAUAAUCGAAGUUUCCUGGAAGUUGCAAGUGCUGCCGGCAUUUUCAAAAUUGGAAAACCAUUCAAAGGUUUUCAAUAGUUAGUUUGAUAUUACACGUGUGAUAAUCUUGUGAUGAUGAUGAUUUUAUGUAUCUGAUUAUAAGCUAAGCUAAGCUAGUGGAUUUGUAAGUAAGCACACGGCAAAGUAUUUAAUCUUCUUAUUGUCGCAUUCUUCUAAUCAAUUAGCUUUCACCAACAAAAAUAAUUAAUAAUAAUGUAAAUGGAGGAACUUGGGAUCAUUAAUACCAGUAAACUACAACUUCACCUAGGCUUCAGGGAGGAUCCACAUGUUGUCUACAUUGAGCAUUUGACCAAUAAACUUUUAUUUUUCCAUAAUUUUCUAUAUAAAAUUAUGUAUUUUCAUGAAAUUACAUAAUUUCUUAUAUAAUUGUCUCCAAAAAAUACCAAUAGGUGCACGAACACAAAUAUGAUGCACACAUCUCUUUAAUUAAUUUAGGGCUUAAAGAGAUUUUAAGAUGACUACAAAUUGAAUAUGGCAGAUCUUGGACACCAUCCAUAAGAAAUAAAACUAGUCUCAAAUUGGAUUUCUGAGUACUCAAACAAAGCUAAAAGAAAGAUAAAGAAUGAAAACUGAAACAAAAAAAUCCUCUCACCAACACCAUAUGACUCUUAAUAUAUAGAAAGAACUCGAGCUCGAGCCUUAUCCAAAAUGCUGCACAAGUAGCAUGAGUCGUCUUCAUAAGUUUGGAGACUCUGUAGACAAAGAGUAAAAACACAUUGAAGGUGCAGUUUUGACAUAAUUAAAUUGCACAAAUUAACCUCUAUUAAGGACACAUAAAUCCUUCAAUUUUCUCUGUAAGCAAUUAAUUUCAUUUUUUAUUCUUUUAUUUUUCGCUAUGUCUAUAUAACAACUAAUCCUCAACGUAAAAACAGAGCAGAGUAGUUAUAUUUAAAAAAGAUGUACCAAUAUGAUUUAACAAACAAUUCAACAUAAAUAAAACAUUUUUAGUCAGUAAAAUAGAAUCAAAUCAAAACCUCCCGUUUAUCUUACCACUGUUUUUCGCAUCUUUUUCCUUUUCAUUCGCCUCGGCGGACUUCUCAUUCUCUUUUUCCUCCCCUUCCUAAUCAGAUUUAAAAUGAAUUUAUAAAAAAAUUAAUAUGUAUUUUUUUCUUUUUACUUUUUUAUAUAUAUCUGUUAUUAAAUCAGUAAUUUUUAGAAAAAAAAAAAAUAAAUCAACAUCUCAUAGUGAAUGAAUACUUACCUUUUUUCUUUUAAGAUAUACGUAUUGAAUGGUUGUAUUAAGGUCCCGAUCCCAAGCCCCAAGUUUCUUAUCGACUAGGCUCAUCUGCACUUCGUGUAACUUGGGUGUGCUUAAUUCCCCUUCUGAGAAAAUCUUCAUAUUGGGGCAAUCUGCCACCACUAAUGUUUCCAGAGAUGGGAAUUUGAAGUCGCAAUUAUUCCCAGAGCAGCUGAAACUAGUCAGACUUUCUAAGCCCAAAAGAAUCAAUUCCUUUAAAUCGCUGAAAACAAUUUCAUCUUUUGCUGCAUAAUUAUCUCCCUCAUCAUCCUCAUCUGCCACUAUUUCUGUUAUCAUCUUGCAGCAAACUAUGUGCAUUCGUCUCAGUCGCACCAGACUCCUUGCUGUUGAGGAUGUCAGUACAUGUAUCAUUCCAUGGCAAAGACAUACAAUCAAAGUUGUUAGGUUCUGAAAGGAUGUCGAGGAUGGCACUAGAUUAGUCAAAUUGUCACACUCGACUAUCUCCAGCUGUUGCAAAUUGUUGGUAUUGGUUGACUCUUGUUUGAAAAUCUGCUUCAGUUCACGACGCUGGUUUAUUCCCCUCAUCAUUGCUUCCAUCCCAUUUUCAAGGUUUUCAAAUGAUGUGUGCAAAUCUGCCUCAUUGUUCCCUCCUAUAGAGAGAAUUUUGAUGGUGUGAAAUCUCUGGAGGAAAUCGUCAAGUGAUAAAAUAGUACUUGACUCAUCAAGCCAGACAUCAAGAUAUUUAAGUUUGCAAAGCCAGUCUUCUGGAAAUAGGCCUAUGUGCUUUUCAUCAACAAUCAAUUCUUCCAAAUUGGGAAAUACCUGGGUGAUCAUCAAUCACGAAAAAAGCAAGAUGGAGUUAACACUUCUUUCUUACGAUUUCACAAAUUAAAGUAAAUACAAAGCAUUCCAAUGAUGCAUAUUGAUGGCCGGACAAAUUUAUACAUAUGCGGAGAGAGUAUGAUUUUCACCAGUAAAUACAAAGUAAAAACAAAGCAUUCCAUUUAAGUAAUGUGUAUUUUCUUCCAUUCUCUCUUCUUAACUCUUGUCCAGUUGAUAGAUUUUCAAAUUUUAUUAGAUUUGUGCAUAAUCUCUAUGAAAAAAGACUUCAAUUAUUCUCAAAUUGCGUUUAAACUUUGAGAUUCUUUUAAUUGAUCCGUUUAUUUGGUUUGAAUUGAAAAUCUUACAAAUUUCUUUUUUUUUUAAAUAUUGGAGUUUUUAACUUUUUCUUAAAGCAAAAAUGAAUAAAUAAUAUGAAUUUUAAAAGUUUAAUAAUAUAGUAAGAAGCUGGUAUUUCAUUAAUAUUCAUCCAACUCAAUGGAAUUAGAUAUAUUUAUUAUUGUGCAAGAAUGGAUUUUAUUGUACAUAAAGUUUAAUAGAAUAAGAUUUCUUAAUUUGAGUUUUGUCCAUCUUUCUAUAUAUAUUUCAAAAAUAUUAUUUAUGUUAGCACAAGAUGACCAAUUUCUACUUCAACAUCAAAAUUGAUAAUCAUUUUGUAUGUAACAAUACUGUACUAAGGAGUACUAAUUUGGAAAUAGCUCUUGAACGAUUUUCAGGGAACUAAAAUUAAAGUGAUUUAUGGAACUAACAUUUUCUUACUAAAAGACAAAGUGAUGAGGGCAAUGACGAAAAGAAAACUCUAUACUCUCAAAGUAGAAAUGCUUUCAAGUACCUAAGAAUUGAACAAUAAUUACAAAAAUCUUGCACGUACCUUUUCAAAAUGCAGAUCUCCUGUGCAGAAGCUUGUAAAAAUCUGCUUCAGAUCUGCUUGAGUGUUAUUAUUGGUAUUGGAGGACUCUCCUUUCAAAAUCUGCUUCAGAUCACGACGCUGAUUUAUUCCUGUUAUCACUACCUUCAUUCCAUUUUCAAACUCGUCAGAUGGAUCUUUCCAAAAAUCAUCGUCAUCGUUUUCUUUUAUAACAAGAACUUUGAUGGCUUGAAAUCUGUGGAGGAAAUCGUCAAGUGAUACAAUAGCAGCUGACUCAUCAAGCCGGACAUGAAGACAUUUAAGUUUGCAAAGCAAGUCUUCUGGAAAUAGACCUAUGUGCUUUUCAUCAACCCUCAAUUUCUCCAAAUUGGGGAACACCUGGGUGAUCAUCAAUCACAAAAGUGGCAAGAUGGAGUUAGCACUUCUUUCUAACGAUUUCACAAAUUAAAGUAAAAACAAAGCAUUCCAAUGAUGCAUAUUGAUGGUCACAGAAAAACACAAGGUGGAGUUGAUCUUCUUUCUAAAAACUUCACAUAUUAAAGUAAAUGCAAAGCAUUCUAAUGAUGAAUAAUAUUGAUGGCCAGACAAUAGAUACAUGGAUAGAUAGAUAGAUAGAUAGAUACAUACAUACAUACAUACAUACAUAUAUAUAUAUUGUUCUCAAUUAUUCUCAAUUUACAUUUAAACUUCCAGAUUCUUUUAAUCGAUCGGUUUAUUUGGUUUGAGUUGAAAAUCAUACAAAUUUCUUUUUUUUUUUUAAAUUAGAUAUUUUAACUUUUUUUUUAACAAAAGCAAAAAUGAAUAAACAGCUUGAAUUGCUAGCACAUAUGAAAAGAAGGAAAAUUUGCACGAAUUUAAAAAACUUAAUAAUAUAGUAAGAAGCUGGUAUUACAUUAAUAUUCAUCCAACCCAAGGGAAUUGGCUAUAGUUUACUAUUGUACAAGAAUGGGUUUUAUUGUACAUAAAGUUUAAUAGGAUAAAAUCUCUUCAUUUGAGUUUUGUCCAUCUCUCUACAUAUAUUUUUAAGCAUAUUAUUUAUGUUAACAUGAGAUGAACAUUGAUCAUCAUUUUGCAUGUAUGUGGCUUGAAAAUGGCACUCAGAAAUAAUAUGCCUAAAAAUAUUUGAAAAUGGCACUCAGAAAUAUUUUUGAUGUACUGUGGCUUGAAAAAUUCUAGAUCGUAUGAUCAUUUUCUUUGUUUGGCUAAUCAAAUGCACUGUCUCUUUCAUGUAUUAACUGAACAUAUAGGCAUAAAAUAAAAAGAAAAAAAGUAGACGAAGAAGAAAAUCUCUUGAAGAGUGAUAAUUAUGUUUAUUGAAGAUUUAUUGAAUUCAAUAUUCGAUAAUGAGAAGAAUUAUUGAAGAAUGAUAAUUAUGUUUAUAAGGAUAUUAUAAAAUAUAAAUAAACUGAUUUAUAUAACUAACAUUUUGUCACUAAAAGAUAAAGUGAUGAGGGCGAGGAAGACAAUAAAACUCUGAACUCUCAAAGUAGAAAUACUUUUCAGUACGUAAGAAUUGAAAAAUAACUACAAAAAUCUUGCACGCGUACCUUUUCAAUAUGCAGAUCACCUGUGCAGAAGCUUGUAAGCUGCGGAAGAGAACGAAGCUCAAGUGUCCUUAAUUGAGUGAGUUCAAUGACCAAUGGAAAUACAUUUUUCAAUUUAUCACACCCUUCCACCCUUAUGGUCUUUAAUUUGCAAAAAGACUCUGCUGUGAGUGGACCACGACAUAUUUCCUCAAGGUUUCUUAAAUCUCUCAGAAAUAAUGACUCCAAAAGGGGGAAUGCAAUCGUCGGAGCUGGCGUACAAUCCAUUGUGUCAACAAGACGAACAAGGUUGCCAUUAUGUUCGAUUUGGAGACGAUUCAGUUUUGGAAAGACUUCUCUGCCUGGUUCACAAAGAACAUUCUUCAUGUCCGGCAAUCCAUCUAAAGUUAGGUCUUCAAUACCCUUCAAUUGCAUGAUAUGCCCCUCGUUCAAGCAAAUGUUGGCACCAUUGGUGAGCUUCAGUUUGAAUUUUCUAGAAAUCCCAUCCCAUGGGCCAACCGACCACCAGUCAUAUCCUAUCGAUAUCCUGUACCUUUGCAGCAUUUUGAAGAACGACAAGUCUCUUGGUAGAGUCUUUUCAUCUUGGAUGAGUAUUUCUAAAGAGGUCAAUUUAGAUAAAUUAUUCAACUCGUCAAGGCUGGCAUUUCUUCUUUCACCGUCGACUCCUCCAACCUUCCCCCACAUAAUGGGACUCUGACCGAUAUACAAUUCUUCUAAUCUUGAUAAGCUUGAUAUGACAUUUGGUGGAAUAACUUGUAGAUUGAAACAGUAACUCAGAUCCAACAACCUCAAUUGAGUCAGCUCGCCCAUUUCUUCAACUAGUUUCUCCAUAUCAGAACCUCGAAGUGUAAGUAUUUCUAAUUUCUUCAGGUCUCCAAUAAUAGCUAUGUCUCCUAGUAUACAAAAAUCCAGAGACAAUGUUUGAAGGUUUUGUAAGAGACCAAGCGAUGAAGGCAAUGCCAACAAAUGCAUCUCAGUGAAAUCUAAAACUCUAAGCUCUGUCAUCUCAGUAAAAAUGUUAUCUGGGACUCUCAAAGAAGGAUCAUUGCUAAUACGAAAGUAUUUAAGUUGCGGACACUCGAACCCUUGAGGAAGCUCACUAAUAUUAGUAUUAAAUAAGGAGAUUGCGGUGCAAACCUUCAGUGUAUCCUUAUCUGGCCAGCUGGUCUCAUUUUCCACCGCAAACACAUGUUGGACUCUAGAUGCAAUAGAUAUGGCUACAUCACGAACAACAUCAUGCAUUGAAAACCAUUCACUUGAACGGCCAUCAAGCAACAAACAAGAGUUCUUGAGUUUAUCAACCAAUGUAUGUGCUCUAUCCCGUGCCUCAUCCAACGUGUUGAUGUUUUGAAACAGACCCAAACCCAUGCCAUAACAGAUCACGUCUUUAACGCAAGAGAUGAACGCGUACCCUAUUAGCAAAAAUGUUCUCCUGAGUUCCUCACCUUCUAACUGAUAGUAACUCAACUCUAUAGUUGAAUAGGCGGCCACAGCUUGUGUCCCAGAGAAACUUCUCAAGAAAGGCCUUUUUAAUUGUCGUAAAGCAUUCCUCCAUUCAUAGAGACUCUUAUUUUUCAAUGCCUUCGCUACGGGCACGAUGGCAAUGGGCAAACCAGCACAUUCCUUGACUACCUCUGUCGCUACAGAUUUCAGUUCACCAUUUUCUAUGCAAUCACCUGUCAUCUUCUUGAAAAGACUCCAAGCUUCUUUUUCAUUCAGAACAUCAACAAAAAAAUUUUGUUGACAAUCCAUUUUACAAGACAACACAUCUUGACUUCUUGCUGUCAGCAGAACUUUACAUCCGCCGUUAUCAUCUGCCACUGGAAUUCCAAUCGCCUCCAAAUCGAGACUCCCCCAAAUAUCAUCCAAGAUUAUGAGGAUCUUCGUCUCUUUCUUCAAUUGUUCGAGCAGCCUCCAUGCUCUUACAGUUUCACUCUCUUCAUCUAUUUUCAGGCCCAGCUUCUCUGCAAUUUCUCUUUGUAUUUCUUUUAUUUGUGGUGUUUGGGAAACACGUGAAGAAAUGACCUUCUCAAAGAGAUUAUUUUCCUUGGCCUGUCUGCCAACUUCUUUCACCAGCGUUGUCUUUCCAAUGCCGCCCAUCCCGUACACCCCAAUCAUGUUGAAGUUACGGUUGCUGAGUGCGUCUAGUAUCUCCUUCAAGGUGGACUUUCUCGAUUCAAAGUGCAUGAAAUCCUGGGUAGACUUAAGCCAUGUCUCCUCUGGAAUGGUACGGAAAGAAACACUGUCGAAUCUCCCUUUUUCAUGGAGUCCAACAAUAGCAUUCGCCUCUCUUUCUGCUUUCUUGCUAAGCUGGUACCGAGUCCUCAAAUUAGGACAUAACCCCUUCAAACACCGGUUGUUUGAAUUCUCUUUGUCUUCAAUAAGUAUUUCGACUUCAUUGAUCUCCUUGUUCGCAGAAAUCAGCCACUCCUCAACGUGCUGUUGGAUUCCGUCCCCUUUAAUUCUGGAAUCAUCAACCUUAUACUGCACACUGUCUCUAGCAUUCUUGAGCUUAUCAACUUCAUUAUUCAGCUUCUCGAAGUUGGUCUUGUAAGUGCAGCAGUAAGUAAAUGGAUAAAUUAUGGGAGCAACCAAGUACUCUGCAACUUUUGCAGUAACGGAGAUAACAAUUUCCAUUAUCAUUUUCUUUUUUAUUUUUCGGUUUCAGAAAACAGGGGAAAGCAAAACUAAUCAAACUAAGCAGAAGUAAUCAAUCAGCUGGGAUGAGGGAAAUAAGAAGUUUGGAUAAAUUGCUAAAAUAAGAGGUUGAAUAGAUUUAAGGGAGGAGGAGAGGAAAAGAGUGAAACAAAUGGGGAUCCUUUUUCUGCUAAGAAAAAUUGAAAAGCGAGUACAAUAAAUGAAAGAUUUGCAAAGAAGGUGUAGGAUCGAGGACAAGAACGAUUCAGAAAAGGGAGACAGAAAAUGAAGAAGAGAUUUCAGAGAACUCUAGAGAUAAGGGAAAUGCAGAGGCAGACAGUUGUCAUCUCAAAUUCAUACAAGGAGAAGACUCGUGCUUCCAAGUCAACUAAAUUCUCAAUGAUUGAGAUAGAUAGUUAUAAGGGUUAAAGUUAUAAGGGUUAUUAUGGUUUUAUUUUAAAAAAUAAAAAAUUAUAAGAUAUAAAAUAAUUAUAAAAAGUAUUGGUGUUAUCAUUUUAGUAGUGUAUCUUUAAAAAAAUCUUUUAUUUUAUAAUAUUUUUGCUAAAAUUGUGAGUCCAAAACUAACGUCAUACUAAUAUUAAAGGCCUAAAAGUGUCUUUACAUUAAAAACUAUGAUAAAAUUGUAUGCAAAUUAACAUUACAAGGGCGGCAUAUUUAUUAUUGGUUAAGAAAGAGGGAAAAAAAAUUGGAAUCUCAAAUAUCUAGCGUCAUCAUUAUUUUUUUUUUUCUUCAUUUUUUUUCUUUUUCCAGACAGUGGUCUACCAUCUUUGAAAAAUUAUUGGCACUUUCGAAUGGGUAUUAAGCCAUGCAUUGGCAUUGAGGGUCUCAUCUGAAAGAGGAAUUUUGGUAGCAGCAGUGGCUGUGUAAUUUUUUUUUUUUAAAUGAUUUAUCUCUAGGAAUGCAGGAUCAAUUUAAAAGUGAAUUUUAUAUUAAAUUUCUUUGAGAUUGCUUUUCUGUUGAUCUGUUUGAUUUGGCUAUGGAAUGAUGGUUUUAUUACUAUGAGUUUGAAGGAUUUAUGAAAUAGAAAUUAAGAUUGAUAGAAAACAUAUUGAUCUCCGAGCUUUAAUGGCAGUUUAAACUUGUUAUCUUCAAGCCUCACCGGUGGUUUCAAUUUGAUACUUUGAUGAGAGCAAAAUUAGCAAUUUAGCACUAGAGGAAGAUAUUUAAUCACAAGUAUAAGAAGUUUUGACAGCGAAGAGAGGUAUUCUUCAACUGGGGUUAAUUUUUUAUUUUUGUUUUCUUAUUUUUUAUUAAAAAUUUAAUUAAUUUUUAAAAUAAGGUCAUACUUGGUAUUUUACCAGUUAACUAACAAUGAUAAACAGAAAUAUAAUAAAAUGAAAGAUUUUACAAAGAUACAGUAAUAAAAUGCUAAACAUUAAUAUUUUUUUUUUGUUAUUUGAUGCUUCAUACUUUAUAAUGUAGUCAAGCAAUAAUAACCCUAGUUACAAUUACAUGUAGAUGGUGUUAAUUGGGCAUUUUUCAACUUGUAGGUCUAAGGCUUCUCAAGCAAAUUUUAUGGUAGCUUCCAUUAAUUUUAAGUGUUAAUAAAAUAUUUUACUACUGUAAUUUAAAAAUUACAGUUGAUAAGCAAUAAUAGCAGAGAGAGAAAAUUAAAUAGAUUGAGAAUGAUUUUUGAUUCAGGGCAAGUUUUCGAGUGCUUUACGAACAAUCAAAAUGCUAAUCCUGUUAGCCAAAAAACACAAGCGCUUUGUAAAGAACAGUACGGGAAAAACCCUCUAUUUAAAUAACAAUCGUGUAAUUACGGAGGGGGUAUCUUAAUUACAUGGCAGUUACAUUCAAUAACAACAAUAUUACUUAAAAAUUUUCUAUUAGCAAUGAGUGUGUUGGCGGUAGGAUAAAAAAAUCUGAAGACUUUGCAAACUUUUUGUGAAAAUGCAUCGCAGUUGUCUUGUUCUUUCGCUGUUGAUAAUCGCAAUGAACUGAUGAAGGCCAAGAGACCCAAAGUGAAGUGACCUAUGUGCUUUUCUAAUUACCCUCCUACAAACUGUAAAGCCGAAGUUUGCGGACUUUAUUAUCAUUUUUUUUUUAAAAAAAAAAAAGAUAUACAAAUAAAAAAGACAAAAGAUGAGAUGAGACUUAUAGUACCAGUGGCGGGCCCCCCUGGGUCCUCAAAUUAUUCAUAUGGGCAUUUCAUCGAACAGUGGAUAUACUCGGCAUCUGCACUUGGAAGACGUGUUCAAAAGCUCUAAAUCAUGUUAAAGUCGACCAAAAAGACAAAACAUAGAAAGCAACAAUCCAACAACUUGGUUAAAAUAUUCGCUAUCACAAAUGGUUGCGUUAACAUGUCCAACAACGAUUAUUAUGAAAACGGGACCAGAAGACGUAUAAGGGAUUUCGGAGAAUUUGCGAGAGGUGGGAUGAUUAAGAAAAUGCAGGAGCAGGAUAUUUAUGACCUCUAUUAGUAAUUUGAUUUCGUGAAUCAUUUUCAAAAGGAAAAUAACGCACCAUCAAGUCAACCUUGGUGCAGAAAAAUAUUAACAUUUAAUGAACAUAGAGGGAUGAGUUGGGCCAAGUCUUUAAAUCAGAUCUGUCGUGGAAUCUAACAGGGAGAUUAAAAGAAAAAUCAAUCAACUAGUAUAUAAUAUAAUGUUUUUACAUUUAACUAAUUAGGAGACUGAUACACUAGCAAUCAGCAUUAAUCAAUUAUUUGAUAAACCAGUAAAUAUUGGAUAUCUCGGUGCAAAACAGAGUGUUGAGAGAUAAAAAUUAACCUGGUGUCUUUGGCAGGUGUUUAAUAUAAUUGCUAAGCUUGCCACAUGCCAUUGCCAACUUUGGCCAUCGGCUAGCUGCAUAAAGCAGCCGUCGUGAGAUCAAGCACAACAAGCUUGUGAUGUGAUCACCGAUCAUGCAUCCAGGACAAUUUUAUAUUUAUUUAACUCCAAUAAUCAUAAUAAACUAUUGAAUUAUAGACCAGAAGUUCUAUCUACAUAAUUAGAAGGCACAAACACUAUUUCUGCUUAUUGAAGAAAAUCAAGAAAUGCUGAUUCCGUCAUGCUUAGUUUCAUAAUCAUUAAUAUGCUUUUAUACGAAUCCUUGGUUUUGAAUAUAAUAAUGGUUUCAGAAAUGCAUACUACCAUGCUUCCAUGUAAAACGUUGCUGCCAUGUCAUCAUACUGGACAGACCUUCAGAGGUUACUCUUCGAAACGUUUCAUUAUGCCACGUGUACUUGAUUAUUUGACUAAUCACGGUUCACAAGUUGAGUGAGCUACUCACCACACCACCUUCCUGCUGCAAAGAAUCUUAACUGAAUUUUGACUUGGUCAGAAACUCAGAAUUAGUGGUGCACGUGAUGCUUACACGUGAGGACCCAAAUGACGAAUUCCAAACGCUGAAUGACGUAUGUGUGAAUUAAAUAUAACUAUUAAUCAUAUGAUAAUUUUUUAAAAGAAAUCCAUAUAUGUCACAUGUAUACUAAGUGGGUGUAGUGCGACGAAGGUGCUCUAUAAUUUUUCAGUGAACACAAUAUAAUCAUCAAAGUGAAAGAAAAACUUUUGAGGUUUUGGCGUAUUCAUUAGCGAAAUUUGAGCCGAAAACAAAAAUUCAUAUUUGUAAACAUCAAAACCAAAAUCAUUUGGAAUUACUUGCUGAAAUUGAUUAGGUCAUUUUUAACCUGAAAUUUAAGGCCGUUAAUUAUUGCAUGAAUGUUUUGAUUUUAAUACCAGUGGCAAUCACGUACACGUCUAAUGAUUUGAUUAAAUUUUUUUUGGGGGAAAAAUAUAAAAAAGAGAUGCUUGUUCUUUGUGGGGUCGUUUGUAGAGGCAAAGGCUUAGCUCGAAUGAUAAGAACAUUGCCUUCUUAGGGCCAAAGACGUGAGUUUGAGCCUUAUCCUCCUGGAAGUAAAUCGAAGACUAUUAAUUGUCUGCCGCUAACUGUUUUUUUUUUUUUUUCUAAGUCUUUAUUACUCUUCUCAUAUUAGUAGUUAGCAGACAUUUUAAAUUUUCUUUUAACAUUUUAUUCUAACAUUUUUUCCCCGAAAACGACAAUGGCAAGAUAGUUUGACCUACCUUGACUGGCUUAAUUUGGAUUGCUUGUGUUCCACUCUCUCUUAUGUGUCAUUGUGCUUACGUUGCAAGGGAUUCGUCAGAGUGGUAGUUGUCAAAUUAAAGUUACAUUACAUUUACAUACGUUAAAGACUUUAUACGAAUAUUCUCCAUCGUCUUUGUUGACUCUUUUUUAUCUUUUAUUUUUCCUUGUGUCGAAAGAAUCCUUCACUGAUUGGAAUAUCCAUGAUGACUGGUUGCAAUUGGAAGAGUCCCUGAAAUUCAUCUUUCAUUCGAUCUUAAAAUACUUUCUCCGAACAAUUAGAAUACAUUAAGAUUUUAUGAACUUGCUUACUAGACUUGUUAAUUAAUUGAUUAUCUUCCCGGAAACACAUUAAAGACUCUCAAGGGGAUUCAUUAAACCUUUUUGCUGGGUCAAUUCUACAAGCAUCAGACGUAAAAGCUUCAUGAUAAGAGCACAAGCCUAUCGUCUUCUAAAGCUCCUUCAAAAAGCGAAGCUAGCUAUUCUCUUUAUUGUCAUUUCCAUCCACUUUAAUUAACCCUCUCUUUUUCAUGUUGUACAACUUUGACUUGACUCUCAAAUGGAGAACAACGAUAUUUAAACAGAAAAAAUUAAUAAAAUAUUUAAAAAUAAAAUAAAAUUAGUGUCGGUUUAUCUUGUACUAGUUUUACCUUAUUGAUGUCAAUGAUUUUCUAAGAGAAAAAAAAAUUCAUUAAUUUUACCUUUGUUUCAUGAUGAGGUAAGACAUAAUUUUUUUCUUUUAAUUUUUAAAAGAUUUCUUCAAAUGAUUUUCAAGUUGAUUUAUUUGGUUGGACUGUACAAUGAGUUUGGGCUUAGCCCACCCCUAAUUUUUUUUUUUUUUGCCAGUUUAGCAUAAAAAAGAUUUUUAUCAAUAGGUGUGCUGCAAGUGAGAUAUGGAUAAAAGGAUAUAAAGAGAUAGAACAAAAAUUGAUUGAAGACAAAAAUUGAUAUCAAUCAAUUAGUGGAUAAGAUUAAUUAAUUUUUUUUUAAUGUUGCUCUUUUACUCAAUUAAGUAAUUAACAUUUAUAAAUGAUCACUAAGUAUUCAUGAGUAUGUGAAACGUGAGCUUAAACAUGAAUCAAUAUUUGCUAGUGCAUUGGUGGUUGGCACAAAUAACUUCGAUGAUAGAGAGUGAUUGGGAAGCAUUAAGGGGAUGGAUCCUUUAAUGAUCUAUUUUUAAAGCAAAUUUCACUUAAUAUGUUUAUUGGUUAAGUAUGCAUAGAGAUUUCCGGACCUAAUUAAAGACUUCAAAUUAAUGGUGAAACAUCUUUGCAAAUUAAACUAAGAAAAAUUGAAAAAGUAUUUUUAUCAUUUUAUGCAUGGAAUUCCACGUCCAUGCAUGCAUCUACCCAACAAAUGCACUUGUAAUUUAGCAUGCAUAUGGUACAUGACAAAAUAUUGUCUUGGAAAAGUCUCAAUGGAUAACUCAUGACAUGUCAUUGUACGUACAAGCACAACGAAUAAUCGUUGCGACGACUUGCAUAAAACAAAAAGGGAAAUGUCUGUUUGUCCCUGUAGUUUAAGUACCCAUGGAGGAGUCAAUAUAUUUUUAAAAAUUUACUAAAAAUAUAUAUAUAUAUAUAUAUAUAUAUAUAUAUAUAUAUAUAUAUAUAUAUAUAUAUAUAUAUAUAUAUAUAUAUAUUCUAUAUUUUUUUUUGGAUAAAAUCUACUUAAUUAUUUUCUAUCUUUCAUCUGCUAUAUAUUAAAUAAGUUUGAAUUUUAAACUUUAACAUAUAGAAUUUUGCUUUGAAAUUUAUGUCCAACAACUAGAAAAGUGAGUAAAAGAGAUGAUCUGGAUAAUCUUUUAAAAUAUAAUAUUGACCAAACUGAAUAAUUGACUCGAACUAUGGGGCUUAAAAUAAUUUUUACCUAUUUAACAAAUUUUAAAAUUGUUUUCCAAAAAAGAUGUAGAUUAAUUUCUUUCUUUAUUGAUAAAAUUAUGAAAUAAUUAAGUAAUAUUCAUAUUGUACUGAGAACAACUUCUUGGUUUAGCGAUGGUCUUACAUGUCGAGGGUUUGAAUCUUUUAUGCAUAUACGGUGUUAAUAGUAAUUAAAAGGGAGUGUGUAUACCACACGCCGGAGACCAAAAAGUGAUUUGUCAAAUCCUCGAACUGAAUGACGAGCCAAAAGUGGAUUGGAUUGGUUAUCCACUUUUGUACGGCUUUGAAUGACUUUAUUUUCUACAUACUCCGCAUCAGUCGUUGUGACGACGUAAUUACGAAAACAACUAGAAGCUCGCCAAGACGACGGGCAAGCUGAGAACAUAUUCGUAGGCAUUUUCCCUUCAUUUACACCAAAUCUAAAGUUCUGAACUGAAUAUGAAAGAGGAAGCCAACUUGAAUUACAUUUUUUCCAGCAUUUUUUGGUCGAGCGAACCAUUUCACUUGGGAUCAUAAUGAGUCGUUGCAAGGAAAAUGUUAUUUUGAUUAUUACUUUGUUUAAUAUUCUUGUCUGCGGUAUUUUAAUUUGAGAGAGAUAUAAGUCUCAAAGGAAUGUCGGAUUCUGUGCUCACAUGAUGAGCUAUAUAAUAUAUGUUGGUUUUACUUAAGGUUGUUGUAAUUAGUAGUUUUUUUUUUUUAAAAAUAAUACUAGCACAACUCUAAUAAAUAACGGAUAAAAAUUCCUAAUUAAUUUGAAUUCAUCUCUCAUUUGUCAUUUAAAAAAGAAAAAAAAAGAAAAAAAAAGAUUCAAUCUUGGUUUAAUUAUGAACUAAAUGUUCUUCUUUUCAAUCAUUAAUUAAUAUUAGGUAGGUAGAUCUACCAACACGGUUGCACCUAAUUACCCACUAUAAAAUUUUAUUAUCAAUCCCCCAUGGAAAAAGUGUGCAUGCCUAUAUAUAAUCGGACUUUAUUAUCAGUGUUAUGGAUAAAAGAAUUAUUAAUUUUAAAUUAAUAAUUAUUUUAAUCAAUUUGGCAAUAUAUAUCUUAUCCUUGAUUAAUUUAUAUGAAUGAAUAUCAAGUGUAACGUAAAAUAUUAUUUGUGUUGCACAUGACAUGCGGACAAAAGAAUACAAAGAUUCCUUAAACAAGAUUAAAAAAAAAGUAAAAUAGAAAGUUGAAUUUAACAAGAUUCAUGUACAGGAAGAAAAGGAAUUAAUAAAGUGAUAAAAAAAUUGGUAAUCGUGGCAAGUAAUCUUAUUCAUGUACGAGGCGGCACGACCCAAGACUUGGAGAUUAAAUAAUGAAACUUCUUUGCAAACGAUAGAAACUCCAAUUUAUGGAGAGACUUGACGAGUAUUUUAUCAUUUUAUGCAUGGAAAUCCACGUGCAUGCAUGCAUGUUCUCCACGCUUGGAAAUUUUGCAAAUGGCUUCUCCCUUUAAUGGGAUGCACAGUUUUCGUACAUCAAUAUUGAAAAUGUCCUCUAACAAGUGUCUCAAUUAUUGGAUAACAUGUGCAGUCCUUGUAAUUCAUUGAUAACACGUCCCUCAACAAUCUAUAAUACAUCAAACUACCAAAUUGGCCAACAAAUCGAUGAUACUUAUGUUUUGAAAAACUAUCAUGUAAUUGAUGAUUAUAUAAAUUUAACUAUAUAUAUUAUAUAUACAUUAGUUGAUUGUAUUGGUUUUGAUGUAUUGUAAAAUUUUUGAUUUUAUGGGCAUAUAAUAUAGAUUAUCAAAAUUUAAGUUUCUUCACAUAUGCGCGCGCACACACAUACACACACAUAUAUAUAGGAGUGACUAAUGAGUCUUUUUCUUUUCUCAUUUUGAGAAAAUCUCAAGUACAUAAAACUUAUUAUAACCAUUUAGUGAAAUUAGUUAUGACAUACGCAUUCUGAUUUUAUUAUACUAUAAUUAUCUUCUUCUUUUUUUUUUUUCCAACUUAAAUGUACACGUACGUGAUCAAUGACUAUGGAUUAUGUAGAGGAGUUUAUCAUUUUAUUGAAAUUCUAACGAUUGUCAAAGCAUAUUAAAGGGAGAUUGGCAAUUUUCUUCAUGUAGAAAUUAAUACAUACCAUUUCCAUUUCUCUUCUUAUUGCUUCUAUAAUAAUCAAUAACUUUCAUUCAUCAUAAUUUUAUAGUAUUAUUCUUAUUUUAAGAUAUUUUAAAAUUUAUUUAAUUAAUCAUCUUUAUUAUUAAUUAAAUGAAUUAUAUAAACAGAAAUAUAUAUUUUGUCUUUAAACAUAUUUUCUUAUAGUAAAUAUAUAUUUUAUAUUUUUAAAAUAAAAUAUCAAGUAAAUGACCCAUUUACCUUUACUUUCUUUUAAGUUUUUUUUAUACUAAGAGAUUAUUAACUAUUAUGAAAAUAAUAGACGAAUAAAUAUUUUACAUAAAUUUCGACAGGGAGAAACUAUCAAUACUCUUAAACGAUUGAACCUUCAGUAUCUUAGAAGUUGACUGUGAAUGACAUUUUACUCCAUAAGAGCAUUUUAUUCCACCCCAUUGCAAUUGUUGCUUGUUUUCCACGGAUAUCUUGAUUACGUUUGCAAGCUUAUGUUAUAAGGGCUUCGUCAUUGCCAUUAUUACGAAAUAAAAUAGACUACGAUUGUUGACCUAAUUUGAAAAUUCCUCCAUUGUUUAUUAUUUUUCCCUUUUUAAUUUAUCAAUAUCAGUCAUAUCAAGUCAUUCUUUUAAUCAAAAACCUUGGGGAAGACGAAAUAUAUAUUAACUUACUGUCUUUUCUCAAUAACUUUUUAGGUGAGAUUAGUUUAAUAAAUUACAUGAUAAAUAAUACUCUUGCUUGAGUCUAUAUAUCAUAUAAUUAUAUAUGAUAUAAAAUUAAGAUUCUUUUUUUUUUGUCGUAAUACAUAGAAUUGUUCGUACUAUUAUUAUAACAAAAUAAUUAAAAUUUAUGAGUUGAAGUUGUCAGAAAAAUAAACUUAUUUCCAAUGAAUGGCAUUUGGAGGAACAAAAUCAAUCCGGAAGUUUUUUACGCGGAAAAAAUCAAUUAACAUUAAUGACGUCCAAAUGUCCAAAUAUGGUGAGAAAUUGAAUUCUUCAAAACCUUGCUGUUUCUUCAUAUUUCUUUACAAAUUUACCGAUUCUUUACUCUAAAUUCUAGUAUUUGUCUUCAUACAUACAAUGGAAACUUAUUCUCUAAGAUACUGUAAAAAAAAAAAAAAAAUUAACAAAACCUAAUCAGUUGGUAAAUUUUGAUAUAAUUAUUAUCUAUUAUUAAUAAUUAGGUGGAUCUAAACGUUCCAAAUACAUUAAAACAAUCGAUCAUCUACAUUAUUCUAUAUUUUGGGGAGAGAAAAAAAAAAGACAAAAUCUUUUAGAUCAUCUACAUUAUUCUACAUUAAUCUUUUUAUUUUUUUUUCUUAUGAAAAAGCAAUUAAAUUAAUAAGUAGAAAUUUCUUUACAUUUUCGCCGGAGAAUCAGAGUCAAAUUCAAAUACAACGACUCAAGCGCAAAAGCUUAUAAAUAGAGGAGAGCAAAAAUAAAGCCCCGUUCCAGUUCUCUUCUCUGUCAGAGGCUACGGAUUUGAGAGAUUAAAGAACAUCAAUCGAACAGUAAGACUCCGUACUCUGUGACUCAAAGUUGCAAAAACUUUUAGGUAAAAUUUUUCGGUUAAUUUUUUAAUUUUCGAGAAUAAAGAGAGAGAAAAAAAACAGAUGGGAUUAUGUUUGUCUGGGAGUGAUGUGAGGGGAGGGAAACAAGCCGUAGGUGGGGCCCAGCUCCGGCCCACCACCGCGGCUGAUCAGAACAAUGUUUCUGGACAAAACGACGCCGUUGAUUUCUUCUUCAAAUCUCGCGGUCUUCAAGCCCUUUUCACCCAAAUCGAGGUAUAUGUGUAUACCUGAAUUUAUACGAGUCUUUCGCUGCCACUAUUAAUAAACUAUUUUCAGUUAAUUAAUUAAUUAAAAAUUUAUGAUUAGUUUAUGUUUUUUAAUUUAUUUAUAAUUUUUUAUUUUAAUUUUUUAAAUUUGAUUUUGUUCGUGUCUGUAAUUGUGAUGGAUUCUCAAAUGGUCACUCGUUUGAAAAUCUAUUCCCAAAUUAUGUUUGUUGUUAUUACUUAUUUGAUGACUUGUCGGUGUAACAUCGAACAACUUAAAUCGUCUAUAUUUAAUAAAAGUUAUUUGAUAAUUCGAGUACAAAUAGAGAGUAUAGAUUCCUAUUCAAGAAUCAACCGCAAUCCCAAACAUGCCUUUUUUUUAAAUAAUGUAAGAUGAGUAUUUGGAAUUUUGGAGAGCGAAUAUUUUACCUGGUGCUCCUUCAAAGGACAAAGGACUUAAGCAUCUUCUCAAAAGAACGCCUAUCGGGUGCUUCUUUGAGAAGCAUUUUUCUUUCUUUCUUUUUUUUGAAUUUGUUCUGGUGGCUGAUCUUUUGCUGGUGUUGGUUGGACGGUUUCACACCAAGCAACUUCUUUUGUUUUGCAUAUGGAGAACAGUAAGUUUAACUGCUUAUACCCAAUAACAACAUUCUGUGGAGUGAAUUUUAGAUUAAGAUUGGUUAAGGUAAAUAAAAAAAGAAUGGUGUUGAAUGCACAAUGGCCUUGUGAACGUUGAGAAAGUUGAUGUUUGAUCCUGUUGAAUGCACAGUGGUUUUCCUGUGUAUCCUCAAAGUUGACUAUUCGGUUAUGCCUCAUUUAUCAAAUUUGACUCAUACCCCUCAUGAUCAAAUUUGACUUGUACCCCUGUGAAGAUUCCCCAUGAUAAUGCUCUCCUGAAUGGAACAUGAUUUUGUGAAUGCUGGUUUGCAUAAGACAAACCAUUAACUUUAUAAAAGAUUGUGGAUUAAGGAUUAUGUUGUUACGAGGAUAAGAAUGUCUUUCCAUAACGUGGACCACCAAGUGAUUGUAAUAUUCCUGUAUUGAUGUGGACCUUACCUGAGGAUCUCCUUGGAAACUUUCCUGGAGAAAAGGAAACAAGUCAUAUGAUAACAAAUUAAAUGUGGUUCAAUGCUUGUAAUUGACGUGUCACAUCCUGUUGUUAUAUAAAACUUAAUUACAUAUAUUAUUGCUUGCUGCUUAUAAGAUUUAAUAUUAGAAGUGAUUCUGUCAGAAUCCGAAAUGAUGGUUUUCUGCAUGUUCUGUUUAUGACAGAUAUAUAUUGCCUGUCAGUUGACCCACAUCGUACUGACAAUUAUCAUUUCGUGCAGCAUAUGCAUGGAUUACUCCUUUUCCGCUUUUUCAUGUAUCUGUAUUCGUUCUUAUGUUUUUGAAUAUAUAUUGCAGUUAUCUUUAUCUGCUUCAAAGUUGCGUGAUCUUGACAUCGCAUCAAAGGUACGCCUUCAUAUUAUUGUUGUCUUAUGUCUAGUAAUGCCAUGUUCAUGCUGUUGGUAGUCUUGGUGAUUGAUUCUCAUGUUAUCUUGUAUCCUCCUUAUAUGAUCUGCUUAUUUGUUCAUAAUGGUCCUGUCAAUAUCCUUUCUCUGUUCAUAAAGGGUCUAGGGAUAUAUGAUCUGAAUAACGCUUAGUGCUGGCACCAAAAUUCUAAACUUAGACAAACGAGAAUAGUUUGUUAGUCUAUCUCCAAUGUAAUCCAGUAAGGAGCAGUAACUUGAGAGUUCCAGAUAAUGUAUAACAAGUCAUGGUUGGUGGUUUUAUUGUUUUUGCAAUUUUGUGCACUAGUCAAAUAUGUUAUAUGUGCAAGAUAAAAUUCUUUGAUAAUGAACAUUUGUCAGCGGUAUAUCUUUUUACUAGCUGAUACUAGCAUACAUCAAAUGCUGCUGUAUUUUAAUGAUGGAUUACUAACUAUAGUUAUUUAACUAAUAUAUGUUUAUAUUUAUACUCACAAGCAAAUGUAUUUACAUGUCUUUUUGUGUCAUAGAGUGAUCCCAUGGCAGUUGUGUAUGCAAAGAAAAGAGAUGGGAGGCUGGAGGAGAUUGGACGUACAGAGGUGAUUAUGAACAAUCUGAAUCCUGCUUGGAUUGGAAAGAUUUCAAUUGCUUUUCAGUUUGAGAUCGUCCAGCCCUUGGUGUAAGUUUUUAGUGUGUUCUUUUUAAAGUUUUUUUUUUCUUGAUAGGUCAUGUGCUUAUCAUUUCUCAUAAGCCUUGCUUGAUUUGAUAAUAUUUAAUGUUUUCGAAUUUCUUAAUGCUAUUCUUCUUUUUCCAGCUUUCGUGUGUAUGAUGUGGAUACCAAGUACCACAAUAUUCCAGUGAAGGUAUAUAAAAAUUUCUUAAUUAUUUUUUUUUCUCUCAAUUCAGAUGUAAAUGAUACGCACAUACUUCAGUUCCAAAGUUUAGAGUUAGCCAAGGCAUUUGACUGAUCCAUUUGUUGUCUAAGCAUACGUCUAAACUAAAUUGCAUCAGCAAUAGUUUCUAUCAAUUUCGGGAAAUUUGGGAAUACUUGAUUGAUUAUUAACUCACAUUUAGCAUGGCAAGAAACUUAAAAAGUUGGCUGUCAUAUACCAUAAACAAAUCUUAAGGCCAGGAUAGUUAUUAUGGAACUUUCUGCUAUUGCAUCUUGCAAGGUUUGACAUAUUUGUCCUGCUACCAUAACUGGGAAAGAACAAUUUUUCUGAUGGUCCUUACGGCUAAAUUUUCUUUUUCCAAAAUGGAAUUUUAUCUAUGUUGUUAAAAACAAUACAGUUAAAUAGUUGCUGCCAUGACCUAAAGAAGUUUCUGUAAAAAAUGACCAUAUUGUCAGUAUUGGAAUGGAUAAGUAAAUCUUUAGAGCCUAUGAUGUAUUCGUCUGUGGAAUUUGAGUCAAAAUGAAAAAAUUUUGAUGGUUAUAAUCCUAGAAACUGUAAUCAUUUGGAAGCAUUUGCUGAAAACAGUUAGAUAAUCUAAAAAUGUGAUGAUUAUUUAUGUCAAUUGUAAAUGGUAUUAACAUUACUGGGAAAAAUGAUAAAUAUGUAAAUUUAUGCCAGUGGAAAGAGAAAAUGAACAAAUCCAGAUGGAUUCUAAGACAUUAAGUAGGAAAUCUAGUGUUCUUUUGAUUCUUUGCUGCAGUGAUCCCUAAUUACUUUCAAGUCAUUAUUAUCUCAUGACAAAAUAUUUGUUGAAGCGUGAAGUUUAAAGUUCAAGCUUCUUAUUUACGUUGCCCUACAGAUGCUAAAGUUGGAGGAUCAAGACUUCCUGGGAGAAGCUAGUUGUGUUCUCUCUGAGGUAAGUUUCUGGGUUAUAUUUUGUUUGAUGAAUAUAUGUAUUUUCUCUUUAUUCAAUGGGCAAAAUAUGCCCAUCUAAUUUUCUGUAAAAAUCUGUUUCCUAAAACAAAAAAAAGGGCAAAAUAUUCUCAGAUGCUUUUUACUAGCAUUCGUCUUCUUCUUAAGCAUUCUUCUUUUUCACUAACAAGUGUCAUAUUUUCCUUUUAAAUGGCAGAUAGUGACCAAACAAAAUCGAACUUUAACCUUAAAACUCCAUAACAAUUACGGGCCUCGAGUUUCAAGAAACUUUGGGACACUCUCUGUCCAUGCUGAGGAAACAGUUGCUUCCAAGAGUGCUGUUGAAAUAGCAUUCCGUUGCUCGCAUUUGCAAAAUGUAGACCUGUUUUCCAAAAGUGUAAGUUCUGACAAAGUAGCUAAGUUUGGAGGUUCACUAAUUAAUCUAUUAAUGUAGAUGCUCAUUCUUCUUCUUCUUAUAUUCUAUAGGAUCCAUUCUUAAGAAUAUCUAGAAUUGUUGAGAGUGGAAAUUCUGUUCCUAUCUACAAGACGGAGGUGAUAAACAAUAACUUGCAUCCCAUUUGGAGACCAAUAACUUUGAGCAUGCAGCAAUUUGUGAGCAAGGUAACCUUAUCAUCUUCUUGUGCUUGUUACUUAAAUGUAUAUUAGGUAGUGAAGUUUGGUCAUGGGGAAAUGUUUUUUAGUAUAUGAUUUUCUUUGGUACAGGAAAACCCAUUAAUCAUUGAAUGUUUUGAUUUCAAUACCAGUGGAAAUCACGUACUGAUGGGGUAACUGUUAAAUUUCUUAAUGUCAUUAGCUUCCUUCUUUUAUCCUUUUGCCUUUCUGAUGUCAAGGUUUUCUAUUUCUGUUAUUAGUAAAAUUCAGAAAUCAGUUGGAGACCUGGAGAAACUUUAUCAAGGAAGAACUGGUGCAACAUUUAUGUUACCAUCAACUCAAUGUGGCCAUGACAAGGUGUUUAUUCUUUUUUGUUUUAACUCCACCAAAGGUGUUUGUUCAUGCUUAUGGUUUUUGAUAAUUUAAUCACUUUAUUUUUUUUCCGACUUUUUCCUAGGUUCUGAAAAGUCAGUUGUUUGUUGAAAAGUUUGUUGAGAAAGAGCAAUAUAGUUUUCUGGAUUACAUAUCUAGUGGCUUUGAGUUGAAUUUUAUGGUUGCAGUCGACUUUACAGGUAAUUAGAAAGAGAUUGCUUGUUGAAGAUAAAUUGGCAAUGUAAUCGUUUUGUUUUGUUUAUUUCCUCUUAUUUGGUCCAACUUCAUCUUGCCUCUCGUUAAAUGCAAAAUCAUCCAGCUUCAAAUGGAAAUCCUCGAAAUCCAAAUUCUUUGCACUAUAUUGAUCCUUCAGGCAGAUUGAAUUCUUACCAGCAGGUAAGGUUUUUUUAUGACUCACAUUUUGACAAGUGAUCUCUGAACUCUGAAGGUCAUAAAUGGUCAUUUUGUCCAGUGUUUUCGACUUAGAAAAUGCAUGUGACUUUCAAGUCUUUCUAUGGCCGUCAUAGGGAAAUAUAUAUUUCAAUAGUUCGUAGAAGUUGAGAGAGAAUAUCACUGAUUAGUUAUUGGCCUCUUAAACCAUUUACAGGCAAUAAUGGAAAUUGGGGAGGUCAUACAAUUUUAUGAUUCUGAUAGACGCUUUCCUGCAUGGGGAUUUGGAGGGAAGACAUUUGAUGGCACUGUAUCACAUUGUUUUAACUUGAAUGGAAGAGCAGGUGGCUUUGAGGUAGGGGUAACUGGAGUUCACAACUUUGCUGUAAUCCUUAUUUGGUUGGCUUGUCUCCCAUAACUUUUCAUUUUUAAUAACAAACAUUAUAAUAUGUUUCUACAUUUUCUGAAAAUUUCCUUGGAAUUUUAUCCUAAAAGAUGUAUAUUUUAUCCUCUUCCAUUUUUUUUUAUUAACUGCUGGGUUCUUUAUUUAAUAGGUAGAUGGAGUUGAAGGCAUUAUGGCUGCUUAUGCAAGCGCUCUAAACAAUGUUUCUUUGGCAGGACCGACUCUGUUUGGUCAAGUGAUCAACACAGCUGCACGAAUUGCUGGACAGUCCCUCUCAUUCGACAGAAGCAAGUAUUUUGUCUUACUCAUUAUAACGGUGAUUACAAUGAUUCUAUAUAUUCACAGUUUUCUCUUUCUAUCAUUCUUUUUGGGUGAUUUGUAAAUUUGCAUGGUCUAUCUAGGAUGGAGUUCUGACAGAUCUCCAAGAAACGAAAGAUGCUUUGGUAAGGGCUUCUGAUCUUCCCCUGUCAAUUCUAAUUGUGGGUGUGGGAGGUGCAGAUUUUACACAAAUGGAGGUACACAAUGUUUUCCAACUGGAAUAUCUUCUUACUAGCAUUGAACUUCUUUUUUCUAUAGUUUGAUAGAUUCAAUUUAGAGUACAUAUGCAGUGUGGUAUUAUCCCACUUUUGUUGCAGAUUCUUGAUGCUGAUAAUGGCCGUAGAUUAGAGAGCUCUACCGAUCGGGUAGCUACCAGAGAUAUAGUACAAUUUGUUCCAAUGCGAGAAGUUCAUAGUGAGUGCAUAUGAUUCAUUGACAAAAUUAGUUCAAAAUAUUGAAUUUGGGAGUUAAUUCACAAAAGUUUCUGAAUUUUUUCAUGCCUUAACAAACGAACCCAUUGUUUUCUGAACAGGUGGGCAAAUUUCUGUUGUACAAGCACUUUUGGAGGAGCUGCCUGGUCAGUUUUUGACCUACAUGCGCUGCAGAGAUAUCAAACCACUCAAUGUUCAGAUGGCGCAAACAUGCGCUUGAGUAAAUAUUCAUAUGUUUGGAAAGGAUACAAAACCAAGCCAAAUAUAUUAGACAAGACCAAGCCAAACAUAUUAGGCUAUACAAACAUAACAUAGCAGAAAUUGAUAAUGGUACAUUACAUAUGUUAGGAUAUAGCGGUUUUAGAUGAUGGUAAAUUACAUCUGUUAAGAUAGAGUGGUUUGUAACUAACUUUUGAUGGCUUAAUGAAUUGAUUGAAUUUGUAUUUAGGUUCUAUCAAUGAUCUCAUAUUCUUCCCAUCCAUGUCUUUCGAUUUUUAUUAUUCCCUCUACCCACUUGUUUCACAAUUGUUUGUCUGAUGGCCUAAAACCCCAAUUUCUGUUGCUGUAUUAUCAUCUUUGUUGAAUAUUUACUACAAUGAACAUGUGCUGAAUGUCUACUUUUACUACUACACCAGCAAUCUAACACAUGGCUCACGUGCACACAAGACAAGUCUGAUUCACACAUCUUUAAUUUAGAUUCUUAUAUAGUCUUUCAAGAUGUCUGAAACAGCAUAGAUGAAGGACCCUUCCACCAUUCAACCUGGAAUGAUGUGAGUGACAGAAAUUUCCGAAAGUGUUGUAUUAUAACUCUUUGAAACUGGGUUUGAGUAAUCAAGAGAAGCCAAAAUGUAGAACAAUAACAAUAAAAAAUGAAGGCCCUCUUACCGUCUUAACUUUGAUAGAAAAUACACGAGCUGCAUACCAUGUCUCACAAAUUUCAAUGAAAAUUGGCCUCAUUCCUGAUGCUGCACAGAAGGUUGGCCUGAAUCAUCUUUAUGAUUUUGGACUUCCUGUAAACAACGAACAAAACAAAUUGAAGGUGAAAGCAGGAACAACAGUUUUCAAAUAAAAUGGGAGUGCUUAAUCUAAUUGAACAGUAACUUUUGGGUCUCUGAGUAAUGAAUACGUACCUUUGUUUCAAGAUAUAUCUGUUGUAUGGUAGAAUUAAGGUCACCCUUCCAAGUCCAAUACUCACCAGACAGCCAGCGUUUCUCUACUUCGUGUAAACUGGGAGUGCUUAAUUCUGUUCCAGAGAAAAUCUUCAUAUUGGGGCAUUUAUCCACACUUAAAUAUGUCAAAGCUGGGAACUUGAAGGCACAAUUGCCAGAGCAGAAGCUUGUAAGUCUUCUUAAAUCACAAAGCUCCAAGUCCAUCAACUCGCUGAAAACAAUUUCAUCUUUUGCAGCAUUUCCCUCAUCAUCUGCCACUACUUCUGUUAUCAUGCUGCAGUCAACGAUACUCAUCUCUGUCAGUCGUACCAAACUCUUUGCUGUCGAGGAUGUUAGCACAUUUAUCAAUCCUUUGCAUCUCCACACCUUCAAAGUUGUCAGAUUCUGAAACGAUGUUGAAGGUGGCACUAGAUUAAUCAAAUGGUCACAAUACUCAACUGUUAGAUGAACCAAAUUGUCCAUUUUGGAUUCCUGGAUCAAAAUAUGCUUCAGAUCACAACAAUUGUGUAGAUUCCUUAUGAUUGCCUUCGUCCAAUUUUCUACUCCAUAUGAUGGCUUAACGCCCCCAACAUAUCCUCCUCCCCUUAUUGUGAGUUCUCUUAUGCUGUGAAAUCUCCGAAGGAAAUCAAGUGAUGAAAUAGUAGUUGACUCUUCAAAUAUAACAUCAAGAAAGUUGAGUUUGCAAAACAUGUCCUCUGGAAACUCAGCUGCCAUUGGUAUCUUCUUUCCUUCAAUGGUCAAAUAUUUCAAAUUGGGGAAUACCUGGUUGGAUGCAUGAUAAAUCAGGACCAAAAAGAAAACGUAAUGCCAAUUAUUAAGAGUAAAUUUUAAAUCUUGUACGUACCUCUUUUGUCAAGUCAUGAGCAGUUAAAAGGAAUUCAGGACACCUUAUUACUUCUAAAGUUUCCAAUGUUGGAAAUUCAAUGUGCACAUCUCCUGUGCAGAAGCUUGUGAGCUUUUCGAGAUCUACCAUCUUUAGAAAUUGUAACUGAGGGAACACAACAUUCUUCCUUUCUUGCUGGUCUAUGACUAUUAUCUCUUCCAAAAUAGGGCACUCAUCUAUCUCAAGGUGUUGGAGUCGAAUAAAGCUGUUAACUAUAGAAGAUGAAAACAGACAUCUUAAUUCCCCACAGCCAUAUACAAUCAACCGGGUUAAAGUUUGAAUGCCACAAGACAUGGCCGGAAGUUGGCUUUUCCAAAUCCUCUCCACAUUUACAUUAUACAGCUCCAAGGUCUCCAAGUUUGGUAACCCACCCUGUUCACAAAACUUUCCAACCGUUAUAUGAGGAGAUCAAAGUUAGUAUAUAAGUGCAUUCAGAGUACUUUUUCUUUCAUCCGAGAAUGUAUUUGUUACACCUACGUUACUCGGGAUGAAAAUUUUAAUAUAAUUAUGAAAUAUGUUCGUUAAUCCCUGAUUCACUCUAGCCUAUAUUUCCUAGGAAAGGAGAAUAUAUAAUAAAGCAGCAACAAAAAAAGGAAAAAAUCAUAAGAAUAUGACCAUUGGAUCAUUAAUAUCCGACCUUGAGGAAAAAUGUAUUAGGAACGUUGACAUGGUCCUCCAAAAUGAUUUCAUUUGAUCGCAUUUCACUUGUCGAUUCCUUGCAUCUCUGUUUAGAACAUAGUCAUACUCAUUAGAAAUGAAGAAUCUGUUUUUGCACUGGCUGCUUUGAUAUGUUCGAAAUUUAGGAAGAUCAUAUCAUACCUUUGACUCUUUCGGACUGGGGGCUUGACAACCUUCGACCCAGAGAUGCUUCAGUUGGGAAGAAUAAGAGCCCAAUUUGUUAUUAACUAAUUCAAUGAUAUCUUGGUCUGGCAAUCUAGAUAAACAAAGGUCUUCAAUUCGCUGAAGUUGCACGAUAUGUCCACUCUUGAAGCUGAUACAAUUGUCGGUGCCAAGGAGGAGUCUGAAUGUUCUAGAACACGUAGGUGGGGUAUCCUCCCAACACCAACGUCCAAUACAUAUUCUGUACCUUUCCAGCUUCUCGAAGAACAGCCCCUUCGGCAGAGUGUUGACAUCUGGGAUGCAUAAUUCUAAGGUGGUCAAGUUAGGCAAACGCUUCAACUCUUCAAGGCUUGCAUUCUUGACCCCUGCAGCUUCCACCUCCACCUCCCACUUAUUAAAGCUACGAAUGUAUAAUUCCUCCAAAUGGGAUAAAUUUGAUAAAACAUUUGGGGGAAUAACCUGUAGUCUGUCACAGUCUCUCAAAUCAAGCGACCUUAACUGAGUCAAUUGGCCUAUUUCCACAGGCAACUGCUCAAUAUAAGAACCCCUUAAGCAAAGGAUUUCUAGGUUCUUUAAUUCUCCUAUAACAGCUAUAUCUUGCAAUUCGCUGCAAUACAAACACAAUGUUCGAAGGUUUGUUAGGAGACCAAGUGAUGAAGGCAGUAAUGAUAGAUGCAUAUAAGUCAAGUCUAAAACUCUGACUUGCGUCAACUUCCUGAAAAAAUUGUCUGGAAGUGUGAUUAAUGAAGAUUUCUCAGUCCACAAAGAGAGAAGUUGCAGUUGAGGACAUUCCAAAACUUCAGGAAGAAGAACAUUCAUCUUGCUGUCGUGUAAGACAAUCGAAGUGUAAAACUUAAGCGCACCUUCAUCUAGCCAUUCCCGUGAAUUAACCAGUUCAUAUCUCAUCGUAAGCACAUUUUGUUCUCUGGUUGCAAUUGCUAUGGCAACAUCACGAACAACAUCAUGCAUAGAAAACCAAUGUUCAUUUUUGCUUCCAUGCUCAAGCAACAUACAAGAAGCCUUGAGUUUGUACACCAAUGUAUACACUCGAGCUCGUGCUUCUUCCAUCCUAUUGAUUCCUUGAAACAAACCCAAACCCAUGCCAUACAUUAACACGUCAUUAAUGGACGAUAUGUAGGUGUAGCCUAUUAGCAAAAAGAUCUUCUUGAGCUCCUCUCCUUCUAAUUUGUUGUAACUCAACUCUAUAGCUGAAUAAGCAGCCGGCUGUAUAUCUUUAAAGUUCGUUGAGGAAGGCCUUCUUAACUGUCCCAAAGCGUCCUUCCAUUCAAAUAAUCUCUUAUUUCUCAACGCCCUCGCUACUGUUACAAUGGAAACAGGCAAACCUGCGCAUUCAUUUGCCACAUCCGUUGCCACCCAUUUGAAUUCACUACUGUUGAUAUACUCCCCUGCCAUCUUCUUGAAUAGACUCCAAGCUUCGUCUUCUCUUAGAACGCCAACUGAGAAAUUAUGUCGGCAAUCCAUCUUGCCAGACAAUAUAUCUUCACUUCUUGCCGUCAUCAAUAUUUUACACCCCUUGUGAUUAUCUCCGUGAGGAAUUCCUACAUCCUGCAAAUCAACACUUUCCCAAACAUUAUCUAAAAUUACAAGGAUCUUUUUCUCAUCCUUCAAUCGAUUAUAAAGACUCCUUGCCCUUCCAGAUUCGGUCUCUUCGAAAAAUAUGAGACCUAAUUUAUCAGCGAUUUCUCCUUGAAUCUUUCUUAUGUCUGGAAUCUGGGGCACCUCCACAAAAAUCACUUGAUCAAAUAGCUGGUCUCUCUUGAACUGAAUAGCAACCUCUUUUGCUAGUGUCGUCUUUCCGAUGCCACCCAUUCCAUAAAUCCCAACCAUGUUCACAUCAGGAUCUUGUAAUGCACGAAGUGCAUUAUUCAAAGUGGAGAUUCUUGAUUCAAAUGCCUCGUAGUCUUUGUUAGAUAUAAGCCUUAUGUCCUCCAGAGCUUUACGGUAGGAAAUUCUAUCAAAUCUCCCAGCUUCCCGAAGUUUGACAAUAGCUUCGAAUUGCCUCACCGCUUCCUUGCUAAGCUGAUGGCGGGUCUUCAAAUUUGGACACAGCCCCAUGAAACAACGCUUGUUUGCUUUAUCUGCAUCGCCUGUAAAUUUCUCAGCCUCAGUAAUGAUGUUGUUGACACUUGCAAGCCAUUUCUCAACGUUCUUUUCGAUCUCUUCUCCUUUUCUUUUAGCCUCAUCAACCCCGUGCUGCAUACUGGCACCGUCAUCCUUGAGCUUCUCAAGUUCAGUCUUGAGAUUCUCAAAGUUGCUCCCGUAGUUACGCACAUAACUCAAUUGUCUUUCAGUGGGAGGACCCAAGCACUUUGCAACUUCUAACACAACAGUUACUAUGCUUUCCACCAUCUUCAAUUCUUUCCCUUUUCUCUCUUUUUUUUUUUUGGGUCAAAUUUUAGAAUUUUGUAAAGUAUGUAGAUGUGAAGUGAAGCGAACCAAAAGGAAGCUGAACAGAGACAACAACUAAAAAGAUGUAGAGAUGAAGAAGAAGAGAAGGGAUUUAUUGACAGAGUAAAAAUACAUCAGAAGAGUAGAUACAGAACAAAACAGAGACAAGUGGACAGGGAACAGAGCAAAAAUAAAUAAAGAAAACAGAUACACGUACGAUUCGUAUUAAUGUUGAGAUCCGAAGAUUGUAAUAACCAAAGGUGUUGCUUGAUCCAGUGAAAGGUCCAAAGAGUUGGUGGCGGAAAGGCGCAAAGCUGAAGAAUAAAAACAAUCAAGAUGAUUGAGAAUGUUGAUUGAGAUGGAGAAAGACUUGCAUGGUUGCGAGAUGUGCGUCGGACAAAUGGUAGCCAAUUAUUUGAUUUCUACAGCGGGAUUCACUGACUUUAUAUUUUAAAAAAUUUAAGUCAGCAGAAUUAAUUCUGUUCAGUGAAAUGAACGCAAAGUGUUUGAGGGAAAUACUCCGAUGAGACCAGACGUGAUGAGCAGAUGUUUGGUGGCAGAAGUCUGCGAGUAGGUGUGUCCUGUAAGAGCCAGGUAGCAGGGGAACAGGGGCAGGAAUAUCCUGCUCAUCCACGAGCACGUCAUCCGCGAGGCCAAUUUCCUGUAAGAAGCAUAAAGUCAUUCCUGUUGUAUUCUUGCUAAGGGUUGAUUCGAGGAGACCCGAUCAACGAUAGUUGGCGAGGCAUGCUCUCCAGCCCGAGAAUCUAGGCACGAAGGCCACACAACCAUCCACGACUACGGAAAUGGGGAAUCCACGUUCGAGAGGUGGGAGGAUAACGGGCGUAGACUGCGAAAAACUGGGAUUCAGAGGAAGCCUAUAAAAAGGUAGCCAACGAAAGUAAAAGGGUUAGCAAUUUUGAGAUUAGAAGAGAGAUAAAAGAAAUUCUAAAGAAGAGAAAACUACCCAAAAGCCAUAAGAUCUGUGGCAAGCGUUCCCCGAACCUUCAUAUCUGACUUGAGCGUCGGAGGGUUUGCGCCGGGAAAACAACCGGCGUACUCUGACCUGUCUGUGUGCGCAGGAACCUCUGGAGAAGAAGCUUUUACGAGGAGAGAUCCUGGUCGUGGUGAAGUUGAUCGAGCAGAGACCCUGGUCGUAGAACGAGGACAACCAGAAUCUCGCAUCAACAUUUUGGCGCCGUCUAUGGGGAGCUGAUCAAAAAGCUUCUGUUGAUAGCAAGAAGAGGAGUGAAGCAAGUGAAAAGCAAUGGAGACAGGAGGAAGUAGUGCACAAGGGGGUGAUAUGAGGCUUAACGAUUUCGUGACGCUGAGGGAGAUAGCCAGUGAAGCACGGGAAAAAGCCAUGUUCGACCGGAUGGAACGGAUGGAAAAGCAUAUGGAGACCCUGACAACCAUCCUGCAUGAGCUACGGAGUGAACGAAGGGUAACCCAGGAGGAAAGGAUGAGAGUUGGUGGAGUUGCACCAUGUCCCGAUAGUACGAGGAGAAGUCAAACCACCGGGAGAUUUGGUGGUGAGAGAGGUAACAUACCUCUGCGGGGAGAAUCCCGUAGAGAGGAAGAGCAAUCCCCGGCAAGACAGUUUUUGGACGAGGACGACGGGGUGGCAAAUGCAGAUGAAACAGAGCUGAGGCAACACUUGCAUGAUGUAGAGCAAGAGCGGGAUCAAGUUGCAGCACGUGACCCUGGUCGUGCAGUGCAGCUGGAAGAGGAAGUGCGCAGGCUAGCGCAGAUAAUCGACGACAUGCAAGGAAGGAGCAGAGCUCCUGGUUGGAGGAUAAUGCUGGACGGAGAAUCACCGCUCGCAGCAGAGAUCAUGAGGGCAGUUAUUCCGAGAGAUUUCCGCCUCCCAGACCUUAGAUAUUCGGGGUGAACUGAUCCUCUGGUGCACAUAGAGCGCUUCAACGACAUAACUGGGGUACAAGGAUUAUCUCAAUCCCAAAGGUGCAGGGUGUUCCCACUAUCCCUUGAGGGACGUGCACGAGAGUGGUACAGGAAACUUCCUCGGGGGAGCAUUCAAACCUUCGAGCAGAUGUGCCAGGAAUUUGCAGAGCAGUUUCGUGGGGCAAUGACACCAGAAGAUGACAUGAUGGAAUUGAAAAACAUGAAGCAGGGGGAACAAGAAACACUUCGGGAAUUCAUCAAGAGGUUUCACCGUGCUGUCCUUGAUUUGGGAGCCUUCAACCAUCCUCAGGCAUUAAGGGGACUGAAAGAAGGGGUGAAGAUAGGAAGACUGUGGUACAACUUGAGAAGCCCAGUUAUUCAGACGUACGCCGCCGCAUACGAGCAGGCUAAGAGGGACAUUGAGAUUGAAGAGGAAAAGGCAGCACGGAUCAAGACAGAGCAGUUAGAUGGGUUGGGGAAGAAAGAGAAGAAAGCAUUGCCAGGGAACGGGCCGAUCAGGAGGAGAGACCAUCAGGCCUCAAGUAGUGGAGCAGGAGAUCGGGUAACUACUUGCCAGCCUCAUCAGAGGCCACCACAGUAUCGGCGCAGCAGGGCGCAACCUCCUCAUUCCCCAGCUAGGGAGCCUUGGAGAAGCCAUGACUCGGCAUAUGGUGGUCUUCAUCAACACUCCCACGGUAGUAGGGGGGCAGACCAGAAGUGCUGCCACCGCCUCCAACUCAGAACGGAGCAAAUAGAGAAAGAGCAGUGCACCUGAUCGACCAGAACCAGGACUAUGGGCGGUACACUUCUUUGAAGAUGUCCCUGGACGAGGUGUACGAGGCCAUAAAGGAUCGAUGGUUGCUAUACCUCCCUGCCUCAAUAACAAAACUACCCAGCAGGAGGGAUAUGGGACGCUAUUGUAAGUUCCAUGGCGCACAUGGCCAUACUACAACAGAAUGCAGAGAUCUCAAGACCCAGGUCGAAGAUUUGGUGAGAAAUCGAUACCUGGACGAGUUUAUAGAUGGGACUUUCCCGAUGGUGGCCUCGACAUGCGAGGGGGAGCAGAGUGGCAGAAAUUUGAGGCACGAGCAGCCUACAGUAAGGGUGAUUGCUGGGGGCCCGACAUUGGCUGGAGAUUCCAACAGAUCUAGGAAGAACUAUGAUAGAUACGCCAUGACUAGUAAAGAGGUAUUCUUCAACACCCCGGCAGCCAAACGAGCAAGAGUUAGGCAAGUGCCAAUCAUGUGGACAGACGAGGAUGAAGAAGGGAUUUUAUACCCACACGAGGAUGCCUUAGUCAUCAAGGCCACUGUUGCUAGCAGGAAGUUUGACCGGAUACUGGUCGAUACAGGAAGCUCGGUUGAUGUGUUAUUCAAGUCCACUGUGGAGAAGAUGGGAAUAGCAGACCUGAGGUUGGAGCACACCAACACCUCCUUGAAGGGAUUUGGAGGAGGAAAGCUGGUCCCCCUGGGUGUGGUCGAGCUGCCUAUCACAAUCGGAAGCUCCCCGACAGAAAGGACUAUGAUACUAGAUUUUGUGGUGGUUAAUGAAGAGGGUCCUUACCAGAUAAUCCUAGGUCGGCCGUUUCUGAGGAUGAGCAAAGCAGUACUGUCCAACCAUUAUCUUGCUCUCAAGUACCGGGUGAAUGGGGUAGUUGGAGUGGUACGAGGAGACCAGAGAAUCGCACGAAGCUGUUACUCCUCGGCAGCAAGGGAAUCGAUGCAGAUAACAUCCCUUGAUAUCCGAGUGGAAGCCAGGAAUGGCAGCUAGUUGGACCCGGAGUUUACAAGCUGGUUCGCGCGGAUGGCCACGAGGUGAAACGCCCAUGGAGCGCGGCACACCCCAGGAAAUAUUUUUAGUAAGACUUGUUCAUAUUUUAAAGUUAUUUCUGUUCGUGCCUGUUGUUUUCUAUUUUUUAUUUCUUAUUUCAAAGCAAUCUCAUGUAAGCCGAAUUCAAUAAUAAAUGAAUCAAUGAGGAGUUUCAGCCAACUGUACUGUUCAAGAAAUUACAUAAGGCAUGCAAAGGCUCGACAAAGUCUCAAAGCCUGUUUAUGGCGAGACCAGAAGCCAAGCGUGCCAGGAUCUGCUCGGCCACGAGAAGGCGAGCAGAGUCCCAAGCUUUGAAGAAAUUACCUAAGGCAUGCAAAGGCUCGACAAAGUCUCAAAGCCUGUUUAUGGCGAGACCAGAAGCCAAGCGUGCCAGGAUCUGCUCGGCCACGAGAAGGCGAGCAGAAUCCCAAGCUUUGAAGAAAUUACCUAAGGCAUGCAAAGGCUCGACCAAGUCUCAAAGCCUGUUUAUGGCGAGACCAGAAGCCAAGCGUGCCAGGAUCUGCUCGGCCACGAGAAGGCAAGCAGAAUCCCAAGCUUUGAAGAAAUUACCUAAGGCAUGCAAAGGCUCGACAAAGUCUCAAAGCCUGUUUAUGGCGAGACCAGAAGUCAAGCGUGCCAGGAUCUGCUCGGCCACGAGAAGGCGAGCAGAAUCCCAAGCUUUGAAGAAAUUACCUAAGGCAUGCAAAGGCUCGACAAGUCUCAAAGCCUGUUUAUGGUGAGACCAGAAGCCAAGCGUGCCAAGAUCGGCUCGGCCACGAGAAGGCGAGCAAAAUCCCAAGCAUUGAAGAAUCUUCCAAGGCAUGUGGCAAAACCAUAUACCAAGCCAGAGCCUGCUCGACCGGACGAAUACGAGCAGAUUCUUAAGCGGAAAAAUAACUCGUAAUUACAACACAAGAGAGUAAUAAAAAACAUUUCUAUUAAUUUGUUAAUAAUUAACAAAGCAGAUAAUCUUCACAAAUAUUGUUCGUUACAAUACAAGAAACAUAUUUAAGAAGACGGUGGGUCCGCGAGCCGAGCAGCCUCAGUUAGCUGGUCCACCUCAGGUGCUGGGGGAGUAUCUCCAGUUGCGUCUGGGGGGGUACUCGCCUCACCAGCAUUAGCAGGGAUUACACGGGAAGGAGAGUUUUCCUCCUCUAUCACCAUUGGUGCCACCUCUUCGGCAUCCUCCUUUGCAGCCUCCUCGUCCAUAUGUUGGGCGACACCAGCUGCAAGGUCGUCCAUCUUUAGAUCAAGAUGCUGCUUCCCGAGGACGGCCAUGAUGCAACGAUAAGAAUACCGAAGUCCCUGAUCGUACUGGUUGUCGGCCUCCAUCUCCAAGUUCUCGACCUGAGCUCGGUGGGAAUCGCGGAGAGAUCCGAGCUGAGCCUCAUACAUAGCCUUCUGCCUUUGAAGAUCCUCCUUGACCUUGGUCAAUUCCUCCUCGAGGGUAAUGGCUUUUGCUUGAGCAAGAGAUUCUUGCUCUAUCAGCUUCAGGUUCUCGACAUUCAGCGCUCCUGCUUUCUUCUCGGCGCCGUCAGCUCUGGUCAUCGCUGACUGAAUGUCCUCCUUCAUCUUCCUGUCAUAACGGCCGACCUUGGCCUUAUAGUAGGUGGUCAUGCAGCUGAGAUGGAAAGCGCUAUACUGCAUGGCUCCCACCAGCUCGCCCAGAGUGCAGCCAUCAAAGUCCUUCAGGUCCUUCUUGCUCACGAGUUUAGAUAACUCAUUGAGAUAGGGGACCAAGUGUUCUGCUCGGCUGUCAGGUAAGCGAGAUCGAGGCCCGACAGGAGGAGAAAAAGAAGCAGGAUCGGUGGCUGCUCCACUAGUUUCCCCGACUUUGGCAGGAGCAGGAGGUAAAGUCUUCAAGGGAGAGACCUGCUGCACGAUGUUGGCCCGCUUUGCAGUAGGGGCGUCCUUAUUCUGGUCCUUCUUCGUGGUUUGAGGUCGAGAACGUUUCCUGUUCAGAGCCCCAAUCACAGCGUCCUCCAUCUUAUGACCAGGGAGUAUCAAGCGAGACUCGAGCAAGUUGUAUGUAGUUAUCAGCUCCCGGCUCGAGCAGGAAUUGGCUAGCACAGCCUCGACCUGUUUGAGCUGGCCAGGUUUGAGCGAGAAAUGAACACCCCAAGAAACUACAACACAAACAGACACUUGGUUAGAGACAAACCAACAAAGCGAGAACAAUUACGGAUACAAGACAUCUAAAGCGAGCAGGCAACCUGGGACCGUGAAACGGGGUGGGACGCGAUAAUCCUUCCCGUCUAUUUAUGCAACUUGACCCCAAGGACCCCCAGCAAAAAAGAAUUUCCUCUUCCAAUUCCCACCACCACCAGUAGGGAGGUCGGUUAUGGGUUUCCUGGUCUUGGUACUAGAUUGAAAGUAGUACCAGCCGGCAUCUUUGGGGCUGCUCUUUAGCUGGUACAGGUGCUUCACCUCAUCAACUGUGGGCUCGCUUUGGCAACAUUUGUCCCACAGUAUGAACAGACCAGAAAGUACUCUCCAACCGUUUGGGUUCAGCUGACCAGGAGAUAGAUUCAGCCUGUUAAGUAUCCGGGCAAAGUAAGGUUGCACGGGACACCUCAGCCCAUACUUAAAGCUAUCCAGAUACAGGGUAACGUAUCCCCUAGGAGGCCGGCUAUGAGUAUCCUUCUUUCCUGGGACCUUAAGAGGGAUUUCACCAGGAAUACUAUACCUAAGCCGGAGGUCAUUGAGCUCAUCAAACGUGGUUAUGCAUGUCAUGUAAUCAAUAGCGUAAUCCCGCGAUAGGGCUCUACCCCCUAUUGUACUCCGCCCUUCUGGUCGCGACGCUCCUGAUGGGGACACCUCGCCAGAAUCAUCUCCUCGGCCCUCACUCAGGGUGUUCUCCGAGCCAGAAGACCCCUCUUCAUCACUAUCUCUGCUCGAGGAGGUCGUUUGGGGAGACAUCCUCCUAGCGCUAGUGCCGACACUAGAUCUAAUGGGCUCUAAGGGGAUCCCGGGGUCAAAAGCAGGAUCAGUGAGCAGACUAGGCAGGAAGUCCAACUCAUCGUCGUCAACCUCAAUGACCUUCUCUUUACCUUUCGACAUUCCCUAAACUCUAACCACAACACCACCACCAACUACUACCCGAACAAAAGAGAACAGAAAUUAUCUACAACUAUCCGAGACCAAGGAGAUAGAAAAAAUACCUGAAAUAAUGGUUCAGUCGGUGAAAGACAGAGAUGGAGGCCUUUAUGCCGGAACUUCUUUGCCGGAGAGACAGGGACGAAGACGGAGGGAAUGAUGAAUUUGCUGUUUGAAAGGAUUUAGGUUUCCUAAUGGGGACGGACUCUUGGGUUGCCAGCAUUUAACGGCACCAAAUCCCAAGGGCCUCGUAACCGUUGGUUUGAAAUUCGAAUAGAGGGGCAUAUUUCUGCCACAUCACCUCGUCCGCAAUUAAAUGCGAUAUGACUCUUGGCAGCCUUUUCCAGUCCCACGUGACCAAGAACCGCUAAGUUUCUACUGCUGGUCCAUUACAUUACCCAACACCAGAAACUGGGGGACCGGUGUUUGAGAGAAAUACUCCGACGAGAUCAGACGUGAUGAGCAGAUGUUUGGUGGCAGAAGUCUGCGAGCAGGUGUGUCCUGUAAGAGCCAGGUAGCAGGGGAACAGGGGCAGGAAUAUCCUGCUCAUCCACGAGCACGUCAUCCGCGAGGCCAAUUUCCUGUAAGAAGCAUAAAGUCAUUCUUGCUGUAUUCUUGCUAAGGGUUGAUUCGAGGAGACCCGGUCAACGACAGUUGGCGAGGCAUGCUCUCCAGCCCGAGAAUCUAGGUACGAAGGCCACGCAACCACCCACGACUACGGAAAUGGGGAAUCCACGUUCGAGAGGUGGGAGGAUAACGGGCGUAGACUGCGAAAACUGGGAUUCAGAGGAAGCCUAUAAAAAGGUAGCCAACGAAGGUAAAAGGGUUAGUAAUUUUGAGAUUAGAAGAGAGAUAAAAGAAAUUUUAAAGAAGAGAAAACUACCCAAAAGCCAUAAGAUCUGUGGCAAGCGUUCCCCGAACCUUCAUAUCUGACUUGAGCGUCGGAGGGUUUGCGCCGGGAAAACAACCGGCGUACUCUGACCUGUCUGUGUGCGCAGGAACCUCUGGAGAAGAAGUUUUACGAGGAGAGAUCCUGAUCGUGGUGAAGUUGAUCGAGCAGAAACCCUGGUCGUAGAAUGAGGACAACCAGAAUCUCGCAUCAAUACAAAGAGUGUAGAAAGAAUGUGAAAAAGUUAUGUGAAACGUGAGGUGAUGAGAUAGUUAAGUUCACUGAUGCUCAAUAGUCAAUUUUAUUAAAAAUAAAAAAUAAAAAAUAGUGAGAAUCCCAAAGUCGAAAGCCAAUAGAUUUCAUAAUGGGAUUCAUUCAUUAUUCCAUCACGGAACCGAACACCAAUAGGUUAUCCCACCAGCCACCACCUCAGCUUCCACGCAAGUUUCCCUCAUAUUUGAAUACUUGGCCCACUCCUCAAGUCUUUGUCGACAAAAAAAGAAAAAGAAAAAGUAAACGAUGACACUCCGGUGGAUCACAACUUGCAUAAAGAUUCCUGACAGUUGCUAAUGCUGCCGACAUGAUCUUCCAACUUGGAACUUGUAAGAUCGGUCAAGCUUUCUAGUUUCUACAGUAGCGUUUAAUUAAUGAAUAAUGAUGAUCAGUUUUGAUUAUUUGACGACGUUAGUAGAAUGAGAGUAUUUGAGGUAAUUGAUCAAACAAAAAGAUUGCCCAUUCAUGAUCUAAUUGCCUAAAUAAUAAAAAUGCUUAGCCUCAGCUGACUUGUUCCAAAUCACUAAACAUUUGAGCAGGUAUUUUCAUCUUUUCGUUAUCACAUUCCUCUAAUCAAUUAUCUAGCGUUAAUCAACAAAAAUGAUUAAUAACGUAAAUGGAGGAACUUGGGCUCAAAUCUCUAAAUUAAACUCGUGAUCAUUAAUAUAAGCAAACUACAACAAGUCUAUCUUGAUCAACGUUUUCAACUCAACAAAUAUAGACUACUAGUGUUUAGUUGUUAAUAAAAUUAACAAAAAAAACACAUAAAUGUUGACAGCACAAGAAUAAUAAUAGUGUUUACUUAUUUAUUAAAUUUAAACUAUGUUCAAGAGAGGACCCAACUUUUAUAUAUUUUAUUUUAAUGGCUUUAAGAAAUUACAAAGUUGAUGCCACAAUUUAUAGUUUUUUUUUUUACCUUUAAAAAAUCUUUGGAUUAACCGACAAUCAUCAUCAAUCCUCGCCUAGGGUCAGGGGAGGAUCAAGAUGGUGCCUACAGUGAGCAAACAUGAUGGCAGAUGGUGUCCAAUUGACCCCCUAAACUUUUCUUUUUUCAUUGAUACUGUCAUGAAGUUACAUAAUUUCUUACAUAAUUGUCUCCAAUAAAUACCAAUAGGUAUACGAAUGCAAACAUGAUGCACGCAUCUCUUUAAUUAAUUUAAGGCUUAAAGAGACUUUCAGAGAUGCCUACAAAUUCAAUAUGGCAGCUCUCAUGAGAAAUAAAACUAGCUUCAAAUUGGAUUUCUGAGUACUCAAAUAAAGCUAAAAGCAUACUAAUGAAAUGAAAACUCAAACAAAAAAUCCUCUCACCAAUGCCAUCUGACUCUUAAUACAUAGAAAGAACUCGAUGCCUUAUUCAAGAUGCCGCACAGAAGGUUGGCCUGAAUCGUCUUCAUAAGUUUAGACUCCCUGUAAACAAAGAGCAAAAACACAUUGAAGGUGCAGUUUUCACAUAAUUAAAUUGCACAAAUUAGCCUCUAUGAAGGACACAAAAAUCCUUCAAUUCUCUCUGGAAGCAAUUAAUUUCAUUUUUU
rnacentral:lncRNA from 1 species